rnacentral:lncRNA from 1 species
UGUCUCCACAAAAAAAGUUUUGUUCUAUGAAUAUCAUACCUGAAUCACUGAUUUGAAGCAGUUGAAUAGAGAAGACCAGAGUAGACCUGAAGAAGUUUCCAGCCGUGUGCACUCAUGUACAUCUAAGACACGCAAACUGGAUGGAAGCGCUGGAAUUUGUCGAAGCUCUUGACAGUGACCCAAGUCAAGGAGUCUCAGCAUAGAAAGUUGAUUGACCCCAGCAGGUAUGCUCCUAAAAAGAUUCCCGAAUAGCAGUAAUUGUCGCAGAGACGAUAGGUGGCAAAUUUCGGUGGGGAUUCCUCCUUCAUCUAUACUGCAGAAAGAUAGAUCUAACGCUUUCAACGAGUACAAGCAGCAAAUAUCACUCAGGAUUUCUCCUUGCAUUAGCUUUGACCCAUGUAGAAUUAACUUCUCUAAGGAGCAUAAACCUGACAAAGAAAGCAAUUGGCAACAUGUUGAAUUUAAGCCACAAGCAUGGAGAUGCUUCAAGCUUUGCAGCCUCCCCAGGUUUUGUGGCAAUUUGUGGAGUUUUGAACAGUAACUGACAUCGAGAACUUCAAGAAAGCAUAAAUUAGAAAUGCUUUCUGGAAGAGUCACAAGGUUUUUGCAGCCAUCCAGAUUCAAAACUUCAAGCCUAUUCAAAUGUUCGAUUGAUGAUGGUAGCUCUUUUAUAGCCGUUUCAUUCAAGUGAAGCUCCCUUAAGUUUUCUAUAUUCUCCAAGACUUCUGGAAAGUAUUGUAAUUGUGAACAGUGAGAGCAAAAGAGAGAUUUAAGGGAUUUGAACUCCCAAAUGCUUGUUGGCAGACUCUCAAGGUUUUUGCACUCUCGCAAACAUAAGGUAUCAAAUUCAGAGGCACGCUCAAUGGGUAGUAGGCUGAUUGUCUGACCCUUUAAACAAAGCCGUCGGUGUUCCACGUUCCUCUGACAUUCCAAGCAGCUAGCAUCCACAUCCCCAGUCUGUACUAUUGGAUCUUGGGCGUAUAUAGGUUGGAGCCCACACUUGACCACCUUAAAAUGAUUGCGAGAGCCCAUAAAUAGAGCCUCAAGACACAUGAAUCGAUUGGUGUGACAGCUCUCCAGAAUAGCAGCCUUGGGAUAGAAUAUCACCCACAUUUGUUCUGAUACACCUCCAUUAUGGUAGCAUUUACAAGCAGUGCGAAAACUGAGAUGUCGCACACGUAGGGAAGAAAAUCCAUGUACUUCACUCAAUGACAAUUGACAUUUUAACUCAGUGGAGAUUGAAGAUUCAGCUUCAAGUAAAUCAUCAUAUUCAUUUAGGGCUUCGUCACCAGAUUCAUUCUCGGAUGUAUGUGCCAAAUCAUUUUCUGGUAUGUCCUCACAUUCAUCAAGUGGAGCAUAAACAAAGCAUAUAGCAAUUCCCAAGAAGUCAUCAUUUUCAUUACAAUUCAGAGGAAGCUCCAUUGUGGUCUGAUAUCCCUCUCUCUGAUUCCUUAUCCACUUGGGAAUUCCACUGCUUCCCGGAACAACAAUACAGAUUCCAUGGUCAUUGUAGUGAGAAUCAGCGAGAAAUACUCCAUUUGAAUUGCUCUCGUGUUUCAAAUCCUGCACAAAAGGUCAAUGAAAAUCCAGUGGGUCUGCCAUUAUGUGAGUUUUUAUGAGAGAGUUUGUUAUCAGUUUUCGAUAAAUUGAUUCCCAGUAUUAACUUUCUUUGAUCUAUGCUCCUGAAUCUACUUAAUAUCCCUUUUAGAUGACGGAUAAUCAAUCAACAUGAAAGUGAAUGCCAAGAUUAAGUCUGGAAACUGGAAGUGAGUGGAAACUGAAACCGAAAGUGAGUAGAAUAAGCAGAUCUCUUCUUCACUUGCAGUAGCUUCUUCUCCAUACAGAUUCAUAGAUCUUAGAAUUGUAGCUUCAACUUAACUCUCAAAAUCUUGAAGACAAAGUUCGCUCAAGUUUUAAAAACUCACAGAAAAAUUUCUCCUCAUGUUUCUCUUAAUCCCAUGAGGUGAGAUACAUGUAGCACACACUUAUUGGCUUUUUUCCAUGCAAGUUUCAAGGUGGAGCGUCUAAUGAACUAAAACAUUCCCUCAAAUCCUAGUGGAAAUUCACACUAGAAAUUUCAGAAUUUGCUAAAGAAAGGUUAAUUCAUUUUAUCCAUGAAUAAAAAAAGCAUGUGAGGACAUUUUAACUUCCUAAUAAUUAUUAUAUUAAACUAUAAUUCUCAUUAUUUAAACUUAUGAUCCUUAACUUUAUCAUCACAAUUUGAAGAGACAUUCGUCAUCUCUUCCAUGAAUUAAUUGAUGUUUAAGGAGGUAUAAUAAACUUUUAAUUGAAUUUAUAAACUAUUAUUAUUUUUUUAUACUCUUAUCAAAAUAAAUAAAAACUUAACAAAAAAAAAAAAAAUCAAAACAAACUUUGUAAAGUUAUCAACACUUAUUUACAUCCUUCUUUUUUUUUAAAAAAAAAUUAUAAUUAAAAAAAAUGUAAUUUAAAAAUUAUAAAGAAUAAAAUAUUUAGAAAAAUGUACUAGUUAUUUGAAAUAAAAUAUAAGGGAAAUCAAAAUUCUUAGUAAAUGAAUCGUCAAAACAACUAUAAUAGCUAUACAAAUGAGAAAAAAAAAUUAAAAGUAAAAAAAAAUUAUGAAUGUCAAGAAUGAGAAACAAUUUUUUUCUUUUUUUUUUUUGUAAAUUAUUUUUAUUCUUAUUUUAUGUAUUCAUUACAAUUUUUAAAUUAAUAAAUAAAGUUUUUAUCACAAAAUUUUAAAAUGGUAUGUAUGCUUUAAAAUUUAUAUGUUGUUCUUAGAUUUUUAUAAAUUUCGUUUAUAUCUUUCAAAUUAGAAUUAUUAAACUCACAUUUUAAAAUAAGAUAUCAAAUAGUUAUUUUUUCAUCCUUUAGCAAUAUCAAAUGUUUUUUGUACUUUAAUAAAAAAAAACUAUUUUUCUCUAAUUAAUGACUAUUUUGUAUAGUAUUUGGAUAAAUUAUUUAAUAUAUAAGUAUUACUUAUUUAAUAGUUUAUUUUUUUAAUUUAUUAGAGAAAGAGUGGUGCAUAUAUAAUUCAAAUAAAAGGUAAUUUCGUAUUGCAAGAAAGUUUGUGGAAAAAGGAAAUUUGAACAAGGAUUGAAAUUUAUAGGAACCAUAUUGGACACCUAGUUUUAGGUUUGUUCCAUUCGAACAAUCAUGACUUGAUAGUAGCCUAAUCUCAAAUCUAACUUUGUCAAGCCCUUCCUUUACUAAGUUGAUCAAACAAGUUGUUAACAAGCAGAAUAAGAUAUUUUUCACUUUCACCUUGUUGAGUCUUCAAUAAUCGAUACACAUUCAGAGGGAUCCAUUAUGUUUCUUUUAGAAUAAUAUUGGUGUGACAUGUGAAGCUUUAGUUUGUUGGAUGUAUCCCAUGUUAAGCAACUCUGUAAGUUGUUUCCUUAGUUCUUCUAAAUUAGGCAGUGCCAUCCUAUGGGACCCCUAUGGCAAGGGGCUUAGCUUCUGGCUCUAAGUCAAUUUUGUGCUCCCAUUCCCUUAUUUAUGUGAGUUUCUUAUGUAACUUUAAUAGCAUCUAAGGAUGGCAAAGUUUGAUACAAUUUGUCAACCAGACUUGAACCUGAGGCAUUUUUAGUGGGUUUGGGUUGAGUAUAAUCAUGUUUAGGUCAAAUUUGUGUAAACCUAAAUAACUUGUUUAAUAAAUAGGUUGUUUUUUUUAGUCAAACUACAUAAUACAAAUUUCACCUAAAUUGAGUUGUGUAAUAAUGAUGUUAAUUAACUAGAUUAUAACCAUAACCUAUUUAACCCACAUUUGACUCAUUUAAAACUUGAUUUUGAAUAAGUAGGUUAAUUAAGUCAUAAACAUGUCAGAUUGGGAAGUUAAUCAUAUUAACUUAAACAAGAUCUAACUUGACAUUAUUAUUAAAUAGGACAUUAUUAUUAAAUGGACUAUAUGACAUGUUACUUAUUUAAUAAUUAGGUUAUGCCCGAGUUCAUUCUUUUAACCUAAUUAUUAUUUUUGUGUCAUGUUUGAAUUGAUUUAUUUAAUCAAGUGUCUUUGCUUUGACACAUUGUGAACAUGAUCCACCAACAUGAAUUGUCACUUCUAGUGGCAUCACAUACUAGAACUCUUCAAGUACCACCUCAAUUACCUUGUGAAUGAGUUCCCUUAUUGUAUCAUUCUUUUCCUCCUUUAAUAUAGCCAAGUAGGUCAUUUGCUUAUUCUUCAAUACCUUCUUUACUUGCAUAGUUGAUAGCAAGAGGAUCUCAAGUGUACCUCAAUAGCUAAUGUCAUGAUUCAUUGUAAAUUUUGUCUAAUGUGUAAUCAUAUAUACAAAUGCACUCACCUUAAAAACCUCAUCCCAAUGACUAAGACAAGUCAUCCCUCCAAUUAGAAGGUAGUGUAUUAUAAUCUCAAAUGGAUUGUCUAAAUCCAUCAACCAACCAUGAACAAAUCAUAAAUCUUGCAAGGAACCCAUGACUUAAAUCUUCCGCGUAACUCCUAAUGCAUUUUAGUCAUGUACAAUACCACUAAUGCAUGCAUGCAUACUCAAAUCAAUAUCAAUGUGAACAAAGAUAAAUUAGUGGAAACUCAAGCCUAAAUUUGUUACAUCAUGUCUUGCUUGCAAGGGCUAUAUUUUAACACAAAUAACCAAAUAGGUUCUUGAAAUACAAUAUAAUAUGUGCUAUCUCUCAGAGCACUUUAUUUUUUGUUUCAAUAACUUCAUUUUUCUAUGAAGUUUUAGAUGUUGAAAGCUCUUCUUUAAUUUCCUUCUCCUCACAAAAACUCUAGAAGUCAGAAUUAUAAACUCCUUUCCUCUAUUAUUUCUUAUUGAAAAUCCAUUUUUAUUCAUCAUUUGAAAGCAUAACACUUUGAAUCUUAGGAUGUACUUCUUUCUUCCUAGGCAUUGCACUCUCAUAGGACCCAUUAAAUCCACAUGCAACAUCUUUAAGAUCCUAGAAGAAGAGAAAAUCGUCUUUUUCUCUCACUCAUCUGAAUUCAUUUUCCUAGAUAGAAUAAAUAGGAUUUUUAGGCUUUCCUAAAUGGGACUUGCUUUAAUUAGUUCUUUAUUUGUAAUCCUAGACAAAUCAUUAGAGUUUAAAUGCACUAUCAUAUAAUGCUAUAUGUCUUUGGAUGUAAAUUUCACAUUUUACAACUAUGUGCACUAGAUGAUGAGGAAGAAGUAGAGAGGCGUACAAAGGCAUAACAAACAAUAUAAAAAAUUCUAUUUCUUACCAACACACAUCCUUGAAUAGACACUAAUUUUGAGUAAAAUGAACAAAGCACAUACAAUCACAAAUUUAACUUGCGUUAAUUAAGUUUGCUUUCAAUCCCUCAAUAUAUAGUAACUCCUUGAGCAUAGGUAAAUUUGGACCUUCUAUGGUACCUUUUGGUUUCAAGUUGGUUAUAUGUAAUCCAACCAUCCCCAAAUACAACCAAACUUCCCUUUAUAGGUUCAAACGUGGAGAAAGACUCUAAGUUCAUUGUUGCUUUUACCUUUCCCAAAUACAACCAACUCCUUCUAUGAGUCCAAAAGUCAAGGAAGAUCUAAGUUCUAUGUCAUACAACUAGAGUAGCCACUCUCAAAAUCCAAAACGUGUUUUUCUCUAGCUCUUAGGCCCUAUGGUUAACUAAGGCUUUUUGGUUCUCCUUCUUUACCCAAUUUAUCUUUCCAAUGGGAAAUUUAAAGCCUAUUUAAGAAUUAUUUUUAAAAUUAAUUUUCCAGUUCUUAAAAAUAGAAACCUAUUUUCUAGACUAAAGCCAUGUUUGGUAACUUUUUGACAUAUUAUAGUUUUUUGAGAACUUGUUAUGAAAAUAAGGUAUCUCCUAAUAACAUAUUUUAAUUGCUUUCAAGUGUUUUCAUUUAUUUUGUAGGGUUGUUUUAAGAAAAUAAUGGUAAAAAUAUAAAGAAUGAUGAAAAAUAAAGAACUAAAAAUAAAAGUUAUUUUUAAGAAAUAUUUGGAAAUACAAAAAAUAUAUUAAAAACGUUCUAAGUUUCUAAAUAGACUUUUAUUUUAGAAAACAUUAGACCAACUAUUUUUGAAAACUUUUUUCAAUAAUGGUUUUGUAAGAAUUAUUUUUUAAAAAAAAAAAAAUCCUAAACAAAGCCUUAACCUUUGAGGAUCUAAAACUUUGCACUAAGUUUGGUGUUUUAUUGUUGGAUUUUCUUAGUCUUGCAAGCUUUAUGAUGAUCUUGCAAUAUUUUCUUUAAUUUACAUUUCAUGUUACCUGAGCAUUCAGUUUGGCUAAGUAUUGAAGAAUAACUUUGGCUUACAUUCAACUUUUUUUAUGGACAAAGGAAUGGAGCUAGAUCAGAUUUCUUUCAAUUUAGUCAAUUUUGAUUUACAUGGCUCAUAAUCAGAUUGUAAGACAUUCAAAUUUUUUAACAAGGUACCGUGCUCAUUUUCAAGGUAAGAGAUUUUUUUAAAGCAAGGAAGUCUUCUCUCAUACUUCUUUUAUUCUCAUCCAACUUUCACAAUUUUCAUCUUAAGGCACUGAUCAUACAAGGCUUCCUUGGCAAUCUCAAAUGACAACUUUUCUUCCAAAUAUGUUGUAUCAUGAGACGAACCUUCAAAAUUUUCAUAUUCAAGAUCAAUUUCAAAUUUAACAUUUUUCUUUUCAUUGAAAAGUGAUAUAGAAGGUAGCAAGUAUAUCAACAAUUUCCUCAGGCUUAUCAUGCUCAAAAGACACAAAUAUCAUCAACGUCAUGUGAUAAUAAAUCAUAAUUAUGUUUAUGCAUGUUUCCAGCAAAUUAAUGCAAUAAAAUUUCUACAUUCUUCAUCAAAAUCAUACCAAAUUACUUCUAUGACCUUAUCCUUUUGACAUUCAAGAAAGUGACCUUUCUUGACAUAGUAGAAGAAACUUUGAAUCAACUAGAUCUUUUUAGUGCUUUUUAUCUUUUUAUCACAUUUCUUUUCCCUUGUUUAUGGUCUCGAAGAGGUUAUCCUUUGUUUCUUGAAGCUUUUUGAACUUUUUGAAAGGUUAUCAAACCUAUAAAUUUCAAAUAUUGCUCAUUUUUUAUUCCUAUUCUGAUUCAGAUGCAUGUUUAAUUUUUUUGAUAGAUAACACAAAUAUAUUAAAGGGCAAAGGCCACCAAGCAUACAGGAAGUAUAGAAAUCAGCCUCAAAACGAGAGCACAAAAAAACAAGCACCCUUACCCUCCUUUAAGUGGCCGCUAGCCACUUCAAAAAACCUAAGAGUGAAGAGGACUCCUCUCCAAUAUACACCCUAGCCCAACUCCACAAGGUACAAACAAAAGAAUUUUUGAGUUUUUUUAUAUUUAACACCCCUCCCUUAAAAGCUAAUCUAUUCAUUUCCUUCCAUAUCAUUCAAAAAAUACACAACGGGAUAGAAUUCCAAAUUUUUUUCCUUUUUUUCCCCACAAAGGGACCCCUCCAACUGAAUAACACCUCCUUCACUAACUCUGGGAACACCCACUGAACCCCCACAUGGGCAAAAACGAUUUCCCAUAAGGCCCUUACCACUAUACAAUGUAAUAGAAUGUGAUUUACACUUUCCUCUUCACAGCCACACAAAAAACAACAGUUAGGAAACUGCCAACCCCUUUUUUGAAGCCUAUCCAAGGUGAGAAUCUUCCCUCACGCCACUUCCCAAGCAAAAAAUGCCGCUUUGGUUGGGACCUUGUCCACCCAAACGCAUCUAUACGGAAAGUCGCAAGCAUUGAUAACAACCAGCCCGUUGUAGGCACCCUUCACCCCAUACUUACCAUGGCCUCCCCUUUCCAAAGCACCACGUCCUCCUUUGAAGAUAUCUUGAAGUCCCUGAGCAUAUUAAGCAAUCCUCUAAUCAAGUCCAGCUCCCAAUCAUUGAAGUCUCUAUGAAAUCUAAGAUUCCAACCUCCUUGACCACUGCUAUGAUCCCACAUCUCAUUAACCGUUGCAUUCUUAUUGACCACCAUCUCAAAAAGCUGGGGAAAAGAAUGGGACAACAUCUCAUUCCCACACCACUGGUCAGUCCAGAAUUUUACUCUAGUCCCUUUCCCUACCUUAAACUUUAUGUUAUCCCAACACCACUUAGCUUCCUUCAUAAUCUCCUUCCAAACCCCCACUCCAUAAGUACCACGGGCUUCUUUAGUUCUCCACCCAAACUCUUCCUGACCAUAUUUCACCCUAAUCAUUAACCUCCAGAGGUUAUCCUUUUCAACGGCAAAUCUUCAUAACCAUUUACCCAACAAAGCUUUGUUUAGAGAGUCAAUCUUCCGAAUGCCAAGGCCACCUUUCUCCCUUUAAGUGCACACCACCUCCCAUUUAAUUAAGUGGACUUUCCUCUCCAAGCUACCCCUUCCCCAAAGAAAGUCUCUUUGUAAUUUUUCGAGUUUAUUUACAACACUCUUCGGCAUUCGAAAAAGGGACAUAUUGUAAAUAGGAAGGCUGGCCAUAGUAUUCUUGAUUAAGGUGAUACGCCCUCCCUUCGAAAUAUAGUCUUUUCCACUAGGCUAAUCUUUUCCUCAUUCUCUCUUCCACCCCAUCCCAAAUAGAGACAGCUUUGUGGUGAGCUCCAAGGGGCAGCCCCAAGUAAACAGUGGGCAGCAAUCCCACUUUACAACCAAGCUCCACAGCCAUCUCCUCAAUAUCUUCCACCUCACCAACCGGAAUUAAAACGCUUUUAUCUAGAUUAAUUCUGAGACCGGAAGCCGCCUCAAACCAAGCCAAAAUCCAACUUAGAGCGGACAGUUGCUCUUUGCUAGCUUCACAAAAGAUGAUCGUGUCAUCAGCAAAGAGAAGAUGGGAAACUAUCAUCUCCUCUUCCUCUCUCCCCCAAAUUCUACAACCUGACAAGAAGCCCCCAUCAACCGCCCUUCUAAUAAGAUUACUAAGUACUUCUAUACCCAACACAAAAAGAUACGGGGAGAGGGGAUCUCCUUGUCUUAGCCCCUUGGAAUUCGAGAAGAAACCAACCGGCACCCCAUUGAUCAUGACUGAAAAUUUGGCGGUUGAGAUGCACCACCAAAUCCACUCCAUCCACCGCGACCCAAAGCCCAUUUUAAGUAGAACUUUUAUGAGAAAGUUCCAAUUAAUUCUGUCAUAGGCUUUCUCAAUGUCCAAUUUACAGAUCAGCCCUUUCUCGUUCCUCUUGUGCCAAAAAUCGAUCACCUCAUUGGCAAUAAGAGACGCAUCCAAGAUCUGUUUGCCCCUCACAAAGGCGUUUUGGUCCCCGGACACCACCUUAUCUAACACCUUCUUUAGCCUAUUUGCCAACACCUUAGCCAAAAGCUUGUACAAACCCCCUAACAAGCUAAUUGGCUGGAAAUCACCCAAGUCUUCAGUCCCUCAUUUCUUAGGAAUGAGGACUAUAAAAGUGGAAUUAAGGCUUUUGGCAAAAGAACACUGGUCAUAGAAUUCUCUAAACAAUUCCAUAAUCUCCUCCUUCACUAGCUCCCAGCUUGAUUGCCAAAAAGCAAUUGUGAAACCAUCUGGGCCCAGAGCUUUAUCCCCAUUCAUACCUAUUAGGGCAGCAAAAAUUUCCUCUUCAGUAAACUGCACCUCCAAGGCUUCAGCUUCACAUGAAUUUAGACGCUUAAGGUGCAGUCCCUCAAUAUCCGCCCUCCAGUCUGGUUCUUUUGAAGGCACCUGCUGAAAAGCACUCACUAUUCCCUCUCUCAUCUCCUGUUCCUCAGUCAUCCAAACUCCAUUAAUUUUUAUUCUAGCCAGAGAGUUAUUCCUUCGGUGAGCAUUAGCCAUCCUAUGGAAGAAUCCAGUGUUUCUAUCUCCCUCCUUAAGCCACAAUUCCCUUGACAAUUAUCUCCAGUGGGUCUCCUCCAAUAAGACCCAUUUUUUAAAGGAAUCCUUGGCUUCUUUUUUCAGUUCAGUUUCACCUUCAGACAAGCUCCUUUCCCUUUCCACCCUGUCCCAAAACUCCACUUGUUGAAGGGUUGAGUUCUUAUUGGCUUCCAGUCUACCAAACACCUCCCUAUUCCACACUUUAAUCUUUUGUUUCAGCACCUUCAUUUUAGUGGCUAGUCUGACACUGACCCUCCUUCUUACCUCAACUUCCUGCCACCAACCCCUAAAAAGAUCCGUGAAGCCAUCAACUUUAAGCCACAUAUUUUUAAACCUAAACGGGGACGGACCUCUCCUUAACCCACCCCCCAUCAACACGAUAGGAAAGUGAUAUGAGGUAGGUCUGGGCAGCCUACAUUGCAUGACCUCAUUGAAAUGGUCAAGCCAACUCUGGGUCACCAGGAACCUAUCCAACCUGGCCCAAGCCUGAUUAUUUCUCCCCCUACUCCAAGAAAGCACCCCUCCUUGCAAUGGAAGAUCAAUGAGUUCUAGCUUAUCAGCAACCUGAGCAAACCUUCUCAUUGCACUCGUUAGUCUUCCCUGAUUGCUUCUUUCCCUCAGUGACAGGAUAACAUUGAAGUCACCCCUUAGACACCAAGGAUCCUCCCAAAUGCCUCUAAUUGCUCCUAUCUCCUCCCACAUCCACUCCCUUUCCUCUCUAGAGAAGGGCCCAUACACCCCAGUAAACAUCCAAACUAGCCCAUCUUCCACGUUCCUCAUCCUACAAGAAAUUGAGAAGUUUUCCACUUCCAUUUCCAUUACUUCCAAGGUCCUCUUAUCCUAGCAAAUCAGUAUCCCUCCCGCAGACCCAUGGGCAUCCAGAGUACCCCAAUUAAGAAACCUACCAAUGCCUAAGCUUCUCACCAGGCCCUCUGUCAUUGCCUGAAUCUUGGUCUCCUGGAGACAGAACAGAUCCACUCUUUGACUCUUGAUCAUGACCUUAAUCACCUUUCUUUUUGAGCUAUCGUUAGCUCCCUGAACAUUCCAACUCAAGAUUCUUAGCUUCAUUUAACCACCAUAAUCUGACACCCUCUUACUAGCAUUCCACUCUUCUGCUUCUUCCCCCCCUCGUAGUUAAUAGAGCAUUCCAACCUUUUCAAUUCCCUUUCAAACUUGGAUUUUUUUAGAAGGUUUUUGUUGUGGACUUUUUCCCUUCUUUUUUGGAUUUUAAUCAGAAAAUCCAAAAUUUCUUUCUCCAAACCUUCUGUUGAAAAUCCCAAGAACUUACUGAAUUUGGCCAACUCACUCUCCUCCCAACUUUCCUUCUCCCAUCCCUUUCCAUCUCGUGGCAUAGAUUGGGCUAACCUCAAUUCCUUUCCACAGCUAUCCUUGCAGUCGCUUGGGCCCUCCAUCAAAUCCUAGCGGCUUGCAUUCUCCUCUUCUUGGGAUCCCAGGGGAAGAAGCAUGCGUAAGGGGGUUUAUCUCAGGUGAGUCACCCUAUCAUCCCCAGAAAGGUCGCAAAACUCCCCCAAAGGAGUCCGACCAAAAAAGAAAAGAGAAGAAGGAGAGGGUCCAGACGCCAUCAAACCACAAGGGAUAGGAGCACACCCGUACCUCGACGCUUCUUCAAUUAGGGCACAGUCGGUCCUUAACUUCUCCGCGAGAAAGAGCUCCACCUCAACUUGCCUCCGCCUGCCAUCAUAAUCCCAGAAAGGGAAGCAUUCAACAUCUGGCUCCCUCAGAUGACUUGGACCAGCCCACACAAGAGGCAAAGCCACUCCAGAGCAGCCCACCAAGGACUGGGCUGGAUCACGACAAUCUUCCCUCCCCGUCAGCCCGCACAUNNNNNNNNNNNNNNNNNNNNNNNNNNNNNNNNNNNNNNNNNNNNNNNNNNNNNNNNNNNNNNNNNNNNNNNNNNNNNNNNNNNNNNNNNNNNNNNNNNNNAAAGGGAAGCCUUCAGCAUAUGGCUCCUUCAGAUGACUUGGACCAGCCCACACAAGAGGCAAAGCCACUCCCAGAGUAGCCCACCAAGGACUGGGCUGGAUCACGGUAGUCUUUCCUCCCAGUUAGCCCACACGUCCUAGUGGACUCCACUGGUCUAAGGCCCUCUAAUGACGAAGGCCCUACAGAUGACGAAGGCCCAAUAGGAUGCGGCCCGGUCUUAGGUGAAGAAUCGAGCCCAUCGGACCCAACACCCAAGGCCCUAUGCAAGCCUUCUAGGUCCCCUAGUAAUGACCCAAUUGGGCCUCGAGACCGAGCCUAAAGGGACCCCGACCCACCUGUUUGCUCCCUUGUCCCAUCAGCAAACUGCAGGUGGGUCUCGAGCCUCGCGCCGUCCACCACUUCCAUCACGCGCUUGCCCGCGCAUGUAGAGACAUCACCUUCAACCUCUCCUUCAACACCGCUGUUCUUUCCCCUCCUUUCUGCCGGCAGCACUCUCAUUACCGGCCUUAACUCCCACCAUAGGACAAGCAAAUAACACACCCCUUUGACCCCAAUUUCUAUCAUGCUAGGGAUCUCCUCGCCGGAUAAUUUCACCAAGAUUCUUGCCCACUGCAACUCUUCCAACCUCUCCGUCUGAGUAUCAAUCGCUAAGAGCCCCCCGCAUUUCUCCCUUACCUUUCUNNNNNNNNNNNNNNNNNNNNNNNNNNNNNNNNNNNNNNNNNNNNNNNNNNNNNNNNNNNNNNNNNNNNNNNNNNNNNNNNNNNNNNNNNNNNNNNNNNNNNNNNNNNNNNNNNNNNNNNNNNNNNNNNNNNNNNNNNNNNNNNNNNNNNNNNNNNNNNNNNNNNNNNNNNNNNNNNNNNNNNNNNNNNNNNNNNNNNNNNNNNNNNNNNNNNNNNNNNNNNNNNNNNNNNNNNNNNNNNNNNNNNNNNNNNNNNNNNNNNNNNNNNNNNNNNNNNNNNNNNNNNNNNNNNNNNNNNNNNNNNNNNNNNNNNNNNNNNNNNNNNNNNNNNNNNNNNNNNNNNNNNNNNNNNNNNNNNNNNNNNNNNNNNNNNNNNNNNNNNNNNNNNNNNNNNNNNNNNNNNNNNNNNNNNNNNNNNNNNNNNNNNNNNNNNNNNNNNNNNNNNNNNNNNNNNNNNNNNNNNNNNNNNNNNNNNNNNNNNNNNNNNNNNNNNNNNNNNNNNNNNNNNNNNNNNNNNNNNNNNNNNNNNNNNNNNNNNNNNNNNNNNNNNNNNNNNNNNNNNNNNNNNNNUAUCCUGAUUCAGAUGCAUGUUCAUCUACUUUUAGUGCAAUGUUAAUGUUUCUUCUUCUUAGGAACACUUAGGGUCAUCUCCAAUUGAAGGGAGCCAACUAUCUCAUCUAGCUUAAUUGAAUCAACAGUGUUCCAUUCCUCUAGUGUUAUGACCUCAGGUCUAAAACGAUCAGAGGGGAUCUUAACAGUUUUCAGGUAACCUUGGAAUCAAGUAUAUUCAGGGAUCUUACAUAGAUUGAAAAUCAGCAUUCACAAUGUCUAUGAUUUCAAUAAUAUAUUCAGAAAAUGUUUUUGUUGUGAUCAUUUGAAAUUCAUUCCUUCACCUAUCCCAACUAUACAUAGUUUUUCCUACCCUAGUGGAUAUAUAUCCCAUCUCUAUCUAGCACCAUAUCAGGAUAUCAACCAAAUUGAACAGAACUCCAAUCUCUAUCAGACUUCAUUUUCAGGAAGUACAUCUGUUUUACCUUGGAAUGAGCAUAAUUAUCUCCUUUGAAGUAUGGAGGUCUACCUAUAGAGGUUCCUUCUCGGUGAAUUUCCAUCUUAAGAGAAUAUAGUUUAUCCAUAUUGAGAGCAUGAGUAAACAUGUUUUGAUAUGAUUUAUGAGUUUUUAAGAGAGUAUGCUAUGAACUUGAGAUCUUUUUUAGAUGAUCAAAUAACAUAUGCACAUGAAUGUGAUUAAGUGAUUAGCACAAGGUCAUACGCUAAAAUGUCUCUAAUGAAAUCUCAGCAAACAAGCACACAAAUAUUGCACAAGAUAUAACAUAAAAAAUCUCUAAGGGGAGAAAGGAAAUAAAUAAAUAAAUAACAAUGGGUGCCUUUGUUGUUGCAAAUCCACUAUGAAUAUAAAUCCAGUUUUGCCUACAAGUCCUCCCAGAUCAAUCACCAAUCCCCUUAAGGAAUCCUCAGAGUGAUUAUUUCUUCAAUCCACACCUCUUUUUUAUAUGCUUCAAUAUGGCUCAUCAUGUGCUCACCACCAAUCUCUCGACAUAGCCUCCUUCAACUAUCUUCAAUUACCACGAUUUCUCUUCUCCUCCACUAAUUACAUUACAACAGAAUCACCUUCACUAUCUCAUUGAAGUGAUCUCCAAAAACUAUAAAACAAAAAUUCUAUUUGCAAAGCAACUUCUUCUUCAUAUAGAUUCAGAGAACCAAAAUAAGAAGAUGUUUUCACCUGUAGCAAAAUCUUCAUGUAGAUUUAGAGAACUGAAAUUGUAACUUCAAAUUCACUCUUAGAAUCUCAAUUAAGGUAAAGCUCUCUCACAUUUCAAAAUCCCCCACCAAGAGUUUCGCUUACUCUUCAUUUUGGAAAUGAGAGUAGAACCAACUUAGUGCCGAGGGACAUAAGGCACACCCUUAUGGGCCUAUUGUCAUGCAAAUUUUAAGGUGGAGCAUCCAACUAACUCAACAAAUGUUUUUUUGCUUCCAGCCAUUUGUUUCCAUGGUCUAGAAAAAUAUGUCCUAGAUGAUUCCCAUUGUUUCAACUCUUUCAUGAAAAAUGCUUCUCAAAUCACUCCGGUCUUUCACUCACAUUACAUGUGAACUCCAAUCUACAGUAGUGAAAUCCUAUUAACGAGCAACCUGGAACAAUUAGCUUAUCCUUUCAAUCCCAUUUUCAAGCUCAAUUCCCUCCACCAGUGAAAACAAAUGGUCUUAUAUGAUCAACUCCAUUCACUCCAGGGCUAUAAAGGAAACACUUGUGAGCUGGCAGGCAGUAGCUCCUCCCGACUCACCAUNNNNNNNNNNNNNNNNNNNNNNNNNNNNNNNNNNNNNNNNNNNNNNNNNNNNNNNNNNNNNNNNNNNNNNNNNNNNNNNNNNNNNNNNNGCAAUUCACCAAAGAAUGCAUAGGUGGCAAUGAGGUCCCAAUGGAGCUGUGCAUAUCUAACAGUCGCAGACUUGAAGGAAGCUCUGGAAUUUGUGAAAGCUUCAUGCAGUGACUCAAGUCAAGGGCUCUAAGGUUAGAGAGUUGACUGAUACCCACAAGUAUGUCACUGAGGGUUCCUCCUUCCUCUGGAUUGGACCGACUUAGAUCUAAUACUUCCAGUGAGGAUAGAUGGAAAAUACAAUGGAAGACUCCUCCAUUUAGAUUGCAGUUUCUUAGCCUUAAUUCUUUCAAUGCGUUCAAGCAGUUAUCACUCUUUAUUACUCCUGGUGUUAGAUUGCAUUGAUCUAAAUAUAGUUCCCUUAAGAGAGAUAAACCUGACAAAGAAGGCAAUUGACAACUGAGCGAAUUUAAAGAAAGAACCUCUAGACAUGGCAUUCUCUCCAGGUCCUCUGGCAAUCUGUCAAGUUUUGAGCAGCCUUCAAGACUUAGAACUUCAAGAAAUCUCAAAUUACAAAUGCUGUUCGGGAGACCCUCAAGGUUUUUACAAUUGUCCAAAUACAAGUUGCGAAGACCUUCUAGAAGUUCAAUCGAUGAUGGUAGCUCUUUAAUAGCUGUUUCAUCUAAACUAAGCACCUCUAGUUUUCCAAUGUUGCACUUGAUUUUUGGAAAACUAGUUAGUUUUGAACAGCCACUGCAAUGAAGAGUUAAAAGGUGCUUCAACUUAUGAAUGUCCCCAGGAAGACUCUCGAGGCUUACACACCCUAUAAAAUUCAAGGAAAAAAAAAGUUAGUUUUAUGACACUCUUAUAUGUGUGUGAACCUUAAGUAAAAUUAUACAACCUGAAAGAAUAAGUUCCUCCAAAUUUGGCACGUUUGAGAAAUUUGGUAAUUCAAUAAGCUGUUGUGAAUGACUGAGAUCGAUGUACCUUAAAUUUCUAAGACACUGGAACAAAAUAGAAUUUCUAUUAAUAAAUCAAUUUUAAAAAAUUUAAAAAUAUUAUGAAACAAAAGCAUAAAUAAAUAAUAAUCAUACCAUGUUUCCUUUCCAAAGUAGUUUUAUGUUACUAUUGCUCAAUUUGAGGAGAGCAAGAUCAUUUGGAUGAAAGUUUGAUGGUAGAGAUUCUAAAGAAUAUCCAUCCCAACUGAGACAUGUCAAGUCAUCAGACGAAAAUACAAAAUCUUCAGGAAGUUGUAUGCGAUUGUGGGAGACGACAAGCAAUCUAAGUCUAUUCAUCCUUUCGAAAGCUUUGCAUGUAAACUGUAUCUGUUCUGAUUUGUCCACAUCAAGGAAUAUCCCUUCAAUUUUUUCAGUCCCCUAGAUAAUAAGAGUAUAAAAUUAGAAAAGCACAAUACAUAUAAAUCCUUACUAAGGUGAUAAAGAUAAAUAACUUCUUGAACAAAACAUAUUUUCUAUAUAUAUAUAUCUUACCGUAUUUCUUUUUAAUACUCGAUAAAUAUCUGUAUGCCUCCAUAAUCUGCUCCUCUCUCCUGGCUCAUUAGGACAUUCUUCAUCAACAAUGCCCUUGCCCAUUUGGGCUAACAAAUCAUGCAUCUCUAUUGUCUUGUCCUUUGAAAUGGUUAUGAAACACCUAUCAACGAGAGCAUUUAUUCCACUUUCCGCAUUGAAUUCGGAACCAUCCAAUAUUCUUGAAACUAUUUCCACAUCACCUCCUUUAAAGAAACAUGCAAUGUCGAGAAAUAUCAUCCUUUGUGUAUAAUCCAAUCCAUCAAAACUUAUUUUAAGCACAUUUACAAUUUCCAUGUUAGGCACCUUUUCCAGCUUCCGCAAUUCGCUUUUCCAAUUUGGUAGUCUCUUUCCAAAUAAUAGAGAACCCAAAACUUUAAGUGCUAAUGGAAGACCAUCAGCAUAUCGUACUACUUGAUGAGAGAGAUCUGCAUAACCUUCCUUCAGAUGAUGUUGUUUAAAGGCAUAACGACAAAAAAGUUGAAGAGCUUCGUGAAAAUUUAAUUUCUUAACUUCAUAUAUAUCAUUCACUUCAUGCCUAGUUAGCAAAUCUUUUUUCCUAGUAGUAAUGAUGAUUCUACUUCCUGGACCAAACCAAUUAUGCUUUCCAAUCAAGUGUUCUAAUUGUGUCAGCUCAUCUACAUCAUCCAAAAAAACAAGAACCUUUUUUGAGGAAAGCUUAUCCCUUAUUAUUUUGAUACCUUCAUAAACAUUCUUUAAAACUAUUUGCCCCUUUGUCCUUAGAGUAUCAUCAAGAAGCUUUUGUUGUAACUUAAGAAGACCAGAAUUUUUUGUGGAUUCUUUCCUGACAUUUGUGAGCAAGCUAACACUUUCGAAUUGAUGUGAGAUUUGGUUAUAAAGAGCAUUGAUGAUGGUAGUCUUACCGAUUCCACCAAGACCAUAAACCCCGACCAUGCGAACAUCAUUCGACUCAAUCUUUAACAAUGAUAUUAGUUUUUCCAAACGAGAAUCCAUUCCAACAAUGUUCUCGUUAACACCUAAAAUCUUAGGUAAGUUUCCAUGAACGUUCUCAAUAAUUUCAUCAAUAAGCGUUGACUCAUACCUGCCAAUUGCAAAGCAUAAUAGAUCAUGUACUCAUGCAAUAGAAUGAGUAGCAAAAGACAAUAAAUUAUAUGAAAUAAAUUUAAUGAUGCCUACUUUUCCAACUAUAACUUAGCAGGGCUAAAAAUAAUUUAAAUUAAAAUAAAAUAAACCACAUCUAUCAAACUACUUAUGGGUACGAUUGCAUUAUUCUAUACAGUUGCUCGUGUGAUAGAAAUGAGGGAAGAAAAUGCAGAAUAUGAUUUGCAUUAUCAAAAGUGGAAAAAAGAAAUUGAAAUAUUUUUGUGUUAACUUGUCUACUCAAUCUUUUGGAAGGCUCAAAAUGAAGUUGACUUGUUUGGAAUAUUACUACCCUAUUUUGAUAAGGGAUUCCAUCACAGAAUCAACCACUAUUCUGCAUCCAAGCUUUUACGAUCAACGUUACCAUCUUUUGUACUUGCAUAACUUUCUCUCACCAUUCAUUUAGAUAAUGGUUCCCCUAGCUGUUCUUUAUUAUUAUUAUUAUUAUUUAUAAAUUUUUAUAAAAUUUUUUGAAAACCCUUUAAUCAAAAUAUAACUUUUAUAAAUUAAUUGAACAUAUUUUAUUUAUAAUUUUAAUUAUUUUGUCCGAAGGAAUUAAAAAAAUAUAUUUUAAAAGAAUAUCAAUUUUAACUUAAAAUAAUUUAGUAUAUUCUUUAUCAAGUGUAAAAUUUUAAUGAACAGAUUUUUAUUUUAUAAAAAAUAAAAAAUUUUAAAAUUUUAAAACUCACAUAGCUUUAAAUAUUUUUUAUAUCAGCAGACAGAGAAAAGGAGAGUACUUCAAGUGAAAAAUGAAAAGAAGUUACAAUUACCUGUUCUCCGCAACAUGUCCGGCUAGAUUGCCUGCUUGCUCCAUGGCAGUCCUCCAUUUCCUUAUCUUUUCCUUUCUCUCCUCGUCUGCAUUUUCCUCAUGACGGGUAAAUGCUUCUCCACAAAUCCCAGUUUGCUUCCGAACUUCAGACGGAUCCACAUUAUAGAAAAUUGGGAUAACUAUUUGUCCCCUUUCCUCUUUGCAUUCCAUGAUCUUGACAAGCUCGUCCAGACACCAUUUGGAAUGAGCAUAGGUUUUUGAGAAAACAAUAAUGGCAAUCCUUGAUUCUUCAAUAGCUUUUAAGAGCUCUGGUGCAAUCUCUUCUCCCCUUGGAAGCUCUUCAUCAUCUCUGAAGGUAUGAAUAUUGUUACGAAUCAAAGCCGAGUAGAGGUGAUCAGUAAAGCUUUUGCGAGUAUCUUCACCUCUAAAACUCAAAAACACAUCGUAGCUCCACUGAGAGUGAGAAGUGGAAGAAGAAGAGGGUCUCUGGAUGCUGGGGGAAGCCAUGGUUGAACAGAAAUUGGAGGAAAAAUAAGGGUCUUCGGGUACUGAGUAACUCAUUCCCCUAGCCUUACGUGAAGUUUGGAUGUUGGUGGUGGGAUGCGCUUUUUCUUUCUUAAUUAUUUCUCCCUAGCUGUAUCCCUCUAGCUUUGAAUGAUAGUGUGGUUCACAUGGUCAAGACCGCACUUCAAUCAUUUCCCUUCACUCUUUUCUUUUACAUUUUACUCACUUUUCUGAGUUUUCUCUUUUUGUCAGUCAACAAUGGCCGACAGUCUUGUCUCUGCCGUUUACAGCUGCUCUUUUCUUUUAUUCUAAAAUAAAAAAAAUAAAAAAUGAUCAAAUGGUCUUUGCUUAGCUCAUAAGAUCGUGUGAACGCACAUUAAAUUAAAGUUAUUCAAUUAAGUUUUGUCUUUUCCAUAGUGAGCAAUAUUAUAGUAGAAAAUAAAGGUUUAUUAAGUUGAUAUGUCAAGUAAAGCUAACAACUUUGGUAUUAUAAGCUUCAUUUUUGUAGAUAAAAAAUAUGAUAAUUCAUAUGACAAAAGGUAAAGAAAAUUUUGAUCUUGAAGAGUAGAAAGAAGCACAAAACCUUCAUGAAAUUUUAGGGAAGAAAGACCAUGCCCAAAACUCGAAAUUUAAAUUUUCACAGCCUUUUCACAUUUUGUAGUUGGCUUUAUUAUUAAUAGAAGCACAUAAAUAAAUAUUGUACUUAACCAUGUUACUUCUAAAAUUAAAUCCCAUUAAUUUAUAGGUCAUAAUGGCUUGUAUAGGUCAUCAUAGUAAUGAGUGUGAAGGUGGGUACUUCUAUAAAUAAUAGAUGAGAUUAAACCAAUUACCCUAAAAUUCAAAAGCACCUUUAUCAUAAAAGUCAUUGUCGUCGUAAUGGUAAUGAGGUUGGAGUAUUGGAUUAAAAUAACUUAUUUAUUAAAAAAAAUAUAAUAUUUAACAAAUUUUCGAAACUUAUGUUCAAAUUGAUUUUUUUUUUUAUACCAUGUAGGUGUCAUGUCAUUAAAAUUUAUUUAUUUUUAAUCAUUUUAGUUAAAAUCUCAGUUAGUAAAUCAUUUUAAUUAAAAUCUCAAUUAGUAACUAAGGCUUCAAUUUUUAACUAAAGUCGGUAAUUGUCAAUUAAGGCUUCAUUUUUUAAAUUGAAGCCUCAAUUGACAACUAAAGUUUCAUUUUUGAAUUAAAACCUCAAUUGGCAACUGAAUCUUCAAUUUUGAACUAAAACCACAGUUCCCAACUGAAGCUUUAAUUAUUUUUUUUAAAUAAAAUUUAUUAAAUUAUAAUUUAUGAUUGAAAUUUUAAAAAUAUACUUAAAUAAUAAAUUAUUUAUAUUUAAACUUAAGAAUCUAGUAUUACUUCAACAAACAUAAAUUGAUAAAUAGAAGAUAUUAUAAAUGAAUAUUUUAUUUAUUAAUAAAUUAAUAAUCUUAAAAUAAUAAAUUUACAUAACAUAUAAAUAAUAUAUAAAAUUGUAUAAUUUAUUAAUUUAAGAUAUUUAAUUUGUCGUUUUUUAAGAUAUUAAUUUAUUUGUAUUAUGACAAAUUUAUUUUUAUCGAAAUAAUAAUAUACUUUUAAGUCAUAGUUGCUAACUGAGAUUUCAAUUAUAAUUUUUUUUUUACUUUCAAAUUUAAUUAAAAACUAUUAAAUUAUAAUUUAUUAUUGAAAUUAAAAAUAUAUACUUUAAUAAUAAAUUAUUUAUAUUUAAACUUAAAAAUAUAGUAUUACUUCAACAAACAUAAAUUGAUAAAUAAAAUAUAUUAUAAAUAAAUAUUUUAUUUAUUAAUAAAUUAAUAAUCUUAAAAUAAUAAAUUUAUAUAACAUAUAAAUAAUAUAUAAAAUUGUAUAAUUUAUUAAUUUAAGAUAUUAAUUUAUUUUUAUAAUUUAAUAAUUUUUAAUUUAAAAAAAAUUAACUAGGACCUCAGUUGGAAAUUGAGACUUCAAUUUUAAAAUUUUAGUUUAAAAAUGAAACCUCAAUUGAUAACUGAGGUUUUAGUUCAAAAAUGAAGUCUCAGUUAUCAAUUGAGACUUUAACUAAAAUUAUGAAGAAAAAAAAAUUUAAUGAUAUGACACCUACAUGACACAAAGAGACCAAUUUGAACAUAAAUUUCAAAAAGUAAUUAAAUGUUUUUUUUUUUUUAAUAAAUUGACCAUUUUGACCCGAUACUCAAUGAGGUUAGGUAUAUUUUGAAAGAAUAGAAAACCCUAAAUUUCAAAAGAAUGUUUGAUUCUUGACAAUUUAUCCCCAAGAGCCUUAUUUUUUUACUUUUUAUCUUUUUAUUAUUAUUAUUAUCGUGAGGAUGGUUAAAGAUGAUAUAGAAGUCUUUCAAUGGUUUAAAAAAGAAAAAUGUGAGUGUUAAGUUGACAUUUUUGCCAUUUUAGAAAAUACUUAAUUUUAAGAUCAUUAAUAGGAAGAAAUAAAGAGUUCACAAAAAAUAAAGACAUUUUUAUUGAUUGAUCUAGGUAAUUGUGGACCCCGCAUUUCGGCUCAAUACGUUUUCCACUAGAUGGCGAGCUCGAUUUUGAUUUGAAAAAUGAUUUUUAUUGGUUAAAAGAAUGACUUGGAGUCGCCACUUAUUUUUGUUUUAUUUUUAAAGGGUAAACAAAAUAAGAAAGAAAAACCCUAAGUGUGACUCCUUGUUUUGGAAAAGGUGGUCUGUGAAAAACCGGAUCGGGUUCGGGGGUCAGGUUACUUAUUGGGAAGGUACGGUAGAGACCGUAGCACCCCUCUAAGUCCCUAAAGUCGGGUCUCUACUAAUAAAGUGAAACUGACGUGACAAUCGAAUAAGAAAGUCAAUGGAUACUCACAUCAAUCAUGCAUAUAUGAGAAUCAGAAUAUGUAUAGUGAAUGAUCAGAAUGAGUGAAUGCAUACCUGGGCAGCAAACAGCAACGCGCUAUCAAGAAACGGGAUUAGUGCACAAUUAAUGAAUACAAAACAUAGCUCAUACAUAUCGGAGUGCAAAGCGAAGCUCAAACAAAAUACAGUAAGCACGAAAAUUGACAGUCAAAAGGGGUCAAACAUAGGGCCCCCAACAAAGCCCGAUUUAUUGUUCAUGAGCUAAUCCCACAAAUCCCCUGUUUUGGAAUUAUGAAGGAAUCACUGUUGUUUAUGUAAAAUCAAGAAGAUCAGAAGAUUAUUUAGGAACUGAAAUGUGAUUAAGAACUAUUCGAGUGAAAACUGAAUUAUUGGAGCUUAUUUGAAAAUUGAAGUAUUUGGAAUUAAAUUUUGAAGAUUAGAGCUCUGGUGAUUAAAUCGAAAUUUUUAAAGAAAAUGAGAAACGGACUUUAGGAAAUUGAACUGCGAGACCAUAGACUUUUGAAAGUUGAAUUUAUAAUAAUGAUAGUAAUGAGGUCUUGAGAGGUUGAAUUAAUAAUAAUAAUAAUUAUAAGAUUUCGAAAGUUGAAUUUAUAAUAAUGAUAGUAAUGAGGUCUUGAGAGGUUGAAUUAAUAAUAAUAAUAAUUAUAAGAUUUCGAAAGUCUGAAUUGACGAUAAUAAUAACAAUAAUAAGAUUUUGAAGGUGUGAAUUAAUAAUAAUAAUAAUAAUAAGAUUUUGAGAAUUUGGAUUAAUGAUAAUAAUAAUAAUAAUAAAUAGAUUUUGAAAGUUGAGUUAACAAUAAUGAUAAUAAGAGAGUUUGGAUUAAUGAUGAUAAUAAUAAUAAUAAAUAGAUGUUGAAAGUGCGAAUUAAUGAUAACGAUAAUGAUGAGAUUUUGAAAGUUGGGAUUAAUGAUAAUAAUAAAUAAUAAUAAAUGGAUGUUGAAAAUGUGAAUUAAUGAUAAUGAUAAUGAUGAGAUUUUGGAGGUUUGGAUUAGUGAUAAUAAUAAGUUAUAAUAAAUAGAUUUUGAAAGUUGAGUUAAUAAUAAUAUUAAUAAUGAGAUUUUUGGAAGUUUGGGUUGAUGAUGAUAAUAAUAAUAAUAAAUAGACUUUGAAAGUUGGGUUUAUAAUAAUAAUAAUGAGGGUUUUGAAAGUUUGGAUUAAUGAUAGUAAUAAUAGUACUAAAUAGAUUUUGAAAGUUGAAGUAAUAAUAAUAAUAAUAAUGAGAUUUUUGAAAGUUUGGAUUAAUGAUGAUAAUAAUAAUAAUAAUAAAUAGAUGUUGAAAGUGUGAAAUAAUAAUGAUGAUAAUAAUGAGAUUUUGAAAGUUGGGAUUAAUGAUGAUAAUAAUAAUAGUAAUAAAUAGAUUUUGAAAUUUGUGAAAUAAUAAUGAUGAUAAUAAUGAGAUUUUGAAAGUUGGGUUAAUAAUAAUAAUAGUAAUGAAAUUUGUGAAUGUUGAGUUAGUAAUAAUAAUAGUAGGAUUUUGAAAGUUUGGAUUAAUGAUAAUAAUAAUAAGAAUAAAUAGAUUUUGAAAGUUGAGGUAAUAAUAAUAGUAAUAAGAUUUUGAGAGUUGAAUUAAUAAUAAUCAUAGUGAUAAUAAUAAUAAUAAUGACAAGAACAAUGAUAAUAAUAAUAAUAAUAAUAAUGACAAUAAUAAUAAUAAUAAUAAUAAUAAUAACAAUAAUAAUAACCAUAAUAAUAAUAAUAAUAACAAUGAUAACAAUAAUUAAUAAUAAUAAUAAUAAUAAAUGAUAACAUGCAUCCAUCAAACCCAAAGCCCAUAAGCAUGGAUCCACUAACAAGCCUCAUCUUCAACAAGCCCAGUCCAUAAGCCUAAACCCAUAAGCCUAAGCCCACAAGCCUAAGCCUAAGCCUCCAAAGCCCAUCAGCAAAGCUCAAGCCCAAAUCAAUGAGUAAGCCCAAGCCCUUUAUCACAUGCUCUUCUUCCUCAUCUCCGGAGACAGUGACGGAGAAAAAUGGAGGUGAGAGAGACAUCGUCGGAGGUCCUCGGAGUUGGUCCAAGCUGCCAUCCUCCCGCGCCACCUCGGACAUGCCCAACUGCAGCAGCCUAGUGUCGGUGUGGAGCCUGCUGCUGCAGCCUUCAUAGGAGCGUGGAGCUUCGUCGGCCGGAAUCUGGUCGUUGAGGAAGAGCUCAUGUGCUGACAGCAUCCUCGACGUCGUCGUCGCGGAGCUCCCAUAGUAGGCGAGCCAUGUGGAAGAUUCGAACCCGGCGCCGGUGGACGAUGAGGCUACGGUUAAAGUGGACGGCGUCGGCAUUACGCAAGGUGCGAAGUGCAUGGGGCUCACCGGAGUGCUGUAGAAGAAAAACACCGCUUCCGGAGCCGCGUCCUAGGCUGGAGGGAGCAUUGACGUGGGGGGUGGAGCUAGAGAGAGAAAAUGUGGUGGAAAUGAUAAUGGGUGAGUGUGGCGAGGGUUGACGGAGUUGGGGAUGUGCAUGAGAGAUGAUGGGCAUGAAGAGAUCCAAAAAAAAAAAAAAAAGAUGGGUAUGGUGAUCUCGGAUGUGAGUGGUUAAAUGGGGGUUUGUGAACAAAGCAUGAAUCAAUAAUGUCAAAGCACACUUAUAACUCAAACCUCAUCCAACAAUACAUCAACUACUAGCUAUCCAUAUCUGGAUCAAAGGGAAAAUGACCAGAAAAUAACUCAAGAAAGAAAGAAAAAAAUGGGACAAUCAGAUGCUAAGUAGGAGCAAGGAGUCAUCAAUGGCAUACCUGGGGACGCUCCCUUCUUCUUCAAGCUUCACUUUCCAAGAUCCCUCGAACCAGCCCGCUCUCCCCCUCCUCCUUCCUGUUGCCCUGGUCCCGCUUGCCUUUUCUUCUUUCCCCCGUUCUUUUUUUUCUCUUCGUGUCUUCUUCAGCAAGCCCGCCGUAUCCCGUCCCAUCUGCAGCCCAAAAGCUCUGCCUUCUUCCUGCUUUUCUUCCAACCGUCCUCGGGUGGAUAAAGAAAGUAGAAAAGAAGAAGAAAAAAAAAAGAAAAUGCAUGAAAAUAAAAAAAACCUGCCCCCAGUUGAGGGGGUCUACAGUAAUCCUUUCAUAGCUUUUAACUAUAACUUUGUUGAAAAUCUUACUCCUUCCUCCUUGUCUUCCUCUUAUAAUUUCUAAGUUUCAACUUUUUUUUUUUUCUUUUUAAUAAUAAUAUUGGUUUUAUGUUUUAAUGAAAUAGGUUGCAAAUUUGAAGAAAACAUAUUCUAAUGUAUUUAUUGAUUAUAGCUCUUUCUUCAAAAGGGUUAUCGUUAUUUACAUUCUCAAACUAAUCAAAUUUACAUCUCUAGAUAUGUAAUCAUUGAUGAGUUUGAGUUUUCCUUUACUAACAAAACUUCUACCAUAUCUUUCUUAUAGGAACAAAGUCAAAUGACCAUAUUUUGAGAUUUCGAUCAGCAGUCACAACCAUUCAAUCCAAACACCAACUCAACCCACAACUUCACUCCCACCAAACAACCUUUCAAACCAUCGUAAUAGUGUAGAUCUUCUAUUUUGUCUUUUUAACACAUCUCAUCUAAAUUUGUCUUUCUUACAUACUUUAACACCUUAUUAUGCACUUAUGGUCAUUUUUCUAAGCUGUUUUUUUUAAAUUAUCUUUUAUUCUUUGUGAUUAUGUUGAUUACUAAUUAUUUUAUUUUAUUUUAUUUUAUGCAAGAGUCAUUCUAAAGGGAUUAAAUGCAUUCCAAUAUUGAUUUUAAUGAUUUUUAAAUCUUAAUUCAGGACUUUAUUUUUUAUUGAUGUAUAACAUAUUUAGGUUUGUUUAAAAUUUUCAAACUUUAAUUUUAUAAAAUAGAUUCAAGUUUUGAAUUAAUUAAUAAUUGAUUUCAUUCUCUUUAAAAUGUAGAAUAUGAUAAAAGGCCUGCAACAAAUUCAAACAAAUCUUUAUACAAGUGAGAAUUUAUGUCAUCCAAUCAUUUUAUUAAAAAUCACUCUAUAAAUUAUAAAAAUAAAGAUAUUAAUCACAUCUAUUAAUAUGUUUUUUUUUUAAAUUGACAAAUCAUGAUGAAAUUAUAAUCUUUUUAAUAUUUUAUUAAUUAUAAAUUAAAACAUCACUAUAAUUAUUCAAUCCCCACAGAAUAUAAAAUGAGUUAUUUUCAGUAAUAAUAAUAAUAAUAACUAAUCAUAUUUGAAUAACAUUUCAUCAAUUAUAUAUCAAAAUAAAGUUUUAUGUUUAUCAUAACCUAUGUUUUAAAACAAAAUAAUAAAAGUUAUAUUUCCAUUUAAAUGUAUUUAGAUAUCUACCUCCAUAGCCCAUGGUAUUAAAAUAAUCUAAUAAAACACAGUAUCCCAUAACCGGUCAACAGCACAGCUGCUCCUAGCCUUAGCCUCUUGCAGCUGCAAUCAGCUGUUCCACUCUCUGUUACAGGAGUUUAAGACCAAAAUAAUAUAUUUGUAAAAAAAAAUGAUAAGAAUAGUAUCCAUUUGAAAAUAUUUGCCAAAGUAGUCUUCUUUAUCCACGUAAGCAUCCACAUGGAUUUUAAGUGUAAAGAACCACCGUUGGUGACUGUGGUUUUAGAACUUACAAAAAUUUCCUUAAAACCACAGUUACAAACUGUGGUUUUACAAUUUCUCUUAGAACCACAGUUACUAACUGCGGUUUUAAAAGAAGUUUCCUUAAUACCACAGUUACAAACUGUGGUUUUACAAUUUCCUAACUUUACAAUUAUUUUUAAAAUAUUUUUUUUAUUAAAACAACCAUAAAACCACAGUUAGUAACUGUGGUUUUACUAAUGGUGUUGUAAUUCAAAUUAGUGAUGUUAUGUUAUUCACAUGUUUCCUUGAUAAUUUAAACAAAUAAAACUCAAAUGCAUCCUAAAGUCUAAAUGAAAGAAAUUAUAACUAAAUAAAUUAUUACAACCAUUACCUAUUUUUCUUUCAUAUAAUUAAAAAAUUAUACAUUUUAACCAAGACAUAAGUUCAAAUCAUACUUAAUAAUAAAUAACCUAAAAUCAUAAUCACUAACAUUAAUUUUCAUAUGAAAAGAUAAAAUUUUAAAAUAAUAUAAACAAUUUCUUUAGUUAUUUUAAAAUUUAAAAAUAAUAUGAAUAAAUAAUUUUCUUUAGUUCAUAUGUGAAAAUAUUUGUAAAACAAAUAAAUAUUUUAUUUACUAUAAAUAUAUAAAUUUUUAUGGGAAUGCAUGUAGACCAAAUUAUUUUCUCAAAUUUUCAAGGAAAAUAUGAAAAAAUAAAGAUAAAAUAUAUAUAUAUAUAUUUUUAAAUAGUCGUAACAAAAAAAUUUGUGAAAAGCAAAGUUCUAAAAUCCCAUACUUUUUUAUACAUGAGUCCCCUUAAAAAUAUUUGUGAAAAUUACAACAUAAUUGUAAUUUUGAUAAAAAAAUAUUUUAAAAAUAAUAUUAAAAUUACAACACCAUUAAAAUAGAUGUGGAUUAAAAAUAAUUGUAAAACCACAGUUACUAACUGUGGUUUUAUAGUUAUUUUGAUAAAAAUUAUUUUAAAAAUAAUAUUAAAAUUACAACACCAUUAGUAAAACCACAGUUACUAACUGUGGUUUUAUGGUUGUUUUGAUAAAAAAAAAUAUUUUAAAAAUAAUAUUAAAAUUAUAACACCAUUAAAAUGAGGACGGAUUAAAAAUAAUUGUAAAACCACAGUUACUAACUGUGGUUUUAAGGGAAAUUGUAAAACCACAGUUUGUAACUGUGGUUUUAAGGAAACUUCUUUUAAAACCGCAGUUAGUAACCGUGGUUCUAAGAGAAAUUGUAAAACCACAGUUUGUAACUGUGGUUUUAAGGAAAUUUUUGUAAGUACUAAAACCACAGUCACCAACGGUGGUUCUUUACACUAAAAAUCCAUGUGGAUGCUUACGUGGAUAAAAAAGAUUACUUUGACAAAUAUUUUCAAAUGGAUACUAUUCUUAUCAUUUUUUUUUACAAAUAUAUUAUUUUGGUCUUAAACUCCUGUUACAGUCCAGCUUUGGCCGCCCAAGACAUACAUCUUUUCACCCAUCAGCCAUUACCCCUGCCACAGCUCAUACUAAAGCUGCCAUAACCUAUACCCCAUAACCUAAUAUACGACUCUCACAACCGCCCUUUGUAAGAGUCACACAAAAGCCAAAUUUUUAUUAUUAUUAUUUUUAAUCAACUCCAGCACAGCCUCGUCAGACGCCGAGCCUCCUGAUCUCAUCUCCAAACACGUUCUGCAGCUGAAUCCUUUGCCUUUAUGAAGUUUGGAUGUUGGUGGUGGGAUGUGCUUUUCCUUUCUCAAUUAUUUCUGCUUAGCUGUAUCCCUCUAGCUUUGAACUUUCACUUUUGUCCCUUUUGGCAGUCAACAAUGGCCGACAGUCUUGCCUCUGCGAUUUACAGCUGAUCUUUUCUUUUAGGGAGAGUUGGGAUUACUGGCUGUUAUACGAGAAAUACAUGGUUUUCAAAACCAUAUAACUGAAAUAUGAUUUACCUGAGAAAAAUUGUGAGAGUUGAGUUGUCAUUUUCGCCAUUUUAGAAAAGACUUAAUUUUAAGACCGUUAGUAGGUAGAAAUAACAAGUUCACAAGAACGAAAGAGACCUUUGUUGACUGACCUAAGUAACCCCUUUCAUGGCUUUUUCACUUGUUUGUUUUUGGGUUUUCUUUAAUGAGGCUAGGUGAUUGUUGUUUAUUUUGACUUAUAUUUUAGAUGGAUUUCAUUUUUAAUAAGAGUUUUUCAUGGUAAAAAUUGAUGUGAUACAAAUUUUUAUUGAUAUUAAUAUCAUUUUAUCAUAAAUUAUUUAGAGUAUAGAUAUAAAUAAAAUAUCAAUACCAUAGGAAAUGUUAAAAUAAAGUUAGGUGCAUAUGCAAAAAAUAAAAUUUGAAAAAUAGAAUAGUCCAGUCCAACCAUAUCCACACAUCCAUCUUCCUAUAAAUGAAACUAAUGAUAGAUACAUAAGUCAAAAAUAAGAUUUGAAAAAGAGUAUAAUCCAAUUCAACUACCUAUCUUCCAAUAAAUUAAACUCAAAAUGGGCACAUAUUCCAAAAAUAAAUUUUGAAAAAUAAAAUAUUCCAAACCAACUUUAUCAACAUGUCCAUCUUCCAAUAAAUUAAAUUGGAAAUGAGUCGGCAUGUGAUAAAAUAAAUGUCAAUUUCCAUUUUACUUAUAUUAAAUUCACUUAUAUAUUUAUAUCGAAAAUUAUCCUUUGAAUAUUUCUAGAAACAUUAGUGUGGACUCCGCAUUUUGAUUGCUCAAUGCGUUUCCCACUCGAUGGCGAACUCGACUUUUAUUUGAAAAAUUGAUUUUUAUUGAUUAUUUGAAAAUGACUUGGAGUCGCCACUUAUUUUUGUUUUAUUUUUAAAGGGUAAACAAAAUAAGAAAGAAAAACCCUAAGUGUGACUCCUUAUUUUGGAAAAGGCGGUCUGUGAAAACCGGAUCGAGUUCGGGGGUCAGGUUACUUAUCGGGAAGGUACGGUAAAGACCGUAGCACCCCUCUAAGUCCCUAAAGUCGGGUCUCUACUAAUGAGAUGAAGCUGACAUGGCAAUCAAUGAGAAAAUCAAUGAAUACUCGAAUCAAUCAUGCACAUAUGAGAAACAAAGCAUGUAUAAAGAAUGAGCAAAAUAUGAAUAGAUGCGUACCUGGGCGGCAAUCACGAAUGCGCUAUCAUGAAACAUGGUUAGUGAACAAUGAACAUAUAUAAUUAAGCGCAUAUCAAGGAAUAGAGUAAAUCAAUCAUGCAUGACAAAUAAAUCAAUCAAGCAAUCAAUCAGUCAUGAAUUCACAUAUGUGGGCCCCCCAUCAAAGCCCGUUUAUUUUGCAUGAAUUAAUCUCAUAAAUCUCAUCAUUUGAGAAUUACGAAGAUUGAUUUCUUGCUUGUUUAAAAACAUUUUGAAAUUCAUAGGAGUUGUGAAAAUUAUUGGCCAGAAGGAAGAAUGGCAGUGAAUUUUAUUUGAAAUGAGAUUUUUGAGUGAUCCUAAAAAUUCUAAAGAUGAAAAUUUGAAAAAUAAAUAAAUAAAUAAGAAUAAAAUAAAAUUAUUUGAAAAUCUAGAAAUUGGAAACUAUUUGAAAACGGGAAAUUUGGAAAUUACUUUUAAAUUGAAGAUAAAGAAAUAAAUAGAUAAAUAAAAAAAUAAAUAAAAGACACGUGGCCCAAAAGGUGGUCAUGCAUAGCUGCUUGUAAAUUGGGCAGCCAGUGCUUCUCAUACUCUCAGCUUCGGGAUGUUCCUUGAUGUAGUUGCCCCCAUGUGUCAUCCUUAGCCGUGACAAUGCAUGUGUCUUCAUCCCAAUUAAAGUCACUUUGAUCAAGAAGCGUCUUGACAGUGACAUAUUACAUCCUUAAGACAUCAUACCGAUUCUGCAGUUGCUCCUUCAAUUUUGGGUACUGAGCCCUGGCCCACUUUAACACAAAAUUAUACACUGCAUCCUCUGACGCAACCUGGAGUUCAUCACUAGACAAAAAUGCUUCAGUCUUGACAAGGGGUAAGGCCAUCGCCUCUUCUUGAAACUUGGUUGUGUCUUUGUAACGACUAGCAAGAUAUUGAUUGGUUGCAUCUGUCAAAGGCUGAACUGUCUCAACCAUUAGGGCACUAGAAGGAGGCUCUAGACAGAGCAAUGCAGAUUUCAGGUAUCAUGGAUAAGUUCCUUAAGAGUCUGCUGCAGCUGCGAUUCGGAGACUCUCCACCGUUGAUUUCAUCAUCAUGCUUCGCUUCAGAAUUCUGGACGCCAUGGAUUCAAACCGCGACUGGUUUGGCUUCCUUCAUUGCUUGUCACAACAGACUGCAUGCACCAUUCGUCGCGUACCUCACGACAAAUGUGAGUCUGGUUAAUCCCGUAGGAGGACUCCAAGCAGCAUGCAUAACGUACCUCUUCGGAACAUCACAACGAGACCCACUGGUGCCCUCGUCUGAAUACACCUCCGCAUCUCAUUCAAGUAAUGGGUAUUGGACCCAUGCAUGCAUGCAAAGAUGGAGGAGUGAAGUGGUGAGAGAAAGGAUGUACGGAUUUAGCUGCGAGUAAAGUCACGGGUAUGGGAGGAUGGAUGCGGUGAAGACCUUUGAGGGUGAUGAAAAAUGGUGCAUGGAGUAAGAUAGGCUAAAGUGGAAAUGCGUGGUAGAAUGGGCAAGGAUCUCAUGGGGAGAGUGCAGUCACGCAUAGGGUUAUGGGUAUGAUGGUAUGGGGGAUGGGAUGAUGUAGUUAUGGAGUGGUGUAGUGAGAGGAAAGGUGGUGAAGGGUAUGUGAGGAGGAUGAUGGGUAUGAGAGAAGGGUAUGAUGGGUACCAUGCAUGGGGAUGAAUGGUAUGAAGGAAGAUGGGUAUGGAGGAACAUGAAGGAUGGGUAUUGGAGGAUAUGGGUGAUGAGAAUGAAGUAGGAAACGUGGGUAUUAUGGGUGUGGGAAUUAAGGACGAUGGUGAAUGCGCUUAAUGGGAGAAUAUAGGAUGGAGAACGGGAAAUGGAAGAUGGAGAAUGGAUGAUGAGUGAUGGAGAGCUUGAGGUGGGUUGGAUGGAUGCAUGCAUCGGGCAUGAAGGACGGGUGAGUGGGAUGUGGGUAGUGGGCUUGGAAAAUAGGAACGUGGGUAAGGUGGUGUGGGACCAUGCAUGACUAAAUGGGUUAUCUUUUCCCGGUUUUUUUUAUUUUCCAGAGAUUUGCAGCCAAUUCCUUACUGUCAACAUGAUUACUGCCAACAUCUCAUCUCAGUGCCUUUCAUUAUUCUCACAGUCGCGACCAAAGAACAGUUCACUGUAGGAAACCAUAAAGAAAGACUAUGCUUCGUUGCUACUGACAAGGCAUUAUUUCACUUACCCUGAUUCCAUUUUAAGGCGGGAUAAAACCCGCAACCUGCACCAUCUGCGGAUAUGGUGGAACAAGUCAUCCACCAGAGAAGAAAUGCCUCUCACUGACAGGGUCUGAUGAUGGAGUUGAAAAAUUACGUCUAAAUAAGAAACUGGAAGGAGAGCCUCAAUUUCAUUCUUGGAUUUAACUGCUCAAUCCUUAACAUUCUCACAGCUGUCACCUUCCCCAUCAUAGUCACUUCCACUAACCAUCUUUUCCGGAGGAACACCAUUUUCAUAAAUCCACCAUUACUACCAGCCUCAGGUAGUAAUACGAGAAUCGAAACUCUCCACGACUAGUUCUAGGGAGCAGAGAUGGUAUGGGGGACAAAAUCGUUAAAAAAAAAAAAAAAAAAAGAACAAAAAUCAAAAGAUCCCGGAAUCGUAUAUAUAAAGCUGCGUUCCAUGAAAAACGAACGAGCUCAAAAAUGGUGGAACAAACAGGGGGUCCUCAACACGAGCUGGUAAACAUCAUACUCAAAUCUAGGUAAAGAGUAAUACCCCCAUUGCAAUGAAAAAAAAAAGAUUGAGAGCAUGAGAAGAGAAUAAAACAUAACAUAUAGGAGCAGAUAAUCACAUUUAAACGAAGCAAACCUGUGGCCCUUGAUCGUCCACAGCAAAUCACAAAUAGAUAUUCAUCAGAUUAGCAGAGAAUGAAGUGAGAUUUUAAGAGAUGAAAACGCACCAGAUUCAAAGUGAUGCUACUAAUGGCUCCACAAUGCAACCUUCUCCUCCUCGGCUUGCAAGCUUUCUCUUAGAAAACUCUCCGUGUAGCUUGCUUUCCCCCCAACUCAACCUCUCUGUCAAAAACUCCUCCUGUAGCCCUUCUCUCCCCAACUCUCAAAUAGCUGGCCACCUCUCUCUGCCCUCUCUCUCUACCCUGCAGCAGCUUCUGAAAAGCACCCUACCUCUGGCCAGCUGACCCCCCUGCAAAAAUCCCCUCUAACAGAAAAUAUGCGCUCCUCCUAACGGCCAGAAUAUCUCCAUGCCACGUGUCAAACUCUCACUCGCUCCUCAAUUCCACCAUCUGUUUCUAUGACCACCAACCACAAGACGACACGUGGCCCUAUGGGACUGCGGCACUUGGCAAAAAUGGCUGUAGAAAAUGACACCCAAAUGGGGGUCUACAAAUAUGCCCCUCUUCGGUAGAGUUCACGAGUGUAAGAGAUAUGAACACUGAAGUGAAAAGUAAGUGUGAAUAGUGAGUGGAAUGAAGUGAACUCUACCGAAGAAUCAAAGAGACCCCCAUAGGGACACUGGUGAAACGCAAAGUCACCCAGGCUAGUAGAUGAACACAAAGGCUCUAAUCCUAAAAGAGAAAUGAUGUCACAAAAUGCCUCUGCGGCCAUACUAAGGAUCCAAGCUCCCUCUAAGAUGUCUCCCACCCAUUUACUGCUAAAACAGUGGCAGACAAAUUUGUAUAGGAAUUAUCAAGCUCCACGGGAUGCCCCAGUUCGUCAUUAGUGACCGAGAUCCAAUUUUCAUUAGCAAGUUCUGGCAAGAAUUCUUCAAGAUGUCGGGCACCAAAUUGCAACUCAGUUCCGCAUACCACCCACAGACCGUCGGACAGACGGAAGUUGUCAAUCACUGCCUCAAGCAAUACCUUCGUUGUUUCGUGCACUAGUGGCCACGCAAAUGGAGUUCUUAUUUACCUUGAGCAGAAUAUUGGUAUAAUACCAACUAUCAUAUUUCUACAGGGAUGACCGCAUUCCAGGCACUGUAUGGAAGGCCGCUUCUUGGCAUUCCAUCGUACAUAGGUCUUUCGCUAGUACACGAGGUGGAUCAACAGUUAAUGACUCGCGAUGAACUACUUUAGCAAUUGAAGAUUAACUUAGCAAGCUCAGUUAAUCGAAUGAAACAAAUGGCAGACCACAAGCAGAGGGAUAUUUCGUUGACAUUGGCGAAUGGGUGUUGUUGAAGCUGCAUCCUUACGGCCAACAAACAGCCUUCAAACGGGUCCAACAAACGGCCUUCAAACGGGUCCAUCAGAAAUUGGUUAGUCGUUUUUACGGAUCCUAUGUGAUCUUGAAGAAAUGCGGACCAAUCGCGUACAAAUUAGACUUACCAAAAGGCACGCGCAUCCACCCAGUGUUUCAUGUGUCACUACUUAAAUGAUACCAAGAAAAUGAUGGACUUACGGAGCCACAGUAGACAACGUUGCCACCUAUCUCCGAUGAAGGAGUGGUCGCACUUGAACCGCAAAAGAUUCUGGACACCCGCUUGGUCAAACAGAGAGGCCAACUUGUUGAAGAAAGCCUAGUGCAACGGAAACAUCUACUCUCGAAGGACGCCACUUGGGAACCAACGAAGAAAUUGCUCAACGAAUUCUCACCAACGAUCCUUGAGGACGAGGAUCCACUACACGGGGGAAGUAUUGAUAGGCCACGUCAGUCAACGAGGCCCCGUAAUCCAAAUCCCAAAUACUUGGGAUAAGCUGGACGUGAUCAACAUGAAGUUUGGGUCGUGGGGAACGUUGGAAGUUUACGUUGGAAGUUUACAUAGGAAUGGGUCUUCAGGAGUUACGCAUUUUAUGUCAUUUUCUUUCCGUUAGUGUUGUCUGUUAUAUGCUAUGUUUUAUGUGUUUAAGUUCCGGUUAUUAAGCUACUAGUUUCCCUUCAUUUUUGACAUUAUUGUAAUUGGCUUUGCUUAUUUAAAGCAGCCCAGAAAUUAUCAAGAAGCAGGAGAAAAAUUAUUCAACUAUUAUGGUUCAUUUCUCACCCGAAGAGAAAGUCAUUUACGUUAACAUCUAUCGCAUUUGUUGGGACCUAACAGGGCGCAACUGCUAUCACUACAGCUGGUGAUGUGUUGCUAGUUGCUACAGGGAAUGUGCUGUUGUGGCUGUUGAUGUUGUUGCUUCCUCUUCAAGAAUAUCAACACAAGGUGAGACGAGGGCUUACCCAAAUGAAACCAGAGCAAUCCAAGAAACAAAACUAUCGUGUGGCAUUUCAUCAACCAGGUGGUGGGCAUUAUCAACUGAAAAAAUAUCUCUACUGGAGUUUAUUAUUUUCUAUACAUUGCAUAAACUUUAAAGAUAUUAUGAUCCAUUAACUUUGAACCUUAUUUACACUUGCAUAUGUCUGGGAUUGUGUGUAACAAUUGAUUAACAUUGACUUUUGGGUGUAAAUGUUGUCUAAUUCGUCACUCAGAUAUCAGGUGUGAUUAACCAUGCAUGUCAGAAAUUCUGAAGACUUGAUUGGAUUGAUUUGCUCGUCUGAAAUGUCCAAUCGGCUUGGUCUGUCCAUUCCGUUUGACAUUAUGGAAGAAGGAAAACUUCUCACUUUUGGUGCUAGACGGAGCUUAUCUUUAUCCAGACGGGUUAUAUGUUUGUCCUAAUAAGCCAAAGGGUUUUGAAUUUGAGAAGGACAUGUGGAGGGAAGCUCCCCACAGACAUUAUCAACUGAAAAAGUAUAUCAACUGGAGUUUAUUAUUUUCUAUACAUUGCAUAAGCUUUAAAGAUGUUAUGGUCCAAUAACUUUGAACCUUAUUUUGAAAAUUAAUUUAUAUUCAUUAUUUUUAUAAAUAUAAUAUCAAAUAUAAAUCGAAAAAGUAUAAGUUACAAAUUUCAAAGGGUGUUUAUGAGUGGAUCAAUUUUUGGUCUCAAUUAAAAAAACUAAUUUAAAAUAAUAUAAAUAUAAUAUGUUUUUAGUUUAUUUAUUUAUGGUUAGGGUUAUAAAAUAAAUUGAUAUUUUUUAAUUUUAAAUAAGAAAAACAAAUAAGAUAAAAAAGAAAAAAAAUUAAAGAUCGAACAAUAUAAAAUAUUGAAAGUGAAUGAAUAAAAAUGAAAAAGUUUACAACUCAAAUAAGACCAAUCUAAAAAAUGCAUUACAUAUUAAAAUAUCAUCAUUUUUUUUAUUAAAAUAUACCUAAUGGCAUUUCAUAUUGUUAGAUGGUAAAGGAGAAACUAAAAAAAAUCAUAGAACUAUAGAAUGUAGCACAUGAACUUAGUUUGAUGACCUGAAGUGCACAAGUUGCUUUCAAACCACUGGGACUUGCUUAGGGUUAAAAGUUAAAAAUAGGACCGAUAAUAUUUAAUCAGUAAUAUCAUCUCAAGCCUAUUCCAAAAUAUGGCAACCGGGUAAAAUUAAAAAUUAACUUAAUGCUUAAUAAUUUUUUUUUUAAAAAAAAGAACUUGUUAAAUUUUUUUCUAAAAUCAUUAGAUGUUGUAUAAUUUUUCUAAAAUGAAUGAGAAAAGUUAUAAUGGUGAAGCUCUUGAAAAAGAAGCUUUCAAUUAUGAUCGCACUCCUUCAAAAAAAAAAUCGUUAAAUAUAGAAUAGAAGCAAACUCGUCAAUCAUCACAUAAAAAAACAAUUUCUCCAAAGAGUGCUGACCCUUCAACCCCCAUGAGCUAACCAAGCAGCUCGACCCUAACAUCCUAAGCGAAGCGCAACAGUAGUGAUUCAAGUUUCACAAUCAACACCAAUAAAGACAAGAACAAUUGGCACUCAAAAAAUUUAUUUCCUUUAACUUUUUCCCUUUAAGUUGAAUUUGAUUUUUAAAUGGUGUUAUUUGAUUAAUUAUUUUACAAUAUAUAUAUAUAUAUAUGUUAUAUCUUAAAAAAGGUUAGUAAAUUAUAUUACAAUUAUCAAAUAUAUUACCAUAUAUAAAAUACAACUUAAGAAAUCUUAAGCAUAACACAAAGCACAAGAGCAAGAUAUGUUAAUUUAAGUUACUAAGAGCUUAUUUAGUUGUGUGAUUUAAAAAUAGUUUUCUUAUUUUAAAAAUAAAAAAUUAUUUUAAAAUUUUUUUAACACUAUUUUAAUGUUGUUCUUUGGAAAUAAUUUUUUAAAAUAAAGUAAAAUAGAGAACAAUUUUUAAAGAACAAGUAGGAGUUGUUUCAUCAGUUUUUAAAAAACAAAAAAAUAUAUAAACUCAUUUGAUCAUGUUUUUUUAAAUUUGUUUUUAAAAAUUGUUUUUAAAUUAAAAAAUAAAAAAUAAUUUUUAAAAAUAAGUUUCAGAAAAUAUGACCAAACGAACCCUAAAUGAUUGGAGUUUAUAAUAUUAAAGAGAAAAAAAAGUUAAUUUAAGAGUUUGCAUGUAGGUAGACAUCUAGCUGUAAAACUGGUUUAUUUGAGACACCCAUUUUAUUUAGGGAGAAUUGUGUUUUGGGCCCAACUGGGUCCAAAAAUUAAGAUGUGGUCCAUAUAUUUUACAUAAUUAAGCGCAACACCCAAAGAAAGUCUGAAAAUUGAAAAGAAGGAUAUUGUCCUUCAUUAAUCCCUAAAAUACCCUUAACCCUUACGUAGACAUUUAGUGAGUGUGAAUUUUAAUUUUUUUUGUAUUUUUUUCCCUUUUCUAUUCUCUAUUAAGUAUUACUCAUUUCUAACUUUUUUUUUCUUCCAAUCUAUAUUUCUAUUUUAUGUCAAAUAAAAAGCAAUAAGGUUUUUUUUUUUUUUUUUUUUUUUUCAUUUUUAAAGAUAUUGAAUCUUUUUACUCUUAUUAUAAGCAAGAAUAAAAAUUUUGGGAUUUUUCAUCCAAUUUUUUUAUUUUUUUUAUUUUUUAUCUUUUUGUAUUUAUCUUUUAGUUUAAUUUUCAUUUUUUAUUUUAAAUUUAUAUUACCCUUUCAUUUAUACUUUUCUCUUAUUUUUAAUUAUUUUUUAUUUUCUACAUUAACCAUAUUUUAAAAAAUUUUAAAAUAUACUAUCACUUCACUCUUAUUAUAUAUAUAUAUCCUCCUUUUAGUUUUUAAAUUUUUAAUGUUUUUAUUUUAAAAUUUUUUAAAAGAUAAAUUUAUUGAAAAAAAUAACUAAGAUAUGAAGUUCUAAUAUUAUAUUAAUAAUUUUUCUUAUCCAGAUAGACUAAUGCAAAGUAUUUUGACUCACAACAAGAAAAUUGUUAAUACAAUUUUUUAGUGAAACUUUAAAAAUUAAAUUUCAAAUAAAAUAUAUUAUAUAAAAUUUUAUCUAAAAAUUAUUGAAAGUGGUAUUUAAUUUUUUUUUAUUAACUUUCAAACUUAUCUAAUUUUUUACUUGAAAUGUAAUAGAACAUGUUUACAAAAAAAAUUAGUUUUUCAUUUUUUAAAUAAAUGACUAUAAAUAUAUUAAAAGAAUUAAAGAUAAUUUUAGUAAAAAAUUUAAUAAAUAUGAUUAUAAUUUUAAAUAUAGAUUCAUUUGGAUAAAAUUUCACAAAAAAAAAAAUAGUGAAAAGAAAGAACAUUGCUAAAACUACAAAAACAAAAUAUGAAAUUACAAAAUUUUGAUGAUGAAAUUUAAAAAUAAAAUUUGAAACAAUUCUUGAGUGAGAGAAUUUGAGUGCGGAAAAAUCCUUGAGUGGAAAAAAAUAGAAAAGUUUUUCAAAAUCACUUGAAAUUCUUAACAAAAAGUAGUCUUGUACAGCUGGUGUAAUACCUUUGUACAAUAACUCAAACUUCAUAUAUCAUCUCAUUAAUAUCUAACAAUAAGUCGGUUAACCAUGUUUGCAUUGGUUUUGUUUUAAAAAAGAAGAAAAUUGUUGUAUAAUUUUAUUUUACAAUCAUCAUAAGUGAGGUACCUAUUUAAAUGACCAUAUACAAGUUAGAUAAAGUGUAUGAGAUGAAUAUGUGCUUAAUCAAUGUGUGUAAGGAAUGUCAUCUAUCCUCAGUUAGGGGAAAUAAACAAACAGGUUUUUUAGAAUCACUUAAAAUCCUUUACAAAUAAUAGUCUUGUACCCUUGUACAGUUAGUAUAUUUAUCAUGUACACUUAGUGUAAAUACCUUGUACAGUGACUCAAAUUCCAUAUACCCCCUACUCAAUGUGUAACCAUAGGUAGAUUAACCAUAUUUUCAUUGGUUUGGUUCAAAAAAUAGUGGAAGAUGGAAAAAUAAAAUUUUCUCUCAAACAUCAUUCGUGGGAUAAGUAUUCGAAUUGUCAUAUGCGAGUUAAAUAAAGUGCAUAAGAUGAGUGUGUGAUAGAGGAAUGUGUACCUUGAGAGUGUGCAAUCCUUAGAUGACAAGACAAAAAAAAAAAAGUUGUCCAAAAUUGAUUGAAAUCUUUCACAAAGGAUAGUCUUGUAUACCCCUUGUAUAGUUAGAACAUUUACCAGUAUAGUUAGUAUAACACCCUUGUACAAUGGUGCAAAUUUCAUCCAUAUGCAUACAUUAUGUGCUACAUAUGAUGUGUGAACCAUGUUUCCAAUGGUUUGAUUUAAAAAAUGAUAUAAAACAUAAAAACAAAAUUUUUCCCUAAAUAUAAUUAUUAAGGUAAAUAUUUGAAUUGUUAUAUGCGAGUUAAAUAAAGUACAUGAAUUAAAAGAAUUUGUGGUAGAAGAGCGUACAAUCCAUAGAUGACAAGAAAAAAAAAAGUUGUUCAAAAUGUACAGUCUUGUACACCUCUUGUACAAUUAGUGUAAUAACCUUGUAUAAUGAUAUAGAUUUCACAUAUAUGCAUAAAUUAUAUCCACAUGAGUGUGUAAACUAUGUUCCCAAUAGUUUGACAUUUAAAAUAAUUAAAACAAAUAAAAUGUUAUUUUAUUUUAUUUUCAAAACUAUGUUAGCUAAUUGUUCUUUUAAAAUAACAAGAUCAUAAUCUAUAUUAUAUAUACCAUGAGGAUAAGGAAUAAAAGACAUUAAUUCAUAUCAAAUAAGCAGAGUAAAUAAAGAUUUAGAAUAAAUUAAGCAAAAUUAAUCAGGCUUUAAAUGGGGUAAGAUAAAUUUUGGUACUCUGAAAAUUAAUUUGAAUCUACAGUCUCAUUUCCUAAUUAAUAUACUGCAAUACACAGAGAGACUUUGACACCAACUUUUCCCAUCAGCAGUUUCAACAACAGUUUGUUAGUCAAAGUAAUGGUAGGGGUUUUUGAAAUCUCCGUUAGCAAUGAAAGUUUAAUGAAAAUUUUAUAUUGAAUUAAAGUGUGAACGCAUUUAUUGCUAACAUUAAAAUAAUAUAGACAUUUCCAAAUACUUAAUAUUUUAAUAUAAAAUUUUCAAACACUCAUUAAAAUAAUAUAAAAGGUUUCAGACAAUUAUUAUUUUAAUAUAUAUUUAACUUAAGGUUCUGUGCUUAUAGUGUGAAACCAUUUAAUGUAUAAAAAUUAAGUUUUUGAAAUCGGAUAUCUCAAAAAUUCAGGUAAUAAAAUUCAAAAAUUUUUAAAACGUCACUUCGUGUCAAGGUAAUACCCCCCUUCUGACCAGACAGAGUCUCCCUAACAUGCCAAUUUUCAGGCAAAAACGGGUUUAAGGUUAAGGGUUAAGACUAAAGACUCUAGUUUUAAAACAUGAUUUUACACCCAAAAUUUUCUAAAUAACCCGAUUUUUUUUUUUUAUGUUGAUGAGAACAUUAUAUAAAAAGGAUCCACAUAUAUUACAUAUAUUAAAUAGUAAAGAAAACUUAAAAAUAAUUCAAAUAAUUUUCUUUUCCAUACUUUACCUUUUUACCCCUUUUACCCCUUAAGGGUAAGAAAAAUACAUAAUAAAAUAAAUUCUAAAUGAAAGCAAAAAUUUAACAGAAAAUUAAUUCUUACUUUCUUAUUGAUUGCUGAUAAAUGUACAAAACACAAAUUAUUAAAAAAUAAAACCGAUAAAUAUAUGCACUUAGGAAUAAUUUUAAUAGGAAUAAUAGGACUUCAUCGUAAAGAAAUUGGAGCACUUAUAAAUAUUAACCUUUUAGAUACUAGAAACAAUAUAGUAAGACGAGCUCUUUUAGCUAGUGCAGAAGUUAAUAUGAACCAAAAUUAUGCAGUUAUUGAUUGUAUACCUCAAUUUUGUAUAGAUCUUAAGGAAUUCACAGAAAAAAUAAAAAUAACUGUAAAUACUAAAGGUUAUGAUAUGGAAUUAGGAAGUAAAAACCUUAGCAUAGCUAUAGGAUUUAUAGGAAAAACUACUAACGCUUUAAGUUUAAAAUGUAUAAUGGAAUUCGAUGAUAUAGUAAAAACCUUUGGAAGUAAGACAGUAAAUAUGAUAGAAGCAAAACCUGUAAAUAUAGACUAUUUACUAGGACGAGAGUGGGAAUUACCUUAAAUAAAUAAACCAAUAAUAAAAUAUCCAACAUCCAGUAGCUUAUAUGAAAACCAAGAUGGAAGUGCAAGUAUAACCUUUGGAAAUUAUAAAACUGUAAAUGUAGAGGUAGAGUCAGAUAGUGAGAUAGAAACUGUGAAUGUUAUAUAAGAAGAUAUUUUACUAAACAUUGAGACAGUAGAAAACCUAUACAAAAUCUUAGAGUUAGUAAAUAUAAUGUUAGAGGAAUUUAGUAAUCCAACAUUACUAGACGAACAAGUGGAUCAAGAAAACUUUGUUAAUAUAAUGUGUAAAAACUAUACAAAUGACCAAAUAAUAGAACAACUCUAUAAAACCAAUUUAAUCAAAAAAACUUAUAGAUAUAGAAAUGAUAAAUCAAUUUACUAUUCAACCAAAAGUUAACAUCUCAAACGAAUCAAUAAAUACAAUAAAUGAAGAAAAGGAAUUUGUAAAUGUAAGAAGUGAAAUAGUAAAAUAUAAUAAGCCGUAUAGCAAGCCAAAAGGACCUCAAUGGAAAACUAAAACAGAACCUUAUAGUUUUUUGCAACCAGUAUAUAAUUCUUUGCAACCUGUAUUAUUAGAUAUAGAUAGUGCGCAAGAUCUUAGAAAAACCAUAGAAAAUUGGAAGCAAUCUUUAAAUUCAGCAGGUGUGGUAGUAUCCUUUGAAAACCAACAAGAAAUUUACGAAUUUUGUAAAAACACCCUUAGAGGAACUGUACUACAAUUUUUUAGAAACAUGGAACAAGAAAACAACAGUUAUUUUCAAGAAGUUAGAAAUAAUUUUAGCAUAUCUGUAUUUACAAAUCUAAUAAAACUUUAUUUUUUGGGAACAACACAAGAAGAUGUAAAAGAACCUGCAAUAUACUUUCAUAAGUUAGAACAAUUGAAAUUAUGUAACCUUUCAUAUAUAAGGGAAUAUGAACAAAAAUUUAGGAAAUAUGCAAUCCUUGCUAGAGUAGACAGAACCCCUGAAUAUUUAAAUAAAUAUAUAUUAAAAAUACAAGGAUCUGUAGGACUUAGACUAUGGAAUGAAUUUACAACUUCCGAGUAUAAAAAUUCUCCUUAUAUAGGUGCUAGAAUAGAAUUUGUAAAAAAUUGGUUAGAAAGAGAAUGUGUAAGCAUAGGAGAAAGAAGUCAAAUAAAGAAACAAGACAUAAAUCAACAACUUUGUAGAAAAUUACAUAUAGGAGAAAACCUAGAUAUAGGAUGUAGAGAAUAUAAGUUUAGAAAACCUAAGAGAUAUAAUAAAUUUUUAAGAAGAAAGUCAAGAACCUUUUAUAAAAAAACGACCAUAUUAGACAAAAUAUAAAAAACCUGGAAAGUUUUGGAUAAAAAGAAAAAGAACCUCAGAAAGAAAAAGACAGUGUAAAUGUUAUUUGUGUGGUCAGGAAGGCCAUAUAAGACUUGAAUGUCCUGAACUUAAAAAACUAUUAAAUGAACGAAAUAUAAAAACCCAAGUAAAAAUAAACCUAAUAAAUGAGUAUCAGCUAGAUAGUGAAGAAGAAGAACUUAUCAAUGAAUUAGACUUUGAAAGUGAAAAUUCAAGUGUAUAUAGUAUAGAAGAUAGUGAAAAUGAAAAAGAAGAAAUUUGUAUGAUUAUUGAAAAAGAGGAAAAUCAAGCUAAGAAAACCCCUUUAAAUUUAGAAAACCUUGUACAACCUUUAGAAAGUAAAAUAAAACCUUAUAAUAUAUGGAAAGAUUUACAAAUAAUAAUCAAAGGAAAAUUUUCAAAAGAAGAAGAAGAUAGUUGUUCAAAACCUAAGGACACAGAAGAACCAAAAAGUCCUGUAAAAGAACCAAUGAAUCCUGAAAAAAUAACCAUACAAACAAUAGAACAAGUAAAUAUGGCAAAUAAAGUUAAAUCUAUUAUUUUUCCAACAACAAUUAAAUUAAAAACCAUAGAAUUAAAGGUAGACGCAAUGUUAGAUACUGGAGCCAGUAAAAACCUUUUAUUUGAAACCCUAGUCCCUCAAGAAGAUCAACAAACAUUAGUUCAACCAGUAGAGUUAAUCCAAUACAAUCAACAAAAACUAAUACUAACCAAGUAUAUUUCAAACGUACCAAUCAUAAUUAAUAACAUAACCUUAGUAUUGCCCCAAACUUAUCUUGUACCUACUAUAAGUUUAUAUCCUUUUAUUUUAGGUUUAAAUUUUGUACAUUCUUUACAAGGAGGGAUAACAAUACAAAAUAACCAAGUUAGUUUUCAUCCUAAAACCACAACAAUUGUUUAUACAAACAUGGAAAAUGUAUUAAAUAAAAAUCAGAAUGUAACAUCUCAUCAAAUUAGCAAAAUGGAGGCACAAAAGGAUAACAUAAUUAAUGACUACUCAGAACAAUUAAGAAAUGCAAAUAGAUUAAAAAACCUUAUAUUAGAAGCAGAAAAAAUAGGAAUUAUAGGGGAAGACCCACAAAAACAUUGGAAUAAAAAUAAGAAAACCUGUAAAAUACCAAUUUAAAACCCAGAUUUAACAAUAAAAACGGCAGAUAUAGCAUGUAAUCUUAAGAUACAAAGGAAUUCAAAAUUCAAAUAGAAGAACUAUUACAUAAUAAGCUCAUAAAACCAAGUUUCAGUCCCCAUAGAUCCUCAGCUUUUUUAGUUAGAAACCAUAAUGAAGAAAAACGAGAAAAAGUUAGGAUGGUUAUUAAUUAUAAAAGAUUGAAUGAUAAUACAUAUGAUGAUGCCUAUAAAAUUCAAAAUAAAGAUUCUUUAAUUAAUUCUAUUCAAGGAUGUAAAUAUUUUUCUCAAUUAGACUGUAAAAGUGGAUUUUGGCAAAUUAGAUUAGAAGAAGAUAGUAAACCAUGGACAACGUUUUCAUGUCCUUGUGGAUUAUAUGAAUGGAAUGUAAUGUCAUUUGAACUAAAAAAUGUUCCACAGAUAUUCCGACGAAUGAUGAAUAAUAUUUUUGAAAAAUAUUCUUUUGUUCUUGUAUAUAUUGAUGAUAUUCUUGUCUUUUCAUAUACUCUUCAGGAACACAUAAAGCAUUUAGAAUUGAUUUUUGAAAAACUAGUUAGUCAUGGAUUAAUAGUAAGUAAAAAGAAAUUGAAAUUAUUUAAGACUCAAAUAGAAUUUUUAGGAUUAGAAUUAGAGGAUGGACAAAUAAAAUUACAAGAACAUAUAGUACAAAAAAUAAAUAAUUUUCCAGACAAACUCGAAGACUUAAAAACCUUUCAAAGUUUUUUAGGAUUAUUAAAUUAUGCUAGGCCAUAUAUUAAAAACCUUAGUAGAUUAGUUGGACCCCUUUAUAGUAAAACAAAAAACACAGGGUAGAGAUAUUUUAACUAAGAAGAUAUUAAACUUAUACAGAAAAUAAAAGAACUUGUGAAACAUCUCCCAACCUUACAUUUACCCUUAGAAAAUGAAUAUAAAAUAGUUCAAACUGAUGCUAGUCAAACAGGAUGGGGAGGUAUACUUUUAGCAAUAACUAAUAUAGGAGAAGAAAAACUUUGUAGAUAUUGUAGUGGAACUUUUAAUGAUUAUCAAAAGAACCUUAGUUCUACAUACUUAGAAAUUAAAGCAAUAAUAUUAGUCUUAGAAAAAUUUCAAUUAUUUUUGAACCAAGAACAAUUUACUUUAAGAACCGAUUGUGAGAAUAUUAAAAAAUUCUUUGAAAACAAAAAUUCUUCAAAACUGUCCACCAAAAGAUGGAUAAAGUUUCAAAACUCUUUAAUUGAUUUCAAACCUAAAUUUGAACAUAUUAAAGGAAAAGAUAAUAUACUAGCAGACUAGUUAAGUAGACAAAUAAUUAAUAAUGUUGAUGAUACUAAUGAUUGAUUUCAUGAUUACAAGAACAUGGCUCAAAGAAAACCUACGAAAGCUAGAACCUUUCAAUAUGGAACCAUUUGUCUGAACGAAGUGUUAAAUCCAAAUAUGAGGUUUAACUCUUUAUUUUCUCAAAACCUUUUUGAAGAACAUAAGGUUAUUGUAGAUAAUUUUUUGUCUCUAAAACCACAAAGUUUUUCGAACCAAAAUUUAGAAUACGCUUAUGGAAAAACAGUGUUAGCUUUAGCCCAACAUUUACAAAACCUUCAAAACCAACUGAUUGCUUUAGAAACCCAAAAAUUCCAAAACCUCAAAAUCCAAGAAAAUCAAGAAAAACUGAUAGAAUAUUUGAAAACCAGUACAGUGUCAACCAAUCAAACCAGUUGUUCGAACAAUCAACUUGAAGUAAUUAGUUUAAUUAAGAAAUCAACUCUUCUGAUUGAACAAUAUGAAAAGCUUGUUGUUAAAAACAUAAUUGGAGUUGAUAACUACUCUUUCGUCAAAACCUUUUUCCUACAAAAUCAAUAUAACAAAGUAUUUAAAAAUCAAGAACUUUUGUAUAAACAUUUUAGAACCAAAAAUGCCGGGAUAAAAACAGGGUAUAUGGCAUAUCACGACCCUGAAUUUUUCUUUGUUAUAUAUUUAGCUUAUGUAAAUAUGUCUGUUAUAAAUAUAGAAAAUUUUGAUUUAGUACCACAACUCAUGGAUCAGGGAAUUUUAAAAAAUGUUUUUAUAAACCAUAUAUCUCAAAUCCCUAAAAAUUUCCUAGAAAAAUUGAAAGAUAUUUUAACUUAUUUUUUUAAAACCGAAAAAUAUAUAGAUAUUUCUUUUGAAACCAUUUCACCUUUAUUUCAACCCGAUGGAUCAGUAGUACCAGCCUAUCAUCAUGUAUAUAUAAAACAUAAUAAAGAACAACUCAUCCCUCGAUAAGAACCAGAAUGGGAAAUGAUCCGUUUAGAUGAAUUUCCAGAAUUUUUUACUCACUUUAGAGCUUUUCAAAUCUAUGAUCUUAGACCAACCCGGAAUAAAUUAUUUCAUCUCAUUGGUUAAACAAAAACCAUGUCUAUAUGGAGAGUAAAACCUUUAGAACACAUUAUUGUUCCAAAACCUUUUAUUACUUUUGAAGAACAAGAUUUUAUAACCAAACUCAGUGUAGAUAUACCGGAACCAUCUUCCUACCUCAGCGAUGACGCAUUAUUUUGGGACAACCUGGACGAUGAAAGUUAUCAUAAUUUACAAAAUGCAAUGGAAGGGUGAUGUUAGCAAUGACGACAUUGAGGCAGUAAAUGCGUCUUCAACUACAAAAAUUCAAUGUGGCAGUACAAGUUCAGAAGCAGUAAAGACAUCUACAGGCCACGUAUUAUGCAUGUGAUAAAAAGAGAGAAGAAAAGGACAAGAAAAAAAGACAAGAAGGAAGAGAAGAACAGGUGAAUAAACAAAAGUCAAAAGUCUCAGAAGUCUUUUAUCAUCUUUGUAUUUAUUUUAUACCAAACCUCUAAACACCGUAAAUAUUUUUCCUACCGUCCAACCACUUGAAUUUAAUUCUCACCUGUAUUGUCACCUGUCACUUGUAAAUACUUUGCCUAUAAAUUAGUGGUAGUAAAAGAAAAGAAGUGUGCUCGAGAAAGUGUGUCCGAAGGUGUGUGCAACAUAGUGUAAAGUUGUCUGUGAAAGAAAACUGUAUCUUCAACCUUGUACAUUUAUCAUCAAUCAAUAAGAAAGUAAGAAUUAAUUUUCUGUUAAAUUUUUGCUUUCAUUUAGAAUAUAUUUUAUUAUGUAUUUUUCUUACCCUUAGAAAGUAUUUUUUUAAAUAGUUUUUUAACAAUAUUUUUCUUUAGUUAUAAUUUAAAAUAGAAAAUAAUGCUAAUUUUCAAUUAGUUAUAAAUAAAAUAAAAUUUAAAAACAAUGAAAAAUCUAAAUUAUUAAAAUAGAAUUAUUAUAGUUGCAUGAAUAGUGGUGCAAUAAAGACCAAAAAAGCUUAUGUGAAAGAUCAUUGGGUGUUUUAGUCCAUUAUUAUUUUAUAUCCUUAAAAGGUAAUAUAUGGAAAUUUAAAGGGCAUAUUGGUCUCUUAACAUCUUAUAUCAUUUCCAUUAAUUAUGUAAGUUAUAUGGACCAAAUGUUAAUUUUUGAACUCAAUUGGACUCAAAACACAAUUGUCCCUUUUAUUUAUACAUUCUUCUGGCAUUGACCACGUGUUUAGGAUGUGUUGCACUAAAAUCUCAUGAUAAACUUGCAGUUCAAAAUCACAAACUAGAUGUAUGUAUUAGAAACAGACCAUAUUGGGUCAUGCACAUUCUUCGUCAUUUUCUAUUUCUUAGCAACAUAUAUGACCAAAUGAAAUUAUUAUACCCUAAUUAUAUUUUUUUAACUAGGUGAUAAAGAUAAUUAAAAUAUUAUUAGAAAAAACAAUCAUAUAGGUUUAAAUAGAAUUUCACACUUAGCCGUAUGAUAACAAAUUUUGUCAAUUAAAUAAAUACAACUUAAAAUAACAAAUUAAAUAAAAAAAAUGAAUAGUUCAAUUUUAAAAUUUUUACUCCUACAAAUUCACUAAUGAUUAAAAAUAUUGCAUUUAAAAAAAAAAAAACAAAUCACUUUUUGCUUUCACAGUCUAUAUGACAUUCCAACCUUAGAUCCCAUAGUUUGAGUAAGUUUGAGGCUAGAUUUGAGACAACCCAGUGAUACUACUUCGGUUAGUUCACACAAAUUCAAUAGAUUAUCACAUAACUAGUGCAUGCAUUAUCUUGCCUAGAAUAAUAUCUUAAUAUAACUUGGGCAAAAUCAGAGAGAAGUGGUGUUUAUUGUAGUGAGAAAUCAGAGGGAAAUCAUUGAAUGAUUUAUAGGUUGUGAAAUUAGAGAGAAAAAGAUGAGCUUUGCUGGUUUGAAAUCUAGAGUCUCUGAAGACAAGCAAAGAGCAAGAUUAUGAGAAAGGGUAACUUGAGCCUCAAAAAUAUGUAAAUAUAUAAAUUUGGCAUCUAUGAAAUCGGUCAGGCCAUAAUCAACAUGUACAGUCACAACUUUUUGUUGAGACAUGUGCCUCUCAGAACAUUUGAAGUUAAGAUGUUUGUCUUCAAUUUGAUUGCUCUUUGUGACUUUGAGAUUCUCAUUCCUUUUGAUGUAAAAAAAAGAAAAAAAAAAAAAAAGAAUUAAAAGAUGUAGGGUAAAAUGUUAAAUAGUGUGAGUUUGAAUUAAUAAAGUUUUAAUCAAAAUUGGAAAUUAAGGUGAAGUAUCUAAUUUGCCUUGAUCACAAAGGAAGCAAAGAUUGACCAAUCAGAGCUUUGAGUCUUUCACUAAUCAUAUGAUGGUUUCACUUUUAAUUGUUUGAGAUAUUCCAUAUAGAUAUCCAUCAAACCUAAGGAUAAGACAUUAAAUUGUGUAAUUUUUGUAUAAUGAACUAGUUCACAAAAUGUUUAAUACUUCAAAAGUGAUAACUUACGAAGUAAAGAAUCAAUCCCAACAACUUUAGUUAGCAAAAUAAUGUCGUAAUUCUAUUUUUAACUCAUUUGAAAUACUUCUCAAAACAAUAUUCCGAAGGACAAAAAAAAUUGAAUUUAUAAUGUAGUUUCCUACAUAAUUUGAUUUCUUAUUCUUGCUUCGAGAAUCUAUCUCUUUUUUACACCAACAAAUAUGUAUAGUACAAAAUAAAAUAAAGUGUGAGGCACCGCUUUAAUCAGAAUAAUUAAUUGAAAUGAAAUGUUUGACUUGCCUUGAUUAAUAAGGACUUUCAUGGCUGACCUGAUAGAGGUUGGGCUCUUAAUGUCAUCCAUUCAGCAAUGUAUCAUACCCUACCAAAGCUUGAUCAAGUCUAAGGCUAAGCUGUAAUUGGUUUAGCUAGGAAAAAAAAAGAGAAGAAAAACGAGAUCAUUAGAAAGAAUUUUCAGUCCCUUUAAAUCACUUAGCCAUAUAAUAAAGGAUCGUAGCUCACAAAAAACUUGAGAUAAAUGUUUAGUAUCUUCUCCAGCAUAUCCAUUCAACAAAUUUGCAAAAAAGCUCCAACCGGUUGUGCAUAUGGUCCUCUUCAUCAUCUUGGGCAUCAACAACAUUACUGUCAAUAUUCUGUGUCCAUUGGAGAAUCGCUAUGCUCAGUGCACUGUGUACAGUCAUAGCUUGUUUGUGCAUUAGAAUUAGCAUCUUCUGCUGCUGAUCUGGUAUCACAACUUCUCUGCUCAUCAUUGUACUCUAUCAUUGUCUGAUGGUCGCGCUUGGUCGCUUCUGGGUUGUCACAGCUUCUCUGAGCAUCAGUACUGGUAUCUUCUGGGAUGUUUCUGUUGAUAACAUCACCUGUAUAUAUAAGAUGGAACCCCCACUCUUUCACUUCGACUGGUGUACCGUCAAAGCUACGAAAUGAAGCCUUCAAACGUCUCCAUUCGUUUGACCAAUACUGGUUGUUAAUAGCAACCUUGGGAUAACAAGUCACACACAUUUGACUUGAUUCACCACAAAUUCGGCAGCUAUAAAACAGGACAUCAUCCACGUCACAGCAUUCAGAUUGAUCACCACAGAUAUUGAGUUCGCAAUUCAACCCAUCACAAGCAAUAGGAGUAAAAACAGAGUAGAAAGCAAAUCCUAAGAAGUCAUUAUUUCUGUACCAAUCCAUAGGAAGCUCUAUUGUUAUUUGAGACCCUUUUUUUUGCUGGCUUGUCCACUCUGGAAUUCCAUUAUUUCCCGAAAUUACAACUCUGAUUGCCUUAAUCCAAUAGAAGCCGCAUUCAAAUUCCUGCACAGAAGUACAGUGUUAAUACUCUGUGUUCAUAAGGAAAAAGGGCUGAAUGUUAUGAAAAUCAUACCUCAAUUGUUGAUUUAAAGCAUUUGAACAGAGAAAAACCAAGUAGACUUGAUGGACUUGAUAAAGUUUCUAAGCAUGUGCAACUGUGGACUUCUAGAACUCGUAAACUUGGCAGAAGCUCUGGAACUUGUAGAAGCCUCUGGCAGUGACUCAAGUCAAGGACUCUCAGUUUGGAAAGUUGAAUGAUGCCUGCAAGUAUGCUACUAAAACAGUCCAUGCUUAGAUUUAGACCUGAAGCGUGCAAACACUCUAAACAUUGCAAACUCCUCACGUUCUCGGGAAAUUCCUCAAGUUUUGUACAGAAACUGACAUCUAGAAUUUUGAGAGAACUCAAAUUACAAAUGGUCUCUGGAAGACUCACAAGGUUGGUGCAAUCUGCAAGAUUCAAACAUUGAAGCCCUCUUAAAUAUUGAAUUGACGCUGGUAGUUCUUCUAUAGCAGUUCCAUCUAAAUGAAGCUUUCUUAAAUUUUCCACAUCCUCAAGGAUUUCUGGAAAGCUCCUUAAUCAUGAACAGCCUGAGCAGUCGAGAGUUGUAAGGGAUUUCAACUCACAUAUGCUACUGGGAAGAUGCUCAAGGUUUUUGCAUUCUCGCAAGCACAAGCUAUCAAGUUCUAAGGGACACUCAAUAGUGGGUAGUUCAUUGAUGGCAUUUCCCUUUAAACAAAGCUUCCGUCUGGAUUGCACAUCCUCUUAACAUUCCUGGCAAAUGGUGGGUAUCAUUGCUUUACCAUUGUUCUUUUCAUGAUCAUGGGCAUAUAUAAGAUGGAUCCCACACUCUUCCACUUUCAUUGCUUUACCACAUAAGAAGCCACAAAAUGAAGCGGUCAACUGCCUCCACCUCCGUUUAUUUGAGUGAUACUUCUCAAUCUCCACCUUGGGAUAAUAAAUCAUCCACAUAUUUGGUACAACAUCAUAGCAGUGAAACGUGGGAUAAAACCGGAGUUCAUCCACAAACUGAGAUUCAUGAGCACGCAAAGUCAAACCACACUUGAGGGAAGUUGCAUAAUUCUCCAGUGUCUCCUCAGAUUCAUUAUCAAGUGGAUCAUAGAGAGAGUACAAAACAAAACCCAACAAGUCGUUAUUUUUAUACCAAUUUUCAGGAAGCUCUGCUACCACUUUAGCUCCCUUUUUGUGAUGGCUUAUCCAUUUUGGAAUUCCACAACUUCCUGAAAUAAUAAGAUGUACUCGGGCAAAACGGUUUUCUCUAGGAUAAAUCCUGCAUUCAAAAUCCUGCACAAAAUUUAAUUAACGCGUAAAUCCCCAUGUCUCCAUAGAAAAAGUUUUGUUCUAUGAAUAUCAUACCUGAAUCAAUGAUUUGAAGCAGUUGAAUAGAGAAGACCAGAGUAGACCGGAAGAAGUUUCCAGCCGUGUGCACUCAUGUACAUCUAAGACACGCAAACUGGAUGGAAGCGCUGGAAUUUGUCGAAGCUCUUGACAGUGACCCAAGUCAAGGAGUCUCAGCAUAGAAAGUUGAUUGACCCCAGAAGGUAUGCUCCUAAAAAGAUUCCCGGUUAGAAGUAAUUGUCGCAGAGAUGAUAGGUGGCAAAUUUCAGUGGGGAUUCCUCCUUCAUCUAUACUGCAGAAAGAUAGAUCUAACACUUCCAACGAGUACAAGCAGCAAAUAUCACUCAGGAUUUCUCCUUGUAUUAGCUUUGACCCAGUUAGAAUUAAAUUCUUUAAGGAGCAUAAACCCGACAAAGAAAGCAAUUGGCAACAUGUUGAAUUUAAGCCACAAGCACGGAGAUGCUUCAAGCUUUGCAGCCUCCCUAGGUUUUGUGGCAAUUUGUGGAGUUUUGAACAGUAACUGACAUUGAGAACUUCAAGAAAGCAUAAAUUACAAAUGCUUUCUGGAAGAGUCACAAGGUUUUCGCAGCGGUCCAGAUUCAAAACUUCAAGCCUAUUCAAAUGUUCGAUUGAUGAUGGUAGCUCUUUUAUAGCCGUUUCGUUCAAGUGAAGCUCCCUUAAGUUUUCCAUAUUCUCCAAGAUUUCUGGAAAGUACUGUAAUUGUGAACAGUGAGAGCAAAAGAGAGAUUUUAGGGAUUUGAACUCCCAAAUGCUUGUUGGCAGACUCUCAAGGUUUUUGCACUCUCGCAAACAUAAGGUAUCAAAUUCAGAGGCAUGCUCAAUGGGUAGUAGGCUGAUUGUCUGACCCUUUAAACAAAGCUUUCGGUGUUCCACGUUCCUCUGACAAUCCAAGCAUCUAGCAUCCACAUCCUCAGUCUGUACUACUAUUGGAUCUUGGGAGUAUAUAGGUUGGAGCCCACACUUGAGCACCUUAAAAUGACUCUGAGGGUCCUUAAAUGUAGCCGCAAGAUACAUGAAUGGAUUGGUGGGACCGCUCUCCAGAAUAGCAGCCUUGGGAUAGAAUAUCACCCACAUUUGUUCUGAUACACCUCCAUUAUGGUAGCAUUUACAAGUAGAGCGAAAACUGAGAUGUCGCACACACAGGGAAGAAGAUCCAUAUCCUUCACUCAAUGACAGUUGACAUUGUAACUCAGUGGAGAUUGAAGAUUCAGCUUCAAGUAAAUCAUCAGAUUCAUUCUCCAAUGUAUGUGCAAAAUCAUUUUCUGGUAUAUCCUCACAUUCAUCGAGUGGAGCAUAAACACAGCAUAUAGCAAUCCCCAAGAAGUCAUCAUUUUCAUAACAAUUCUGAGGAAGCUCCAUUGUGAUUCGAUAUCCCUCUCUCUGAUUCCUUAUCCACUUGGGAAUUCCACUGCUUCCCGGAACAACAAUACAGAUUCCAUCGCCAAUGUAGUCGGAAUUAGGGAGAAAUACUCCAUUUGAACUCUUCUCGUGUUUCAAAUCCUGCACAAAUGGACAAUGUAAAUCUAGUGGGUCUGUGUCAUUAUGUGAGUUUUUAUGAGAGAGUUUGUUAUCAGUUUUCGAUAAAUUGAUUCCCAGUUUUAACUUUCUUUGAUCUAUGCUCCUGAAUCUACUUAAUAUCCCUUUUAGAUGAUGGAUAAUCAAUGAACAUGAAAGUGAGUGACAAGAUUAAGUGUGAAAACUGGAAGUGAGGGGAAACUGAAACUGGAAAGUGAGUAGAAUAAGCAGAUCUCUUCUUCACUUGCAGUAGCUCCUUCUCCAUUCAGAUUCAGAGAUCUUAGAAUUGUAGCUUCAACUUAACUCUCAGAAUCUUAAAGACAAAGUUCGCUCAAGUUUCAAAAACUCAUAGAAAAAUUUCGCCUCAUGUUUCUCUUAAUCCCAUGAGGCGAGAGACAUGCAGCACAUGCUUAUUGGCUUUUUUCCAUGCAAGUUUCAAGGUGGAGCAUCUAAUGAACUAAAACAUUCCUUCAAAUCCUAGUGGAAAUUCACACUAGAAAUUUCAGAAUUUGCUAAAGAAAGGUUUAAUUCAUUUUAUCCAUGAAUAAAAAAUCAUGUGAGGGCAUUUUAACUUCCUAAUAAUUAUUAUAUUAAACUAUAAUUCUCAUUAUUUAAACUCGUGAUCUGUAACUUUAUCAUCACAUUUUGAAGAGACUUUCGUCAUCUCUUCCAUGAAUUAAUUGAUGUUUAAGGAGGUAUAAUAAACUUUUAAUUGAAUUUAACAUUAUUUCUAUCCUUAUACUCAUCUUAAACUCUAAUUUUUUUUUUUUACUCUUAUCAAAAAAAAUAAAAACUUAACAGAAAAAAAAAAUUUCAAUUACUCCGUGUUCACGAGGAAAAAUGGCUGAAUGUUAUGAAAAUCAUACCUCAAUUGUUGAUUUAAAGCAUUUGAACAGAGAAACACCAAGUAGACUUGAUGGACUUGAUAAAGUUUCCAAGCAUGUGCAACUGUGGACAUCUAGAACUCGUAAACUUGGCGUAAGCUCUGGAACUUGUAGAGGCCCCUGGCAGUGACUCAAUUCAACGACUCUCAGUUUAGAAAGUUGAAUGAUGCCUGCAAGUAUGCUACUAAAACAGUCCAUGCUUAGAUUUAGACCUGAAGCAUGCAAACACUCUAAACAUUGCAAACUCCUCAGGUUCUUGGGAAAUUCCUCAAGUUUUGUACAGAAACUGACAUCUAGAAUUUUAAGAGAACUCAAAUUACAAAUGGUCUCUGGAAGACUCACAAGGUUGGUGCAAUCUGCAAGAUUCAAACAUUGAAGCCCUCUUAAAUAUUGAAUUGAUGCUGGUAGUUCUUUUAUAGCAGUUCCAUCUAAAUGAAGAUUUCUUAAAUUUUCCACAUCCUCAAGGAUUUCUGGAAAGCUCCUUAAUCGUGAACAGCCUGAGCAGUUGAGAGUUGUAAGGGAUUUCAACUCACAAAUGCUACUGGGAAGACGCUCAAGGUUUUUGCAUUCUCGCAAACAUAAGCUAUCAAAUUCUAAGGGACACUCAAUAGUGGGUAGUUCAUUGAUGGCACUUCCCUUUAAACAAAGCUUCCGUCGGGAUUGCACAUCCGCUUGACAUUUCCGGCAAAUGGUGGGUAUCAUUGCUUUACCAUUGUUCUUUUCAUGAUCAUGGGCAUAUAUAAGAUGGAUCCCACACUCUUCCACUUUCAUUGCUUUACCAUGUGAGAAGCCACAAAAUGAAGCCGUCAACUGCCUCCAUUUAUUUGAGUGAUACUUCUUCUCAAUCACCACCUUUGCAUAAUAAAUCAUCCACAUUUUUGGUACAACAUCAUAGCAGCGAAACGAUGGAUAAAACUGGAGUUCAUCCACAAACUGAGAUUCAUGAGCACGCAAAGUCAAAGAACACUUGAGGUAAGCUGCAUCAUUCUCCAGUGUCUCCUCAGAUUCAUUAUCAAGUGGAUCAUAAAGAGAGUACAAAACAAAACCCAACAAGUCGUUAUUUUUAUACCAAUUUUCAGGAAGCUUUGCUACCACUUUAGCUCCCUUUUUGUGAUGGCUUAUCCAUUUUGGAAUUCCACAACUUCCUGAAAUAAUAAGAUUUACUCGGGCAAAAAGGCUGUCUCUAGGAUAAAUCCUGCAUUCAAAAUCCUGCACAAAAUUUAAUUAACACGUAAAUCCCCAUGUCUCCAUAGAAAAAGUUUUGUUCUAUGAAUAUCAUACCUGAAUCAAUGAUUUGAAGCAGUUGAAUAGAGAAGACCAGAGUAGACCCGAAGAAGUUUCCAGCCAUGGGCACUCAUGUACAUCUAAGACACGCAAACUGGAUGGAAGCGCUGGAAUUUGUCGAAGCUCUUGACAGUGACCCAAGUUAAGGAUUCUCAGCAUAGAAAGUUGAUUGACCCCAGAAGGUAUGCUCCUAAAAAGAUUCCCACUUAGAUGUAAAUGUUGCAGAGAUGAUAGGUGGCAAAUUUCAGUGGGGAUUCCUCCUUCAUCUAUUCUGCAGAAAGAUAGAUCUAACACUUCCAACGAGUACAAGCAGCAAAUAUCACUCAGGACUACUCCUUGCAUUAGCUUUGACCCAGGUAGAAUUAAAUUCUUUAAGGAGCAUAAACCCAACAAAGAAACCAAUUGGCAACAUGUUGAAUUUAAGCCACAAGCACAGAGAUGCUUCAAGCUUUGCAGCCUCCCCAGGUUUUGUGGCAAUUUGUGGAGUUUUGAACAGUAACUGACAUCGAGAACUUCAAGAAAGCAUAAAUUACAAAUGCUUUCUGGAAGAGUCACAAGUUUUUUGCAGCCCUCCAGAUUCAAAACUUCAAGCCUAUUCAAAUGUUCGAUUGAUGAUGGUAGCUCUUUUAUAGCCGUUUCAUUCAAGUGAAGCUCCCUUAAGUUUUCCAUAUUCUCCAAGAUUUCUGGAAAGUACUGUAAUUGUGAACAGUGAGAGCAAAAGAGAGAUUUUAGGGAUUUGAACUCCCAAAUGCUUGUUGGCAGACUCUCAAGGUUUUUGCACUCUCGCAAACAUAAGGUAUCAAAUUCAGAGGCAUGCUCAAUGGGUAGUAGGCUGAUUGGCUGACCCUUUAAACAAAGCUUUCGGUGUUCCACGUUCCUCUGACAUUCCAAGCAGCUAGCAUCCACAUCCUCAGUCUGUACUAUUGGGUCUUGGGAGUAUAUAGGUUGGAGCCCACACUUGAGCACCUUAAAAUGAUUGCGAGAGUCUAUAAAUACAGCAUUAAGAUGCAUGAAUCGAUUGGUGUGACAGCUCUCCAGAAUAGCAGCCUUGGGAUAGAAUAUCACCCACAUUUGUCCUGAUACACCUCCAUUAUGGUAGCAUUUACAAGUAGAGCAAAAACUGAGAUGUCGCACACACAGGGAAGAAGAUCCAUAUCCUUCACUCAAUGACAGUUGACAUUGUAACUUAGUGGAGAUUGAAGAUUCAGCUUCAAGUAAAUCAUCAUCUUCAUUUAGGACUUCGUCACCAGAUGGAUUCUCCAAUGUAUGUGCAAAAUAAUUUUCAGGUGUGUCCUCACAUUCAUAGAUUGGAGCAUAAACAGAGCAUAUAGCAAUUCCCAAGAAGUCAUCAUUUUCAUAACAAUUCUGAGGAAGGCCCAUUGUGAUAUGAUAUCCCUCUGUCUGAUUCCUUAUCCACUUGGGAAUUCCACUGCUUCCCGGAACAACAAUACAGAUUCCAUCGCUAAUGUAGUCGGAAUUAGGGAGAAAUACUCCAUUUGAACUCUUCUCGUGUUUCAAAUCCUGCACAAAUGGACAAUGUAAAUCUAGUGGGUCUGUGUCAUUAUGUGAGUUUUUAUGAGAGAGUUUGUUAUCGGUUUUUGAUAAAUUGAUUCCCAGUUUUAACUUUCUUUGAUCUAUGCUCCUGAAUCUACUUAAUAUCCCUUUUAGAUGACGGAUAAUCAAUGAACAUGAAAGUGAGUGACAAGAUUAAGUGUGAAAACUGGAAGUGAGGGGAAACUGAAACUGAAAGUGAGUAGAAUAAGCAGAUCUCUUCUUCACUUGCAGUAGCUUCUUCUCCAUUCAGAUUCAGAGAUCUUAGAAUUGUAGCUUCAACUUAACUCUCAGAAUCUUAAAGACAAAGUUCGCUCAAGUUUCAAAAACUCACAGAAAAAUUUCGCCUCUUGUUUCUCUUAAUCCCAUGAGGCGAGAGACAUGUAGCACACGCUUAUUGGCUUUUUUCCAUGCAAGUUUCAAGGUGGAGCAUCUAAUGAACUAAAACAUUCCUUCAAAUCCUAGUGGAAAUUCACACUAGAAAUUUCAGAAUUUGCUAAAGAAAGGUUGAAUUCAUUUUAUCCAUGAAUAAAAAAGCAUGUGAGGGCAUUUUAACUUCCUAAUAAUUAUUAUAUUAAACUAUAAUUCUCAUUAUUUAAACUGAUGAUCUUUCACUUCAUCACGACAUUUUGACGAGACUUUUGUCAUCUCUUCCAUGAAUUAAUUGAUGUUUAAGGAGGUACAAUAUUUUUUAAUUGAAUUUAACAUUAUUUCUAUCCUUAUACUCAUUUUAAACUAUUAUAUUUUUUUUUUAUAGUUUUAUCAAAAUAAAUAAAAACUUAACAAAAAAUAAAUAAAGAUUUCAAAACAAACUUUAUAGAGUUAUCAACACUUAUUUACAUCAUUCUUUAAAAAAAAUUAUAAUUAACAAAAAUGUGAUAUAAAAAUUAUAAAGAAUAAAAUUUUUUGAAAAAUGUACUAGUUAUUUGAAAUCAAAAUUCCUAGUCAAUGAAUCGUCAAAAAACUGCAAUAGCUAUGCAAAUGAGAAAAAUAAAUAAAUUAAAAGUAAAAAAAGAAAUUAUCAAUGUCAAGAAUGAGAAACCAUUUAUUUCCUUUUUUUUUUGUAAACUUUUUUUUAUUCUGAUUGUAUGUAUUCAUUACAAUUUUUAAAUUAAUAAAUAAUGUUUUUAUCACAAAAUUUAAAAAUGGCAUCUAUCAAAAUUUAUAUAUUGUUAUUAGAUUUUUAUAAAUUUCAUUUAUAUCUUCAAAAUUACAAACUCCUUUCCAUUAUUAUUUCUUAUUUUUCUUAUUGAAAAUGCAUCUUUAUUCAUCAUUUGAAAGCAUAACACUUUGAAUCUUAGGAUGUACUUCUUUCUUCCUAGGCAUUGCACUCUCAUAGGACCCAUUAAAUCCAUAUGCAACAUCUCUAAGAUCCUAGAAGAAGAGAGAAUCAGUUUUCUCUCUCAUUCAUGCGAAUUCAUUUUCUUAGAUGGGACAGAUUUUAGGAUUUUUAGGUUUUCCUAAAUGGGAAGUGCUUUAACUAGUUCUUUAAUUGUAAUCCUAGACAAAUCAUUAGAGUUUAAAUGCGCUACCAUACAAUGCUACUGUCUUUGGAUGUAAAUUUCACAUUUUACAACUAUGUGCACUAGAUGAUAAGGAAGAAGUAGAGAGGUGCACAAAGGCAUAACAAAAAUUACCAAAAAUUUGAUUUCAUACCAACACACAUCCUUGAAUAGACACUGAUUUGGAGUAAAAUGAACAAAGCAUAUACAAUCACAAAUUUAAGUUGCAUUAAUUAAGUUUGCUUUCAAUCCAAUAUAUAGUAACUCCUCGAGUAUAGGUAAAUUUGGACCUUCUAUGGUACCUUUCACUUUCGAGUUGGUUAUAUGUAAUACAACCAUCCCUAAAUACAACCAAGCUUCCCUUUAAGGUUCAAACGUGGAGAAAAACCAUAAGUUCAUUAUUUCUUUAACCAUUCCCAAAUACAACCAAACUCCUUUUAUGAGUUCAAAAGUCGAGAGAGAUCCAAGUUCUCUGUCAUACAACUAGAGUAGCCACUCUCAAAAUCCACAACGUGUUUUUCUCUAGCUCUUAGACCCUAUGGUCAACUAAGGCUUUUUGGUUCUCCUUAACCUAGAUUUUCUUUCCAACAGACAAUUUAAAUCCUAUUUAAGAAUUGUUUUUAAAAUUAAUUUCUCAGUUCUUAAAAAUAGAAACCUAUUUUGUAGACUAAAACCAUGUUUGGCAACUUUUUGACAUAUUAUAGUUUUUUGAGAACUUGUUCUGAAAAUAAGGUUUCUCCUAAUAACAUAUUUUAAUUGCUUUCAAUUGUUUUCAUUUAUUUUGUAAGGUUGUUUUAAAAAAAUAAUGGUACAUAUAUAAAGAAUGAUGAAAAAUAAAGAACUAAAAGUAAAAGUUAUUUUUAAUAAAUAUUUGGAAAUACAAAAAAUAUAUUAAAAACAUUCUAAGUUUGUAAAUAGACUUUUAUUCUAGAAAACAUCAGACCAACUAUUUUUGAAUCAUGCAAAUUGGGCACACAUUUUCUAUGCCUAGUUUUCUGCCCAAGGCCCUGUAAAUGAACACAACCUCAAUUUUAAGGAGUUUCAAAACGAUGGUUGCUUUCUCGAAGGGGAGAGGAGUUUCGAAGGGUGGUAAGAGUUUGUUUGCAAUGGAAUCAAAGACAUUCGAAAUCCCCAUUGAAGGGAUUCGAGGCAACAGAUGGGAUUAUUCCGAAAAGGAACAAAGGCUUCUCCUCAUAGAUAAAAUUUGGUGAAAAGAGCUUCAGUUUUCUGUUGGAAGGGGUGGAAGACUAGUGCAGAGGAGAGUCAAGCUCGAGGCACCUUAAAGUUUAGGAAGAAGAAGGAAGAAAAUAUAGGUUGGAGUGUCGUUCAAAUGAAGCCGAUAGGUAUCUACUAUGCUCGAUGAGGGAUUUGGAAGCUAAGAGGUUUUGUCUAGUGUUUCCAGAAGGUAAAGGCUUAGUAGGAGGGUGGUUUCUGUUGGCUUAGAAGUUAAGGGCCCUUGGAGUUUCUACUCCAGCCUUGAGUAAAGGUGAUCUGGGUACUUCCAACUCUGAAAAGAAUGGUUAUAUGGCCAAAGGAAAAGAUAAAGGGAAAGGAGUGUAUGCAGAAGUCGUGAGAAAGGAGGUAGGGGAAUUAGGGGAUGCAUUGUGAGUGCAUGUUGGGGAUCGUGACCUGCUCAGUAGGGAAGAACAGCUUAGCCAUUGUUUAGUAGGAUGUUUUGGUGAUAGUGUAGAGGUCGUCCCUUCUUUGUCCUUAUUGAAGGAGUGGGCGUGUGAAAAGUGGUAUCUCAAGGGAGGUUUAUAAAUCUCCAAUUUGGGUGGAGCCCUUGUGUUGUUCGAAGUUGAAGAUAAAAGUUGAAGUGGAUUUGGUGCUUUUAAGGGGUAGUAGAUGUCUUAAGAAGAGAGAGUUUUUCCUGCAGAAAUGGGGACUUGAAGUUGGGUGUUUUAGAAAUGGGAGCCACCCUAAGGAAGUGUGGGUGAAAGUUGUCGGACUUCCACUUCACCUUUGGAGUAGAGAGGUGUUCAAGAGUAUUGGAGAAAGAUGUGGUGUUUCAUAGCUGUGGAUAAGGAAACUGCUUUCUCCUCCGAGUUGAUGUGGGCUCGUAUCUUGCUGAGAGCCUUUGGGAAGUUUAGACCAGGAACUUCACAAGUGGCAGUCGGGAAUUUUUGUUGGACGGUGAGUCUAUGGUGGAAAACUCCCCCAUGGUUCUCAAAGGUAGUGGCAAGGUUCGCCUAGUUUGAAAAUGAGAGACGAGAGAUCAGGGAUGAGGUUGGGGGUGAAACACGUGCCGAAGUUAGCGUGCAAUAUGUUCAAAAUUUUCAAAUUGAUAUGCAGUCUUGGGGGACAGGGGCGCAGGUUGUGUGUGGCAGAAGGAAAAGAAAGGAAGUAGUUGUAAUGGUUGCAAAGGGUAAGCUGCCUAGUGUAGCUGAUAUGGACUCUUCUUGCAGUGGGUCUGGGCCCAUAAAAGAAAAUGGGAAGGCUUUCAAAGGGAAUGGUUGUUUGGGCUUUAGUGGUGAAGUGGUUUGGGCCAAAGGCCCAUUGUCCGUUAGCCUUGAAGAGGCGAGCUUAGGUAAGUCUCCUAAGCCCACUUUUAAUAAGGCUGGCACAAGCUUUUUGGAGCGUCCCUCCUCAGCUAGGGCUCCAUCUAUUCCCGCAGGGGGUGUUGGGGGACGGAUGCGAAGCUCUUGGCUGUUGAAGUUGCAGUCACCGCGGAGUUGCUGCCACAUCGUCGGAGCGUCACUGACAAGGCUCUGAUGGAGGAGGCUUCCAGGUAUUAAGCUAUUCCCAAUUUUUCUUUGUUUUUAGGGCUUCGGGAAUCCUCUUCUUCUUCUCUCUGGGGCCACACCGAAGUUGUAGGGGUGUCGAAGGGGUUUGCUUAUGGAACGGAAUGGGAGUUGGGUCGGUUUCCACCGAGUGUGGUGCGGAAUAGAGCUGAGUCGACUUUAUGAGGCUGGAGUGAGCCUUCUUGGGACUCGGUUGACGCUAAGAGAGUGAAUGGGUUAGCACUUGUCCCGAUGAGGUCGGACUUUACGCGCCUUUUUGAGAAAAGGAGUGUCUGUCACCUAGAAGAAGGGGGAUGUGAUGAAGGGUAAGGGGGAUGUGAUGAAGGGUGGAGUUCAAGCCGUCUUGCGGUGUUCAGUCGCUGCUUGGGUAUGCCAACGAAAGGCUUCGAAAAGGAAAUUUUGUACUUCUUAAGGAGAAUGACAGGGAAAAUUGAGUAAAAGGGUAAGAGAGGGGUGACUAGGAAGACAAGUUUAAAAUCUUCAAAAUCCAACAAGGAACUCAAGAAGCUGGAGUGGACUGUUAAAGAGGCUAAUGAUAGGGGUAAAAGGAAGAUUAUCAAGUCAGUCAUUAAAUCCCAAAGAGUGGACCUGGUUUGUUUACAGGAAACUAAAAUUAAAGAAAUGACUACAGGGCUUGUUCGUAGUCUAGGGGUGGGAAGAAAUCUAAAAUGGAGAGCAGUCAAUCCUAGGGGAGCAGCUAGUGGUAUUCUGUUGUUCUGGGACAAUAGACUGGUGGAGCUGGUUGGCUAGGAAGAAGGGGUUUUCUCAAUUUGGCGUUGGUUUAAAAAUUGCAUGGAUGGUGUAGUGUGGGUGUUCACUGGAGUGUAUGGGCCAGUAUGCAAUAGAGAUAGAGAGGAUUUCUGGAAGGAACUAGGGUCAAUUAAAGGGUUAUGGAGUGACCCUUGGUGUGUAGGAGGGGAUUUCAAUUUGGUAAGGUUUCCAAAAGAGCGUAGUAGGAGAGGUGGGCUUAUUGCUUCAAUGAGGAGAUUCUCAAAAGUGAUAGAAGAUUUGGAGUUGAGGGAUUUUCCUUUGACGGGGGGCUCAUUUACUUGGAGAGGAGGCUUGAAUAACCAGGCCCAGUCUAGGCUUGACUGGUUCUUAUUGACGAACAACUGGGAUAAUCUGUUCAAUGGGGCCAUGCAGGGAAUUCUCCCCAGACCUGUCUCAGAUCAUUUCCCGAUCCUCCUAGGAGGAGGGUUGACGAAGGGACCUUCCCCUUUCAGAUUUGAGAAUAUGUGGUUGGAGGAGGAGGGUUUCAAAGACAAGAUGAAGACAUGGUGGGGGAGUUUAAAAUUUACGGGGACAUCCAACUACAUUUUAAAUGCUAAAUUGGGGACUCUUAAAAAUAUUCUGAAGAUUUGGAAUAAAGAAGAGUUUGGGCUCUAUUGGGAUGAAAAGAAGAAAUGUGCAGCUUUAAAUAUAAAAGAGUGUGAAGCAAGAAAUGGAGCAAGAGUCCUACAAGUCUUGGGUGACGAGAGAAGAGAUUUUUUGGAGACAAAAGUCUAGGAAGUUGUGGCUGAAGCGGGAGGGGGGACAAUAAUACUAGAUUUUUUCAUAGGUUGGCGAAUGCUCAUAAUAAAAGAAUCUAGUUGUCCAAGUUGAAAGUUAAUGGCUAUUGACACUCAGAGGAAAAUAAUUUAAAAAAGUGUGGUGGGGGCGUUUCAAAAACCAUACUCAAAAGAAGAGGGGUGGCGCCCUAGUAUCGACAGGUCGUCCUUUAUAGGUUAGAUAGAAGUGAGGCUGAGGGGUUGGAGAAUCCUUUCUCGGAGGAAGUGGUGUUUGCAGCUCUUUCAGAUCUAAGCAAAUACAAAGCCCUAGGGCCGCAUGGUUUUACCAUGGCAUUUUGGUUUUUUUGGUGGGAUGUGGUGAAGGUUGAGAUUAUAGGCUUUUUUAGAGAAUUUCAUGAAAGGGGUAGAUUUGUAAAAUCUCUAAAUGUCACCAUCUUGGGUUUAGUCCGUAAGAAGGGAGGUGCUCAAGAUUUGAAGGAUUUCAGACCGAUUAGCCUUGUGGAGCCUUUACAAGUUGUUGGCCAAGUGUUGCCAAAUAGAAUCAAGAAGGUAAUGGGAAAAGUGAUUUCGGAACCCAAAAUGCCUUUGUGAAGGGUAGAUAAAUACUUGAUGCAGUUUUGAUUGCAAAUGAGGCUACGAAUUCUAGGUUGAAAAGCAGUCAAGGGGGUAUGAUGUGCAAAUUGGAUAUAGAGAAGGCCUAUGAUCAUGUCUGCUAAAAGUUCGUGUUGGCAAUGCUAAAAAAAAUAGGCUUUGGUGAGAGAUGGAUUAAGUGGAUGGAGUGGUGUAUCUCUAUUAUAAGAUUCUCUGUUCUUAUAGAUGGUUCUCCCUCCGGGUUUUUCCAAAGUUCAAGGGGUUUGAGACAAAGAGACCCCUUAUCCCCUUAUCUGUUUGUGAUAGUUAUUGAGGUAUUUAGUUGCUUAUUGAGAAGGGCCAUUAGUGGGGGCUUUAUAUUAGGGUGGAGGAUAAGAGGCAGGGUGGAGAGGGGAUUCUGAUAUCUCACUUGCUUUUUGCGGAUGACACCUUGGUGUUUUGUGAGGAGUCUCAGGAUCAAUUGACGCAUCUAAGCUGGCUUCCCAUGUGGUUUGAGGCUUGCUCAUGGUUGAGAGCUAACUUGGAGAAGAGUGAGCUUAUUCCGAUGGGGAGGGUAAAAGAUAUAGAAUAUUUGGCUUUGGAAUUGGGCUAUAAAGUGGGUGGUCUGCCUUCCUGUUAUUUGGGUCUGCCUUUAGGGGCACCCUUCAAAUCAGAGGUGGUAUGGGAUAGUGUUGAAGAGAGGUUUCGAAAAAGGCUAACUAUAUGGAAGAGACAACAUAUAUCAAAAGGGGGAAGACUCACCCUAAUAUGAAGCACUCUCUAGUUUGCCAGUUUACUUCAUGUCUCUCUUCUUUUUGCCCAAAAAAGUAAGGCUAAGGUUGGAGAAGAUUCAGAGGGACUUCCUGUGGGGAAGAGGAGCUCUUGAACAAAGGUCACAUCUUGUUAGGUGGAACUUGGUUUGUCUGGAAAGAAAGAAAAGUGAUUUGGGUGUGAGAAAUUUAGCUUUGAUGAAUAAAGCUCUCUUGGGUAAGUGGAAUUGGCGCUUUGCCAUUGAAAGUGAGGCUUUGUGGAAGCAAGCGAUCGGUCACAAAUAUGAUGUAAAGGAGGGGGGAUGGUGUACUCGGGCCGUAAGUGGGAGGCAUGGUGUAGGGCUUUGGAAAGCUAUUAGAAAGGAGUGGUUGGGUAUGUAUAGAAGUUUAGUCUAUCGCGUGGGCAGUGGUAGGAAAGUGAGAUCCUGGAAGGAUAAGUAGUAUGGAGAUGAGCCUCUUUAGGAGUCCUUCCCUUCUUUAUUUGCCAUUUCCUUGGCUAAAGAUGUUUGGGUAUCAGAUGUGUGGAAACCAGAUGGUGUAGAGGAUGGUUGGACCCCUCUUUUCUCAAGGGCGCUUAAUGAUUGGGAGAUUGAGAUGGUGGAGCAGUUUAUGCUAAAAAUCCAAGCCUUUAGGGUGUAAAGGGAGGACGAGGAUACAGUGGUAUGGACAGCAUCUAAAAGUGGAGGACUAGUAUUUGGAGAGCGUAUGUGCCUCCUAAGGUAACUUUCUUCGCUUGGGAAAGCAUCCUGAGGCAAAAUCUUAACUUUGGAGCAACUCCAUUGAAAGGGGUACUCUUUGGCAAAUAGAUGUUUUCUUUGCCUUUCUGAAGCAGAAAGGGUGGAUCACCUUUUACUUCAUUGUGUUAAGACACGGGCAUUGUGGAAUCUUCUUUUUUCCCUCUUUGGUGUGACUUGGGUUCUCUCUGGUUUAGUUAAGGAAACUCUCCUUGGUUGGCAUGGAGCAUUUGUGGGAAAAACCCGUAAAAAGGCGUGGCAAAUGAAUCAUUUAUCUAUAUUUUGGUCAAUAUGGAAGGAAAGAAAUUUAUUGGCUUUUGGGAAUGAGGUGUUUUCACUCCAAAGGUUGAAACAUUCUUUUGUAUGUAAUUUUUGAUCUUGGGUUAGGGUGUUUAUAGUUUUGAGCCCUUGUUCUCUUGUUAGCUUUUUUGAGUGGCUAGGCUCUAAGUAAGGGUAGGGGUUGUCGUUUCUUUCCCCUUUCUUGGUUUAGAGUAUGUGGGUUGCUUUUGUAUACUCCCUGUAUACUUAGAGGGCACUAGUUUGGUGUUUCCUCUUUUUGUUUAAUAUAUUUCUUUUUACCUAUCAAAAAAAAAAAAAAAAAACUAUUUUUGAGAACUUUUUUCAAUAACCGUUUUUUAAGAUUUAUUUUCAAAAAAAAUUCCUAAACAAAGCCUUAACCUUCAAGGAUCUAAAACUUUGCACUAAGUUUGGUGUUUUAUUGUUGGAUUUUCUUAGUCUUGCAAGCUUUAUGAUGAUCUUGCAAUAUUUUCUUUAAUUUACUAUUCAUUUUACCUGAGCAUUAAGUUUGGCUAAGUAUUGAAGAAUAACCUUGGCAUACAUUCAACUUCUUUUAUGGACAAAGGAAUGGAGCUAGAUCAGACUUUCUUUAAAUUUAGUCAAUUCUGAUUUACGUGACUCAUAAUCAGAUUGUAAAACAUUCAAAUUUUUUAACAAGGUACCUUGCUCAUUUUCAAGGUAAGAGAUUUUUUUCAAGCAAGGAAGUCUUCUCUCAUACUUCUUUUAUUCUCAUCCAACUUUCACAAUUUUAAUCUUAAGGCUUCCUUGGCAAUCUCAAAAGACAACUUUUCUUCCAAAUAUGUUGUAUCAUGAGAUGAACCUUCAAAAUUUUCAGAUUCAAGAUCAGUUUCAAAUUUAACAUUUUUCUUUUCAUUGCAAAGUGAUAUAGAAGGUAACAAGUAUAUCAACAAUUUCGUCAGGCUCAUCAUGCUCAAAAGACACAAAUAUCAUCAAUGUCAUGUGACAAUAAAUCAUAAUUAUGUUUAUGCAUGUUUCUAGCAACUUAAUGCAAUGAAAUUUGUACAUUCUUCAUCAAAAUCAUACCAAAUUACUUCUAUGACUUUAUCCUUUUGACAUUCAAGAAAGUGACCUUUCUUGACACAAUAGAAACUUUGAAUCAACUAGAUCUUUUUUGUGCUUUUUAAUCUUUUUAUCACAUUUCUUUUCCCUUGUUUAAUCAAAUAGGUUAUCCUUUGUUUCUGGAAGCUUUUUGAACUUUUUGAAACUUUAUCAAGCCUAUAAAUUUCCAAUAUUGGUCCUUUUUUAUUCCUAUUCUGAUUUAGAAGCAUGUUUAUCUACUCCUAGUGCAAUAUUAAUGUUUCUUUUUCUUAGGAACACUUGGAGUCAUCUCCAAUUGAAGGAAGCCAACUAUCUCAUCUGGCUUUAUUGAAUCAACAGUGUUCCAUUCCUCUAUUGUUAUGACCUUAGGUCUAAAACGAUCAAAGGGGAUCUUAACAGUUUUUCGAGUAACCUUGGAAUCAGGUAGAGGCCUACAUAGAUUGAAAGUUAGCAUUCACAAUGUCCAUGAUUUCAAUAAUAUAUUAAGAAAAUAAUUUUGUUGUGAUCAUUUGAAAUUCAUUACUUCACCUAUCCCAACUUUACAUAGUUUUACCUACCCUAGUGGAUAUACAUCCAAUCUCUAUUUAGCACCUUAUCAGGAUAUCAACAAAAUUGAACAGAACUCCAAUCUCUAUUAGACUUCAUUUUCAAGAAGUAUAUCAGUUGCACCUUGGAGUGAGUAUAAUUAUCUCCUUUGAAGUAUGGAGGUCUACCUAUAGAGGUUCCUUCUCAGAGAAUUUCCAUCUUAAGAGAAUAUAGUUUAUCCAUAUUGAGAACAUGAGCAAACAUGUUUUGACACAAUUUAUGAGUUUUUAAGAGAGUAUGCAAUGAACUUGAGAUCUCUUUUAGAUUAUCAAAUAACAUAUGCACAUGAAUGUGAUUGCGUGAUUAGCACAAGGUCAUAGACUAAAAUGUCUCUAAUGAAAUCUCAGCAAACAAGCACACAAAUAUUGCACAAGAUAUAACAUGAAAAAUCUCUAAGUGGAGAAAGGAAAAUAAAUAAAUAAAUAACAGUGGGUGCCUUUGUUGUUGCAAAUCCACUAUGAAUAUAAAUCCAGUUUUGCCUACAAGUCCUCCAAGAUCAAUCACCAAUCCCCUUAAGGAAUCCUCAAAGUGAUUAUUUCUUCAAUCCACACCUCGUUUUGAUAUGCUUCAAUACGGCUCAUCAUGUACUCACCACCAAUCUCUCACCAUAGCCUCCUUCAACUCUCUUCAAUUACCACGAGUUUUCUUCUGCUCUACUAAUUACAUUACAACAGAAUCACCUUCAUUAUCUCAUUGAAGUGAUCUCCAAAAACUAGAAAACAAAAAUUCCAUUUGCAAAGCAACUUCUUCAUAUAGAUUCAGAGAACCAAAAUAAGAAGAUGUUUUCACUUGUAGCAACAUCUUCAUGUAGAUUCAGAGAACUCAAAUUGUAACUUCAAAUUCACUCUUAGAAUCUCAAUUAAGGUAAAGCUCACAUUUCAAAAUCUCCCACCAAGAGUUUCACUUACUCUUCCUUUUUGAAAUGAGAGUAGAACCAACUUAGUGCCAAGGGACAUAAGGCACACUCUUAUUGGCCUAUUGUCAUGCAAAUUUCUAGGUGGAGGAGAAUCCAACUAACUAAACAAAUGUUUUUUCGCUUCUGGCCAUUUGUUUCUAUGGUCUAGAAAAAUAUGUCCUAGAUGAUUCCCAUUGUUUCAACUCUUUCAUGAAAAAUGCUUCUCAAAUCACUCACUCCAGUCUUUCAUUCACAUUACCUGUGAACUCCAAUCUGCAGUAGUGAAAUCCUAUCAAAAGACUUGGAUUGAGUUCCUGGUUCUCGGUUGCCUAGCUCUAGCAAACCAGGACUUCUGUUAGCAACCUGGAACAAGUAGCUUAUCCUUUCAAUCCCAUUUUCAAGCUCAAUUCCCUCCACCAGUGAAAACAAAUGGUCUUAUAUAAUCAACUCCAUUCACUCCAGGGCUAUACAGGAAACACUUGUGAGCUGGCAGGCAGUAGCUCCUCCCGACUCACCAUAUUUCCAACCCCAUUUGCUCCAUCAAAUUCAUAAGAAGCUAACAAAAUAACUAGCAUUAUAUAUCAUACAAUAUCUAUGCUAGUUAAUUUACAUGGAAAAUGCAAUUUCUACCCUAAAUAUGCCAACAUACAGGAAUACAUACAAUUUAUACAAACAUUGCACGCUAACACAAGAAAAUCAUACCUGACUUGCUGAUUUGAGGCAAUUCACCAGAGAAUGCAUAGGUGGCAAUGAGAUCCCAAUUGAGCUGUGACAAUCUAACAGUCGCAGACUUGAAGGAAGCUCUGGAAUUUGUGAAAGCUUCUUGCAGUGACUCAAGUCAAGGGCUCUAAGGUUAGAGAGUUGACUGAUACCCACAAGUAUGUCACUGAGGGUUCCUCCUUCCUCUGGACUGCACCGACUUAGAUUUAAUACUUCCAGUGAGGAUAGAUGGAAAAUACAAUGGAACACUCCUCCAUUUAGAAUGCAAUUUCCUAGACUAAAUUCUUUCAAUGCGUUCAAGCAGUUAUCACUCUUUAUUACUCCUGGUGUUAGAUUGCAUUGAUCUAAAUAUAGUUCCCUUAAGAGAGAUAAACCUGACAGAGAAGGCAAUUGACAACUAAGCGAAUUUAAAUAAAGAACCUCUAGACAUGGCAUUCUCUCCAAGUCCUCCGGCAAUCUGUCAAGUUUUGAGCAGCCUUCAAGACUUAGAACAACAAGAAAUCUCAAAUUACAAAUGCUGUUCGGGAGACCCUCAAGGUUUUUACAAUUAUCCAAAUUCAAGUAGCGAAGGCCUUCUAGAAGUUCAAUCGAUGAUGGUAGCUCUUUUAUAGCUGUUUCAUCUAAACAAAGCUCCUCUAGUUUUGCAAUAUUGCUCUUGAUUUUUGGAAAACUAGCUAGUUUUGAACAGCCAGUGCAAUGAAGAGUUAAAAGGUGUUUCGACUCAUGAAUGUCCCCAGGAAGACUCUCAAGGCUUACACACCCUAUAAAAUUCAAGGAAAAAAAAAGUUAGUUUAAUAACACUCUUAUAUGUGUGUGAACCUUAAGUAAAAUUAUACAACCUGAAAGAAUUAGUUCCUCCAAAUUUGGCACGUUUGAGAAAUUUGGUAGCUCAAUGAGUUGUUGUGAAUCGCUGAGAUUGAUGCGCCUUAAAUUUCUAAGACACUGGAACAAAAUAGAAUUUCUAUUAAUAAAUCAAUUUUAAAAAACUUUAAAAUAUUAUAAAAUAAAAGCACAAAUAAAUAAUAAUCAUACCAUGUUUCCUUUCCAAAGUAGUUUUAUGUUACUAUUGCCCAAUAUGAGGGAAACAAGAUUGUUCGCAUGAAAGUUUGAUGGUAGAGAUUCUAAAGAAUAUCCAUUCCAUCUAAGGUAUGUCAAGUCAUACGGAAAUACAAAAUCUUUAGAGAGUUGUACGUGAUUGUGGGAGAUGGAAAGCAAUCUAAGUCUAUGCAUCCUUUCGAAAGCUUUGGAUGUAAACUGUAUUUGUUCUGAUUUGUCCACAUGAAGAUAUAUCCCUUCGAUUUUUUCAGUCCCCUAGAUAAUAAGAGUAUAAAAUUAGAAAAGCGCAAUAAAUAUAAAUCCUUACUAAGGUGAUAAAGAUAAAUAACGUCUUGAACAAAACAUAUUUUCUAUAUAUAUAUAUCUUACCGUAUUUCUUUUUAAUACUCGAUAAAUAUCUAUAUGUCUCCAUAAUCUGCUCCUCUCUCCUGGCUCAUUAGGACAUUCUUGAUCAACAAUGCCCUUGCCCAUUUGGGCUAACAAAUCAUGCAUAUCUAUUCUGUUGUCCUUUGAAAUGGUUAUGAAACACCUAUCAACGAGAGCAUUUAUUCCACUUUCCGCAUUGAAUUCGGAAGCAUCCAAUAUUCUUGAAACUCUUUUCACAUCAUCUCCUCUAAAGAAACAUGCAAUGUCGAGAAAUAUCAUCCUUUGUGUAUAAUCCAAUCCAUCGAAACUUAUUUUAAGCACUUUUACAAUUUCCAUGUUAGGCACCUUUUCCAGCUUCUGCAAUUCACUUUUCCAAUCUGGUAGUCUCUUUCCAAAUAAUAGAGAACCCAAAACUUUAAGUGCUAAUGGAAGACCAUCAGCAUAUUGUACUACUUGAUGAGAGAGAUCUCCAUAACCUUCCUUCGGAUGAUGUUGUUUAAAGGCAUAACGGCAAAAAAGUUGAAGAGCUUCGUGAAAAUAUAAUUUCUCAACUUCAUACAUAUCAUUUACUUCAUGCCUAGUUAGCAAAUCUUUUUUCCUAGUAGUAAUGAUGAUUCUGCUUCCUGGACCAAACCAAUCAUGCUUUCCAAUUAAGUGUUCUAAUUGUGUCAGCUCAUCUACAUCAUCCAGAAAAACAAGAACCUUUUUUGAGGAAAGCUUGUCCCUUAUUUCUUUGAUACCUUCAUGAACAUCCCUUAAAACUAUUUUCCUCGUUGUCCUUAGAGUAUCAUUAAGAAGUUGUUGUUGUAACUUAAGAAGACCAGAAUUUUCUGUGGAUUCUUUUCUGACAUCUGUGAGCAAGCUAACACUUUCGAAUUGAUUUGAGAUUCGGUUAUAAAGAGCAUUGAUGAUGGUGGUCUUGCCGAUACCACCAAGCCCAUAAACCCCGACCAUGCGAACAUCAUUCAACUCAAUCUUUAACAAUGAUAUUAGUCUUUCCAAACGAGAAUCCAUUCCAACAAUGUUCUCGUUAACAACUAAAGUCUUAGGGAAGCUUCUAAGGACGUUCUCAAUAAUUUCAUCAAUAAGCUCUGAUUCGUACCUGCCAAUUGCAUUAGGAUGAGUUGCAAAAAACAAUAAAUUAUAUGAAAUAAAUUUAAUGAUGCCUAGUUUUCCAACUUUAACUUAAUAGGGCUAAAACGAAUUGAAAUUAAAAUAAAAUAAACCACAUCUAACAAAUUACGUAUCAGUACAAUUUCAUUAUUCUAUACAAUUGCUCAUGUAUAUGAUAGAAAUAAGGGAAGAAAAUACAAAAUAUGAAUUGGAUUAUCAAAAGCGGAAAAAAAAAAAAAAACUAAAAUAUUUUUGUGUUAGCUUAUACUAUUCAAUCUUGUGGAAGGUUCAAAAUAAAGUUGAGUUGUCUAGAACAUUACUACCCUAUUUUGAUAAGGGAUUCCAUCAUAGGAUCAACUGCUAGUCUGCAUCCAAGCUUUUUAAUCUAAUGAUUUUACUACUGAUUAGACGGUCAACAUUACUAUCUUCUAUACUUGCAAGACUUUCUCUCACCAUUUAUUUAGAUAAAUGUCUCUUGCUGUUCCAUAUGUUGUAUUUUGCAUUUAUUUUUGUCUCUAGCUGUAUGAACAAAAAUUUUUGAAAACCGUUUAAUUAAAAAAUAACUUUCAUGAAUUAAUUAAAAAUAUUUUAUUUAUAAUUUUAAUUCUAUUGCAUGAAUGAAUUAAGAAAACAAAUUUACAUCAAUUUUAACCUAAAAUAAUUUAGUAUAUUCUUUAUGAAUCAAUAAAAUAGAAUUUUGUUUUUAAGAAAUUGUAAUAUUAUGGUAUCAAGUUUAAAAUUUUAAUGAACAGAUCUUUAUUUUAUAAAUAAUAAAAAUGAAUAAAAAAUUAUAAAAGUUUAAAACUCACUUAGCUUUAAAAAUUAUAAAAAUGAUAUAAAUAUUUUUUAUAUCAGCAGACAGAGAAAAGGAGAGUACUUCAAAUGACAAAUGAAGAGAAGUUACAAUUACCUGUUCGUCGCAUCAUAUCCGGCUAGAUUGCUUGCUUGCCUCAGGGCAGUCUUCCAUUUCCUUAUCUUUUCCUUUCUCUCCUCCUCUGCAUUCUUCUCAUGAUGGGUAAAUGCUUCUCCGUAAAUCUCAGUUUGGUUCCGCACUUCAGACGGAUCCACAUGAUAGAAAAUUGGGAUAACUACCAUUUGUUCCCUUUCCUCUUUGCAUUUCAUGAUCUUGACAAGCUCUUCCAGACACCAUUUGGAACGAGCAUAGGUUUCUGAGAAGACAACAAUGGCACUCCUUGAUUCCUCAAUAGCUUUUAAGAGCUCUGGUGCAAUCUCUUCACCCCUUCGAAGUUCUUCAUCAUCUCUAAAGGUUCUAAUACCGCUAUGAAUCAAAGCCUUGUAGAGAUGAUCAGUGAAGUUUCUGCGAGUAUCUUCACCUCUAAAACUCAAAAACACAUCGUAACUCCAUUGAGAAUGGGAAGUGGAAGAAGAAGAGGCCAUGGUUGAACAGAAAUUGAAAGAAAAAUAAGGGUCUUUGGGUAUUUAGUGGGUUGAUUCCCUUGGCCUUAUAGAAGUAUGGAUGUUGGUGGUGGGAUGUUGCCUUUUCUUUCUCAAUUGUUUUUAUUCUUAGCUGUAUCCCUCUUGCUGGUUCACAUGACUCAAGACCCUACCUCAAUUAUUUCCCUCCACUCUUUUCUUAUACAUUUUACUCUCACUUUUCUCUUGUUGACAGUCAACAAUGGCCGACAGUCUCGUCUCUGCAGUUUACAGCUGUUCUUUUCUUUUAUUUCCAAUUAAUUUCUAAAAUAUAAAAAAUGAUCAAAUCCAUGUGAUCUUUACUUAGGUCAUAAGAUCGUGUGAACGCACAUUAAAUUAAAGUUAUUCAAUUAAUUUUUGUCUUUUGCAUAAUGAGCAAUAUUAUAGUAGAAAAUAAAGGUUUAUUAUGUUGAUAUGUCAAGUAAAGCUAACAACUUUGGUAUUAUAAGCUUGAUUUUUGUAGAUAGAAAAAUAUGAGAAGUCAUAUGACAAAAGGCAAAGAAAAUUUUGAUCAUGAAAAGUAGAAAAAAGCACAAAACCUUCAUGAAAUUCUAAUUCUAAGGAAGAAAGACCAUGCUCAAAACUCGAAAUUUAAAUUCUCACAAUCUUUUCAUAUUUUGCAGAUAGGUUUAUUAUUAAUAGAAGCACAUAAAUAAAUAUUGUACUUAAAUCCCACUAAUUUAUAGGUCAUUAUGGUAUAUGUAGGUCAUCAUAGUAAUGAGUGGGAAGGUGGGUACCUUUAAAAAGAAUAAGCUAAACCAAUCACCCUAAAUUUCAAAAGCACCUUUAUCAUAAAAGUGUGGUAAUGAGAGUGGAUAUCUUUUAAAAGAAUAGACAACCCUGAAUUUCAAAAAAAUGUCUGUUUCUUGGCGAUUGUAUCCCAACAGUCUUAUCUUUUUUUACUUUAUAUCUUUUUAUUAUUAUUAUCGUGAGGAUGGUUAAAGAUGAUGCUAGAAGUUUUUCUAUGGUUUAAAAAGAAAAAAUGUGAGUGUUAAGUUGGCAUUUUUGUCUUUUUAGAAAAUACUUCAUUUUAAGAUCAUUAAUAGAAGAAAUAAAGAGUUCAUAAAAAAUAAAGAAAUUUUUAUUGACUGAUCUAGGUAACCAUUUCAUGGCUUUUAAUUGUAACUUUGUUGAAAAUCUUACUCCUUCCUCCUUGUCUUCCUCUUGUUAUUCAAAAGUUUCAACUCCUUUUUUUUUUAAAUAAUAAUAUUGAUUUUAUGUUUUAAUGAAAUAAGUUGCAAAUUUGAAGAAAACAUAUUCUAAUGUAUUUAUUGAUUAUGGUCCUCUUUUCAAAAGGGUUAUCGUUAUUUACAUUCUCGAACUAAUCAAGUUUACAUCUCUAAAUAUGUAAUCUUUGAUAAGUUUGAGUUUUCUUUUACUAACAAAACUUCUCCCGUAUCUUUCUUGUAGGAACAAAGUCAAAUGACCAUAUUUUGAGAUUCUUAUCAACAGUUACAACCAUUCAAUCCAAACACCAACUCAACCCACAACUUCACUUCCACCAAACAACCUUUCAAACUAUCGUAAUAAUGUAGAUCUUCUAUUUUAUUUUUUUUAACACAUCUCAUCUAAAAUUGUCUUCUUACAUCCUUUAACACCUUAUUAUGCACUUAUGGUUAUUUUUCUAAGCUAUUUUUCUAAAAUUGUCUUCUAUUCAUUGUGAUUAUGUUGAUUACUAAUUAUUUUAUUUUAUUUUAUGCAAGAGACAUUCUGAAGGGAUUAGAUGCAUUCCAAUAUUGAUUUUAAUGAUUUUUAAAUCUUAAUUUAGGACUUUAUUUUUUAUUGAUUUAUAACAUAUUUAAGUUUGUUUAAAAUUUUCAAACUUUAAUUUUUAUAAAAUAGAUUCAAGUUUUGAAUUAAUUAAUAAUUGAUUUCAUUCUCUUUAAAGUGUAGAAUAUGAUAAAAGGCGUGUAACAAAUUCAAACAAAUCAUUAUACAAGUGAGAAUUUAGGUCAUCCAAUCAUUUUAUUAAAAAUCACUCUAUAAAUUAUAAAAAUAAAGAUAUUAAUCACAUCUAUUAAUAUGUUUUUUUUUAAAUUGACAAAUCAUAAUGAAAUUAUAAUCUUUUUAAUAUUUUAUUAAUUAUAAAUUAAAACGUCAUUAUAAUUAUUCAAUCCCCACGGAAUAUAAAAUGAGUUAUUUUUAAUAAUAAUAACUAAUCAUAUUUGAAUAACAUUUCAUCAAUUAUAUAUAAAAAUAAAGUUUUAUGUUUAUCAUAACCUAUGUUUUAAAUUAAACAAAAUAAUAAAAGUUACAUUUCCAUUUAAAUGUAUUUACAUAUCUACCUCCAUAGCCCAUGGUAUUAAAAUAAUCUAAUAAAACACAGUAUCCCAUAACCGGUCAACAGCACAGCUGCUCCUAGCCUUAGCCCCUUGCAGCUGCAAUCAGCUGUUCCACUCUCUGUUACAGUCCAGCUUUGGCCGCCCAAGACAUACAUCUUUUCACCCAUCACCCAUUUACCCCUGCCACAGCUAUUUUUUACCUUUGAGCUGCCCAAAGUCACACCAAACUAGCUGAUAAACCAUACCUUACAACCUGCAAACCAUCUCCUCAGCCAUCCCUAAUAGCCCACUGCCAGCCCUUUGUAAGAGUCACACCAAAGCCAAAUUUUUUUUAUUAUUAUUUUUAAUCAACUCCAGCACAGCCUCGUCAGACCGCCGAGCCUCCUGAUCUCAUCUCCAAACACGUUCUGCAGCUGAAUCCUUUGCCUUUAUGAAGUUUGGAUGCUGGUGGUGGGAUGUGCUUUUCCUUUCUCAAUUAUUUCUGCUUAGCUGUAUCCCUCUAGCUUUGAACUUUCACUUUUGUCCCUUUUGGCAGUCAACAAUGGCCGACAGUCUUGCCUCUGCGAUUUACAGCUGAUCUUUUCUUUUAGGGAGAGUUGGGAUUACUGGCUGUUAUACGAGAAAUACAUGGUUUUCAAAACCAUAUAACUGAAAUAUGAUUUACCUGAGAAAAAUUGUGAGAGUUGAGUUGUCAUUUUCGCCAUUUUAUAAAAGACUUAAUUUUAAGACCGUUAGUACGUAGAAAUAGGGGUCUCUAAAAAGCCCGCGGCCCGCUUUAGGCCCGGCCCGGCCCGGCCCGACGGGCUAAAGCCCGGCCCAAGCCCGCCGGGCCCAAGCCCGGCCCGAGCCCAUUUAUGGGCGGGCCGGGCCGCGGGCCUAAAUUUAGGCCCGGCCGUUGGAGACCCUUGCGUAGAAAUAACAAGUUCACAAGAACGAAAGAGACCUUUGUUGACUGACCUAGGUAACCCCUUUCAUGGCUUUUUCACUUGUUUGUUUUUGGAUUUUCUUUAAUGAGGCUAGGUGAUUGUUGUUUAUUUUGACUUAUAUUUUAGAUGGAUUUCAUUUUUAAUAAGAGUUUUUCAUGGUAAAAAUUGAUGUGAUACAAAUUUUUAUUGAUAUUAAUAUCAUUUUAUCAUAAAUUAUUUAGAGUAUAGAUAUAAAUAAAAUAUCAAUACCAUAGGAAAUGUUAAAAUAAAGUUAGGUGCAUAUGCAAAAAAUAAAAUUUGAAAAAUAGAAUAGUCCAGUCCAACCAUAUCCACACAUCCAUCUUCCUAUAAAUUAAACUAAUGAUAGAUACAUAAGUCAAAAAUAAGAUUUGAAAAAGAGUAUAAUCCAAUUCAACUACCCACCUUCCAAUAAAUUAAACUCAAAAUGGGCACAUAUUCCAAAAAUAAAUUUUGAAAAAUAAAAUAGUCCAAACCAACUUUAUCAACAUGUCCAUCUUCCAAUAAAUUAAAUUGGAAAUGAGUCGGCAUGUGAUAAAAUAAAUGUCAAUUUCCAUUUUACUUAUAUUAAAUUCACUUAUAUAUUUAUAUCGAAAAUUAUCCUUUGAAUCUUUCUAGAAACAUUAGAUUUUAAGGAAAUCAUGCAAGUAUACUUUUCUUAUUAUCAAUUUAAAAUAUAAAAUCCUUCCAUAGUUAUUUAUUAAAGUUCUACAAAGAAAAUUAAGAAAAUAAGGAUUUGGUAGGUAAUUAUGUUUAAAAAUAAUUUUCUAUUUUUUAUAGUAGAAAACCAGGUUCUAACUUUUUUUUUUUUAAAAAAAAAAAACACAUUAGACAAAUUUCGACCAAGAAGAAUUUCUUCAAAAUUUGCUCUAGAUACAUGUUAUUUUAAAAACAUGAUUUUGACAUAUUUUCAAAUAUUGUUUGUAUAGUUUUUGAGCAAAAAAUGAAAAGAUGGAGAAUACUCCAAAAACUUUGCAAAUGAAAAUACUAUGUUUUAUAUUUAUGUUUUCAAAUACAAUUUUGCAAAUGAAAUAUUUGAGAAUGUUCUUAAAAAUUAUUUUUUAAGAAGUGCUUUUGAAAACUUGGCUAAACAUGACCUAAAUAUCCUAAACAUGAAAGAUACAAGAAUGCAAGAAAAACAUUUUCAAUAAUUUUAUUUUAUUUAUUAUAUUAAAGAGUAACAUUAAUGUUUCAUUAUGAAGUUAAAAUGUUUCAUUCAAUCAAAAUUUAUUCUGCUAGUUUUCAAGGAAAGCAUUAUUUAUCAAGAUGCUUGCCUUAGUUGUUUUGUAUUUUAUAUUUUUCUUUGAUUGGGAUUGGUGAGAAUUGUCCUAAAUAUAGAUUUUAUUUUGAAUAAUUUCUAAAUUAGACUUGUAAAAAAUAAGAAAAAGUAUCUAGUAAUUCAUUGUUACACAUGAAUGUUGCAACUUGGUAAAAUUUAUGAUAUUUAUCACUAGGAAAUUUUGCUUAUAGAUAUAAAUAAAAUGGUAACAUCUAUCACAAGGAAAGGUUGGGAAGGAAGCAAACAUAUUAAUAGGUGAAACAAGAAAAAGAAAAAUAAUAAUAAUAAAUGAUAAAAAAAGGUAAGGGAAUUCAGAGUCAUGAGUUGGUACUCUAUAUUAUUUAAAGUGAUUAUAAUUUAGGGUACAAAUUUCUUUAGAAAUAAAUAACGUAAAUAGAUUCUAAAAAAGAUUAUGUAAAAUUAUCAUUUCUUAAAAAAGAGAAGAAGGUAUUUUCUUUAUUUUUAAACAUUUAUUAAUUUUUAAUACUAAUACAAUAUUAAAUCUAAUGAGAAGACCUCCUUUAAUCUUCUCACUUUAUUCAUUGAAGUCUUUUUAAAUAAUUUGAGAAAGUAAUUUUAAAUCCAAUUACAUGGUGAAGAUCAAGGUAAUAGUUAGAAUAAAACUACAAAUAACAUGGUCAAGAUCAAGGUGGGUGUGUGUGUGACAAUCUUAUAUACUUUUUUGGAAGUAUGAAAAGAGUAAUGAAAUCAUGUACCUAAUAAAAAGUAAAGAAAACUUUAAUUCUACUGGAGGAAGCAAACACUAAACUUCCUUAAGAAAAUGGUAAUGUUGAAUUAAAUAACUUGCAUUGACGAACAUUAUGGUCCUUAUUCUAAAUUAUUUCAUUUCUUUUAUUGUGUCUCCAUUCAUUUAACAUGAUUUUUGAAAGUAUAAAAAGAGUAAUAUAAGUUACGUACCUAACAAAAUUAAAAAAAAGUACUUUAAUUUAAAUAGGGAAUGAGACAUGAAACUUCCUUGAAAAAAUGGCAAUGUUGAAAAGUUAAUAAAGUAGUUUAAAUUUUCAACUUGUUACAUUAGAUAACUUGCAUUAAAGGACAAUAUGUAUCUUAGAAAUAGAAAGUUUUGAAGUGAAACAUCUAAACAUGUAGGAACAUUAAACAAUGCCUUGGUCAAAAAAGGAAAACGCAUAGGAACAUAUAUCAAAUAAUAUCUUGGUCAAAAAGAAUAAUGCUUUAGUAAAAAAUGGAAAAUGCAUAGGAACAUUAAAUAAGACAAUAUCACAUAGGGUUUAGGUAAGACAAUUCUCUAAUCCCUUAUCCUUGUUGGCUCAUACACUUGUUGAACCUCUUUGAUACGAAAAUAAUCCAAAUGACUCAUAAAAUAUAGUGUUUAUAUGGAUGCUAUUAAGAUAUAAAUUAGGCUACAAUGAAAGUUAAUUAUAACUUUAAUGUUGGAGGGAAUAAGCAAUUUUUUGUGAGAAAGGGCAACACCUAGAAAGUCAAUAAGAUUAAUUAUCUUAAUAAUGGAAAAAAAGUUCAUUCUUAUGAAUCCUCAAAGUGAAUCAAAGAGACAAACUUCAAUUUUGAAGUGAACAUAAUUAUUAUUUUUUUGUUUCUUUGUUAAAUAAUUAGUAAUACUUAAUUUAUCGAUCGUGUAAGAAUCAAAGAAGAAUAGCUACUAUUCAUGCAAUGGGUCUCAUCUUAUUGUAACAAAACUUAUGAUUAUUUUUCUUCCAUGUAUUGGAAGUUACUAUAAAUUCAUUUCCCACUUGUUAUGUGACUUAGGUAUCAAAUAGAGCCCACUAGAUAAAAUUUCUCUCAAGGUAUUUCCACAUCAAAUUUCUUUAUUUUAAACAUGUUUAUGGAUGUAAGUUUGCAUUGAAUAAAUUUCAAGUAUUAAUGUAGACUAACAAUAUUUAAAUAAAAAUGAUAAUAUAUUUAAAUUUUUAAUAAAAAUUGAGUUGAAUUUUUCAACCAACAUUUGAUUUCCUUCCACUCACCUAAUGUUGGCAUUAAAAUGCAUUAAUAUAUAUAUAUAUAUAUAUAUAUAUAUAUAUAUAUAUAGAUAUAUAAAUAUAUAAUCAUUGUCUUGGGAACUUUUUCUUCGGUGCUUAUCCUCAAACCUUCUUAAAAAAAAUAAGAUUGAUUCUUGUUGUGCUCACCUAAUGCUUGCAUUAAAAUACUAUAAACUUUUUUUUUGUGAGCUUAUCCUUACACCUUAGAAAACAAGAUUGAUUCUCGUUGAUAAGAAGAUAAGAACAAAAACUUCUAAUAAAUUAUAUUUGGUAUAUUGGUAAUUUAAUGGGAAAAGACCUUAAAUUUUGUAAAUGUAAAAGGAUAAUAUAGUUGGACGACACAUUUAUACAAAUAUAUGAUUGGAUUUUAAUUUUGUAACUUAAUUAAUUAAGAAAAUAAAACCUUUGGGCUAUUUAAAUAUAAUUGGAUUUUAAUUUUUAGUUUGGGUUAAAGUUACAAAAGAAAAAAAAAUGACCCAAAUAAAUUAAUUGGGCAUUUAUAUUUAAACAAUUAGUCUUUAGAAUUAAUAUUUAAUUGGAUUGAAAAAAAAAAAAAAAAAGAUAAUAAAGGGAGUAGAAUGGUCUUUUCCCAUUAGAAACCUAGGUAUAAAUAUUCACCACCCUUCUUUACAAAAGUCUUUUGCAUAGAGAGAAAAUGUGGGGUUUGAAAUCAAUCUUUUAAAGCAAACAUAUAUAGAUUCAAUAUUUAGUUUCAUUUUUAAUGGUCAUAAAAAAAUAAAUAAUCUAGAAUCAUAUCAUGAUAAUUAUUAAAUAUGAUUAAUUUUUAUGAGAAAAUUAAAAAACACAUAAUUCUAAUUAAUUAUAUAGUCAAAUACCAUUAACCAUUCUUAGUUAAAAAUUUAAAGUCUUUUUCCAUUUGCAUUGGACAUUACUAUUAAUAGAUGCAUAUCCAUGAAUAUUGUACUUAGUAAUAUUUCUUUUAGAAUUAAAUCCCAUUAAGAUUAUAUUGCAUUGUGAUGUAUAUGAGUUGCACCUUCAAUUAUUUUUAUUUAACUUUGGUUCUCAGAAAAUAUUAAGGAAAAAAAAGAUAUUAAGGAAAAUAAUUCUUCAUGUUUGAUUGUCUUAUGAAAAAUUUCAAAAAAAAUAAAAUAAAAUAUAAUUAAAAUUAGUUUAGAACUUAUGUAUUUUCAAAUUAUUUAAUCUUUAUGUUGAUGAGUUAAAAUAAAUAAAAUGAGUUUGAAAUAACAAAUAAAAAUAAUUUAUCGACUUUAACCUUAUUUUUUAUUUUCCUUCAAUUUUUCAUUUCUUUUUUUUUUUUUCACUUUGUUUUCUUUCCUUUGUAUUUUCCCUCAGAUUUUUUUGGAAACCAAACAUAACCUUAAUGAUUAUGAGAUCAUAUUAGUUAAAAAGUGAAGUUUCUACCACUACAUAUAAUAAAUGCAUAUACAUGUAUAUUUUGAUCUUAGCCUAGACAAUAUUUAUAUAAAAAUGAAUAGAUCAUUAUAAAUGACAUUAAAAUUGAUUUCCUAUUGAGAAAUUACAAGUGUUCUAUACUUUUUAUAUAUAUAAAAAUUUCUUAAUCAAUAUUAUCAAAUAACUUUUUACAUUUUUCUAUUGAAAUAUAUAUUUUUUUGCAAAAAAAUUCCUAUUAUUAUAAUAAAUUUUUUUUUUUCAUAUUUUUCAAUUAAGAUAUACUCUUCAUAAGGACAUUCCUAUUAUUAUAAAAGAUAAAUUAUUUUUUAUAUGAAUAUUUUAUUUAAUCAAGAUAAACAUGGAAAGAAAUUGUUCUCACAUGUCUUAUAUUGAGAAAAAUUAUAUAUAAAUUGGAAAUAAUUUUAAAAUUAAUAAAAUCUAAAAGUUGUUUCACUAUUUUCUAAAAUUAAUUUCAAUUUUUUUUUUACUUUUUAAUUAGUGUAUGUUUAUGUAUGUAUGCAUGCAUGUAUAUAUGCAUACAUAUUAAAAAAUGUUGAUCAUUUAAGUGGCUCUAAACUAAUUAUUUAUUUGCAUGAAAAAAUUUAUUUAAAAUGAGUUGUUCAUCUUUUAUGAGAUAUAACAAAAGCCAUUUGCACUAGGUCAUAAUGGUAAUGAGUGGGAAGGUGGGUGCCUGCCUUUAAAAAGAAUAGAAGUGAACAACCACCCUAAAAUUCGAAAGUAUAACAUACAAAAGUACCUUGCAUUGAUGUACGCAUACACAUGAAACUUCCUUGAGAAAAUAGUAUUGUUGAAAUGUCAACAAAGUAGUCAUACACAUGAAACUUCCUUGAGAAAAUAGUAUUGUUGAAAUGUCAACAAAGUAGUUUAAAUCCUCAACAGGUUGUUACGUUAGUGUGUGUGUGUGUGUGUGUGUGUGAGAUAAAAGAUUUCAAAAGGAACAAUCCCUUGGUCAAAAAACAGAAAACAUAUAGAAACAUAUAUUGAGAAUAAUAUCUUAUUAAAAAAGAAUAAUGUCUUGGUGGGAAUGGGAAACGAGUAAGAACAUUGAAUAUGACAAUACCACAUAUGGUUAAGUAAGGCUAUUCUCUAAUCUUUUAUCCUUGUUGAACCUCUUUCAUUGAAAAAUAAUCCAAAUGACUCAUAAAAUAUAGUGUUUAUAUGGAUGGUAUUAAGAUAUAAAUUAGGCUACAAUGAAAGUUAAUUAUAACUUUAAUGUUGGAAGAAAUGAACAACUUCUUAUGAUAUAUAUAUAUAUAUAUAUAUAUAUAUAUAUAUAUAUAUAUAUAUAUAUAUAUAUGUGUGUGUGUGUGUGUGUGUGUGUGAGAUAAAAGAUUUCAAAAGGAACAAUCCCUUGGUCAAAAAACAGAAAACAUAUAGAAACAUAUAUUGAGAAUAAUAUCUUAUUAAAAAAGAAUAAUGUCUUGGUGGGAAUGGGAAACGAGUAAGAACAUUGAAUAUGACCAUACCACAUAUGGUUAAGUAAGGCUAUUCUCUAAUCUUUUAUCCUUGUUGAACCUCUUUCNNNNNNNNNNNNNNNNNNNNNNNNNNNNNNNNNNNNNNNNNNNNNNNNNNNNNNNNNNNNNNNNNNNNNNNNNNNNNNNNNNNNNNNNNNNNNNNNNNNNGAAAUAGAAAGUUUUGAAGUGAGACAUCUAAACAUGUAGGAACAUUACACAAUGCCUUGGUCAAAAAAGGAAAACGCAUAGGAACAUAUAUCAAAUAAUAUCUUGGUCAAAAAGAAUAAUGCUUUAGUAAAAAAUGGAAAAUGCAUAGGCACAUUAAAUAAGACAAUAUCACAUAGGGUUUAGGUAAGACAAUUCUCUAAUCCCUUAUCCUUGUUGGCUCAUACACUUGUUGAACCUCUUUCAUUGAAAAAUAAUCCAAAUGACUCAUAAAAUAUAGUGUUUAUAUGGAUGGUAUUAAGAUAUAAAUUAGGCUACAAUGAAAGUUAAUUAUAACUUUAAUGUUGGAAGAAAUGAACAACUUCUUAUGAUAUAUAUAUAUAUAUAUAUAUAUAUAUAUAUAUAUAUAUAUAUAUAUAUAUAUAUGUGUGUGUGUGUGUGUGUGUGUGUGAGAUAAAAGAUUUCAAAAGGAACAAUCCCUUGGUCAAAAAACAGAAAACAUAUAGAAACAUAUAUUGAGAAUAAUAUCUUAUUAAAAAAGAAUAAUGUCUUGGUGGGAAUGGGAAACGAGUAAGAACAUUGAAUAUGACAAUACCACAUAUGGUUAAGUAAGGCUAUUCUCUAAUCUUUUAUCCUUGUUGAACCUCUUUCAUUGAAAAAUAAUCCAAAUGACUCAUAAAAUAUAGUGUUUAUAUGGAUGGUAUUAAGAUAUAAAUUAGGCUACAAUGAAAGUUAAUUAUAACUUUAAUGUUGGAAGAAAUGAACAACUUCUUAUGAGAAAGGGCAACACCUAGAAAGUCAAUAAGAUUAAUUAUCUUAAUAAUAGAAAGAAAGUUCAUUCUUAUGAAAUUGAAUCAAAGAGAUAAAUUUCAAUUUUGAAGUAAACAUAAUUAUUUUUCUAUUUUUGUUAAAGAAUUAACAAAAUUUAUCAUGUAAGAAUCAAAGAAGAAUAGCUACUAUUCAUGCAACUGGUCUGAUCUUGUUGUAACAAAACUUAUGAUUAUUUUUCUUCUAUGUAUUGGAAGUUACCAUAAAUUAAUUUCCAACUGGUCAUGUGACUAUUGCAUCAAAUAGAGCCCACUAGAUAAAAUUUUUGUUGACGUAUUUCCACAUCAAAUUUCUUUAAUUUAAACAUGUUUAUGGAUGUAAGUUUGCAUUGAAUAAAUUUCAACCAUAGAUAUGCACUAACAAUAUUUAAAUAAAGAUGAUAAUGUAUUUAAAUUUUUAAUAAAAACUAAGUUGAAUUUUUCAACGAACAUUUGAUUUCCUUCUGCUCACCUAGUGUUAGCAUUAAAAUACAAAAAAAGCUCACCUAAUACUUGCAUUAAAAUACUAGAAACUUAUUCUUGUGAGCUUAUCCUUGCACCUUCUUAGAAAAAAAACAAGAUUGAUUCUUAUUGGUCAGAAGAUAAGAACAAAAACUUCUAAUAAAUUAUAUUUGAUAUAAACUCGUCAAUCAUCACAUAAAAAACAAUUUCUCCAGAGGGCGAUGACCCCAUCAACCCCCAUAAGCUAACCAAGCAGCUCGACCUUAACAUCCUAAGCAAAGCGCAACAAUACUGAUUCAAGCUUCACAAUCCAACACCAAUAAAGACAAGAACAAUUGACACUCAAAAAAAUUAUUUCUUUUAACUUUUUCCCUUUAAGUUGAAUUUGAUUUUAAAAUAGUGUUAUCUCAUUAAUUAUUUUACAAAAUAUAUAUAUGUUAUAUCUUAAAAUUGGUUAGUAAAUUAUAUUACAAUUAUCAAAGAUAUUGCCAUAUAUAAAAUACAACUUAAUAAAUCUUAAGCAUAACACAAAGCACAACAACAAGAUAUAUUAAUUUAAGUUACUAAGAGCUUAUUUAGUUGUGUGAUUUAAAAAUGGUUUUCUAUUUUAAAAAAUAAAAAAUUAUUUUAAAAAAUUUAUAACACUAUUUUAAUGUUGUUCUUUGGAAACAAUGUUUAAAGACAAAGUAACAUUGAGAACAAUUUUUAAAGAACAAGUAGGAGUUGUUUUUAUUAGUUUUUAAAAAACAAAAAAUAUAUAAACUCAUUUUACUAUGUUUUUUGAAACUUGUUUUUAAAUUAAAGAAUAAAAAAUAAUUUUUCAAAAUAAGUUUCAAAAAAUAUGACCAAACAAACCCUAAAUGGUCGGGGUUUAAUAUUAAAGAGAAAAAAAGUUAAUUUAAGAGUUUGCAUGCAGGUAGACAUCAGGCUGUAAAACUGGUUUACUAAGACACUCAUUUUAUUUAUAUAUUCUUCUAUGUGCAUGCAUUGACCAUGUGGUUAGGAUGUGUUGCACCAAAAUCUAAUUAUUAACUUGCAGUUCGAAAUCACAAACCAGCUGUAUGUAUUAGAAACAGACCAUAUUGGGUCAUGCACAUUCUCCGUCAUUUUCUAUUUCCUAGCAACAUAUAUGACCAAAUGAAAUUGUUAUAUCCUAAUUAUAUUUUUUAAUUAGGCGAUAAAUGAAUGGAUUCCUUUUAAAAAUAAUAAUUGAGAUAUUAGGGAUGAUUAAAAUAUUAUUAGAAGAAAACAACCACUAUCUUCCAGAUUAAUCACAGCUUAAUAAAUGUAAAUAAAUUAAUCUGACACUACAUUUUUCUUUAUUUGUUUUGGUUUCUUUACAAGAAUGUUUCUUUAUGUAUUCUUGUUGAAUCUAUAAAAUAUCAUCUAUAAACAUUCUUUUUGAAUGAUUAAGAAUCCGAUAUUUAAAUGAUUGUGUGGACCUUGCAUUUUUGCUCAAUGCGUUCCCACUCAAUGUUGAACUCUCUUUUUAUUUAUUUAAUGAAAAAUAUGAUUUUUUUUUUUAGAAAAGACUUGGAGUCGCCACUUAUUUUUGUUUUAUUUUUAAAAAUGGUAAACAAAAUAAGAAAGAAAACCCUAAGUGUGACUCCUUAUUUUGGAAAAAGUGGUAUGUGAAAAAUCAGAUCGGGCUCGGGGAUUAGGUUACUUAUCGGGAAGGUACAGUAAGGACCAUGACACCCCUCUAAGUCCCUAAAGUCGGGUCUCUAUUGAUAAAAGGAAGCUGACAUGGCAAUCAAUAAGGAAAUCAAUGGGUACUCAAAUCGAUCAUGCACAUAUGGAAAUUGGAAUUUUAGAAAUUGGAAAUUAAAUUCGAAAAUGGGAAAAUUGGAAUCUCAAAAAUUGGGAAUUGAAUUUGGAAAUCAGAAUUUUGAAGAAUUAUUUAAAGAUGAAAAUUUUAAAAGUAAGUAAAUAAAUAAAUAAAUAAAAUAAUAAUGAUUGGAUAAAUAAAUGCGAAAAUUGGAAUUUUGGAAAUCGGAAAUUAUAUUUGGAAUUUGGAAAAUCAGAGUUUUGGAAAUUGAGAAUUAAAUUUGGAAAUUGGAAUUUUGAAGAAUUAUUUAAAGAUAGAUUUUUUUAAAUAAAUAAAUAAAUAGAAUAAUAAUAAUAAUCGAAAUAAUAAUAAAAUAAAUGAACAUGAACAUUAAAAUUUUUUGAAAUAGAAAAUUAAAUUUGGAUGUCGGAAAUUUGAAAAAUUGUUUAAAAAAACGGAAUUUAGAAAAUAAAUAAAUUAAUUAAAAAAAAAGUAUUGUAGUGAAGGUCAUCAAACUCAAAGUCUUAUUCAUGACCCAAUUUCCCAUAUUUGAUUAAGAAUCCAUGCAACAUUACUAUGGGCCACCUGAGCCAAAAUGUCUACACGUUCCACUCUUACACCAUCCCAUUGCAGCUCUCACCACAACAGCCACAACAGUGGAAGUAAAAAUAAAAAAUAAAAAAUAAAAAAAUCACGCCACAUGAGUUGACCAUGAUGUCACCUCUUCCAACACAAGCAAUACACUUCCAAUUGGAACUCUGAAAGCAAUAGUCACUUCAGCACGACAGCGAGGUAGACUAGGGCAGUAGGUGUUGAAUGAGUGAUGAAUCCGAAAAGAAUGGGUUUGUAACAUAAAUGAUUAAUCUUACAACAUCACACAAGAGAUAUGAAUCCAUAUUUACGCACAUAUCCAAACAAAACCAUAUGAACAAUAGAUGAGACCAUGCCACAACAAACCAUUAUAAGAGUAAGAAAAGGAAAAAAGAGAGAGAAAAAAAAAGACAAACUUCAGCAUAAAAAAAAACAAAUCUAGAAGGUAGUGAAGUGAUGUAUGGAGAGUCACCGUGAUCAUACCGAAACAAACUCACAAACAACGCAAAAUAAUCACAUAAAAAAACAAAAGGGUAAUAGGAUGACCAAUAAUAAUCCAUGAACCUUAUCAGUCUUACCAGGUAAAGCUUUCUAUCCACUGGAGUUUUCUAGACUUUCUUUCCAACUUCCCUCCUCCUCUUUCCUGCUUCAGCCUAUCCCCGAAAAGCUUGCUCUGCCCAUUUUUCUACAACCAACCCAACAGCUAGCUUAGCCCCCAAAAAGAUGAAGACGCUCCCCCCUAUUUAUUCUCUCCCGUUCAGCUCAUUUCCCGCCCAGUUUUUCUCUCCAGAUUUUUUUUCCCCUAGUCCUCACAUGCUCCCUACUCCUUGCUCAACCAAUCUGUCACCAUCUCAACCACCACCAUGGCGAGGUAGUGGUGUCGUCCUCCAUGCGUCUCAUGCAUGCUAAUAUUUGAAAAAGUCGAUCCCCCUUCCUCCUACAACAAGCUGCUAGCUAUCCGGGUGGCUAGCAUGAAGGGUCUACAAAUAUGCCCCUCUUCAGUAGAGUUCACGAACGUAAAGAAAUAUGAACACUAGAGUGAAAAGAAAGUGUGAAUAGUGAGCGAAAUGAAGUGAACUUUACCGAAAAUGGGCAUAUUUGUAGACCCCUCAUGCUAGCCACCCGAAUAGUUGGUAGCUUGUUGUAGGGGGAGGGGAGACCGACUUCUUCAAAUAUUAGCAUGCAUGAGACGCAUGGAGGAGGGCACCACUACCUCGCCAUGGUGGUGGUUGAGAUAGUAACAGAUUGGCUGAGCAAGAAGCAAGUGAAGACUAGGGGGAAAAAAAAGAUCUGGAGAGAAAAAAUAGGUGGAAAAUGAGCUGAACGAGAGGGAAUAAACAGGGGAGAGCAUCUUCAUCUUUUUGGAGGGUGACCUAGCUAUCGGGUUGGUUGUAGAAAAACAGGCAGAGCAAGCUUUUCGGGAAUACGUCGAAGUAGGAAAGAGAAUGAAGAAAGUUGGAAAGAAAGUCCAAAAAACUCCAAUGGAAGGAGAGCUUUACCUGAUAAGACUGAUCAGGUUCAUAGAUUAUUACUGGUCAUCCUACUACCCUUUUGUUUUUUUACGUUAUUAUUUUGCAUUGUUUGUGAAUUUGUUUCGGUAUGAUCAUAGUGACUCUCCAUACAUCAUUUCCCUACCUUCUAGAUUUGUUUUUUUUUUGUGCUAAAGUUCGUCUUUUUUUUUUCUCUCUCUUUUUCUUUUUCUUACUCUUACAAUGGUUUGUUGUGGCAUGGUCUCAUCUAUUGUUCAUAUGGUUCUGUUUGGAUGUGUGUGUAAAUCUGGAUUCAUAUAUCUUGUGUGAUGUUGUAAGAUUAAUUGUUUAUGUUACAAAUCCAUUCUUUUUGAAUUCAUCACUCAUUUCACACCCGUUGCCUUGGUCUACCUUGCUGUCGUGUUGGAGUGGUUGUUGCUUUUAGAGCUCCAAUUGGAAGUGUAUUGCUUGCAUUGGAAGAGGUGACAUCAUGGUCAACUCAUGUGGCGUGUUUUAUUUUAUUUUAUUUUUACUUCCGUUGUUGUGGUUGUUGUGGUGAGAGCUGCAAUGGGAUGGUGUAAGAGUGGAAGGUGUAGACAUUUUGGCUCAGGUGGCCCAUAGUAAUGUUGCAUGGAUUCUUAAUCAAAUAUGGGAAAUUGGGCCAUGAAUAAGACUUUGAGUUUGAUGACCUCCACUCAUUCCACCACCAAACCUUUUUUUUUUAAUUAAUUUAUUUAUUUUUUAAAUUUCAUUUUUUUAAACAAUAUUUCAAAAUUCCGACAUCCAAAUAUAAUUUCCGAUUUAAAAAAAUUUCAAUGUUCACGUUCAUUUAUUUAAUUAUUAUUUCUGUUAUUAUUAUUAUUCUAUUUAUUUAUUUAUUUAUUUUUAAAAAAUUCAAUCCUUAAACAAUUAUUCAAAAUUCCGAUUUCCAAAUUUAAUUCUCAAUUUCCAAAACUCCGAUUUUCCAAAUUCCGAAUUUAAUUUCCGAUUUCCAAAAUUCCAAUUUUCGCAUUUAUUUAUCCAAUCAUUAUUAUUUUAGUUAUUAUUAUUAUUAUUAUUAUUUUAUUUAUUUACUUACUUACUUUUAAAAAUUCCAUCUUUAAAUAAUUCUUCAAAAUUCUGAUUUCCAAAUUCAAUUCCCAAUUUUCGAGAUUCCAAUUUUCCCAUUUCCGAAUUUAAUUUACAAUUUCUAAAAUUCCAAUUUUCGCAUUUAUUUAUUCAAUCAUUAUUAUUUUUCGUUAUUAUUAUUAGUUUAUUAUUUACUUAUUUAUUUUUAAAAUUCAAUCUUUAAAUAAUUCUUCCGAAAUUCCAAUUCUUAAAUUUAAUUCCCAAGACUCCAAUUUCCAAAUAAUUUUCGAGACUCUAAUUUUCAAAUAAAUUUCAAAAAUCUAGUUUUCACUCGAACAAUUUUAAUUCCAUUCCGGUUCUCAAAUAAUCUGUUGUUUUUCUUGAUUUUACAUAAGCAUGAAUGUAAUUUUUCACAAUUCCACAAUAAUGGAAUAUGUGAGACUAAUUCAUGCAAGAUAGAUUGGGUUUUGGUGGGGGGCCCAACAUUGGUGUUUUUUUCCUCUAAAAAUAAAUUUGAUUGAAUUGAAUUGUGAUAUCUGUUGAUUUCUCACUCUGUUUAGUGGCAUGUGUGACAUAGUCUGUUUUGUUAAUUGUGCACUAAACCCAUUUCUUGAUAGUGCAUUAUGACUCGUGGCCCAGGUGCGCAUCCGCUCCUAUUCUGGUCAUUCUCUAUGCAUGUUCUGAUUCCCAUAUGUGCAUGAUCAAUUUAAGUACCCGUUGAUUUCCUUAUUGAUUGCCACGUCAGCUUUCUUUUAUUAGUAGAGACCCGACUUUAGGGACUUAGAGGGGUGCUACGGUCCUUACUAUACCUUCUCGAUAAGUAACUUGACCCCCAAACCCAAUUCGGUUUUUCACAUACCACUUUUUCCAAAAUAAGGAGUCAUAGUUAGAGUUUUCUUUCUUAUUUUGUUUACCCUUUUUAAAAAUAAAACAAAAAUAAGUGGUGACUCCAAGUCUUUUCUAAAAAAAAAAAAAAUCAUAUUUUUCAUUAAAUAAAUAAAAAGCAAGUUCGCCAUUGAGUGGGAACGCAUUGAGCUAAAAUGCUGGGUCCAUAAAAUGGCGACUCCACUGAGGAUGAUUUAGAAGGUCAAACUUGAACUUAAGAUGAAGCAAAUGCGACAUUUGAUGGGUCGAUCAGUGGGUACCUAUCUUUUAAUUGCACAUUGAGAGUUCUUGAUAUCAUUGGAUGCAUGCUUGGAUAUUGUAUUCAUUUUGAGACAUUGAUAUGUUGGUUAUGAUGAUUGAUUUGUCUUGAUUGAGGAUUCCGAGAUAGCUAUUUUUUUUGUGCUUCAUUGCUAUAUUUGUUUGGGAUAUUGACAUACUGAUUGUAUCAAUUUCUUAUCUUGCCUUGCUUAGCAUAGUGACCCUGAUUCUUGCCAUGAUUGUUCUGCUCACUUCAUAUGCAUAGACUCACUAUUGUACACCAUUUGACUUGAUGUGUUGUUUUCUUUGGCUUGUGUAUUAUCCUGAUCGUCUUUGAGCAUGAUGCUUGUAUUAGUAUUCAUUUGAUCGUCAUAGCUUGUAUGUGUACAUGAGCAAUAUAUCAUGUACUCUGCCUGGUUGUAUGUCGCAUGACUGCACUCCUUUGCAUGUUGCUUGUUUGUGUGGGUAGCACAUCUAUCCCCUUAUCUCCAACGCUCUGGGUUUCGAUUAUUUCCUUUAUUUCGGUUUUCACUUUUGCAAGUGUGAGGCCUUGUGUGUGCUUGUACUUUGACCGAGGAAGAGGUUAGGAGUAGGGUCUAGCGACGGGCUAUAUCGAUGUUUGGGAGCAUUCUGGAGGUGACCGACACAUUGACGUCAAUUGGAGUCCGAUCAUUGAAGACCUGUAUAGCCUGGAGCUAGGUUUCAUGGAUAUUUGUGCGGCCAGUGUGUUUCCCUUUUUGAUUUAGCUUCAUAGAGUUUUCGGAUGCACCCACACCGCUCACUGCGCACUCUAGUUGACCAUUGAGUGUUGAGAGUUUUGAGAGGUUUCGCCAUAGAAAACCUCCUGAGAUAUCGAGGUAGUGCAUGUGUGGAGGUGAUGACCACCUUGCAUAGAAGCGCCCAUUCUUUUCGGAGGCGUGCAGAGGGUUGCGUACCGUCGGAGGGUACGAUCGCUUCUGUUAGGGAUCCUUUAAAGUCCACCCCUCUUCUUUUCAGAGCCACCUUGACCUUGUAGGUCGAGCCUUAGAUAUUUCAAUCAGGAAUUUCUUCCCUAACACGUGGGUGCAUCUGUGGGCCUUCAAAGUUACUUCAGUAGUGAUAGGUUUAGUUACCUUCGUAGUGGUCUCUUAUACAUCUGCUCAGGAUUGGAUAUCACUUUGAUUGCUUACGAGUUACCUUUCGACAUAUUUGAUAGACUUUCUUUGUGGAGAUUUUCCUAACCUUGUAUCUUAUCUAGUAUUUCCAAUAUUGUAGGAGCAUUGAUACAUAGGGUUUGGGUUCGACUUCUUGGAUCCAGGUUAGGGGUAGAUUGAUCAGAGUAUCAGACCCGUUAGACCAGAAAUCAGAUCAUAGAAAUAUGGACUCACAGAUGGUUACCGUUGGCAGCAGGCCUAGGAGGUUUCGCCUCAGGAUGGCGCACAGUAUGACCCUACAGUGCCGUCAUCCCCUCCACCUAAUCAGUCAGCACCACUAGCCAUACCUUUCACUCUGCAUAGUCAGACCGAGGUUGUCCCGACUCCUAUCAUCGUGCCUACCCCAACCUCAGAGGACCCACAUGCUUGUAUGGAUAGGCUCGAUAAGAAGUUGAGACAAUUGAGGAGUUCAGACAGACCUGUUACUUGGGACGAUUUUGAUGGACUACCAGUGGCCAGUUUGCCGGCCAAGUUCAGGAUGCCAGAGAUUGAGCGAUACACGGGCAUUGGCUGUCCUUGCAUCCAUUUGAGGCUUUAUAGUACUAUCAUGAGGGCCCAUGGACUAGAUGAGGUUCAGAUGAUUAUGUUUUUCCCCAUGUGCUUGAACGGUGUGGCGUAGUGAUGGUUUGCUUUAUUGGAUACAUCCCAAAGUCGGACUUGGGAUGAUUUGGCCUAGGAGUUUUUGAGACAAUUCACAUUUAAUACUGUCAUUGACGUCUCGAGGAGAGAGUUAGAGGCAUUGAGACAGAGGCCAGAGGAGUCGAUCACCUCAUUUAUCUCCCGUUGGAGGGAGAAGAUUUCAUAGGUUAUUAAUAGACCAUCGGAGAAGGAUCAUAUUAGCAUGAUUAUGAGAAGCUUGCAACCUCGAUUUGCUAGACACUUGAUGGGAUUUCCUCAUAGAGAUUUUGGAUCUUUGGUACAGGCCUUGUAUGGUAUAGAGGAGGGCAUAGCCAGAGGAUUAUGGUCUGAGUCUUCUCUUUCUAAUUCGAAGGGGAAGAAACCUUUAAGAUGAUAGAGGCUAGUUGAUGUGAGCGCCCCUAGUUCUACCAGCCAGAGGCCUCCUAUGCGUCAUUAGUCAGUGCCACAGCUUCCUGAGACUCAUCCUUCAUAUCCACCUCAACAGUACAGGCCACGAGCGCCUCGUCCGACUUUUGAUCAUGCUUACAUGCCUCAGACACUAGUUUUGCCUUACUAUGCCACUCAGGGCAUCGAGAGACCACCUGUUUCAUAUACAGCCACAGGAUAGCCAUGCUAUGCGGCGUAGUUUACCGCAAGACCUACAUCUUCUUAUCCCAGGCUUAGAGCUCAACAGACUUCUGUUCCUUUUGUUUUGAGGACGCAGAUAUAGUUCUCGCAGUUAAGCAUGCCGUUGAGCCAGGCUAUUCGGAAACCUAUAGAGGUUGGGUUGUUGAUUGCUCUCACUCUUAGGCCACCACCUCAGCCUCUUCCUUCUCGGUUCAGGAUGGAUUUGCACUAUGCAUACCAUCAAGGACCUAGACAUGAGACUGACCGUUGUACCGCUCUGAGACAUGCCAUCCAAGAUCUGAUCGACCAGGGUUUGGUUCACUUAGAUUAGCCGAGUGUAACCACAAACCCACUAUCGACCCACACCACACAUGCGGUUCCCCCACCAACCAAUAACAUUCAUUUUCUGGAUUUUGCUGGGUUUGACGACCAUAUCCAUAUGUUGAGCCGGGAUGACACAGAGCGAGAGCCCAUAGUGUCAGAUGGGAUUUAUGAGAUGAGUGGGGUGACUUUGGGACCUUAGAUACCCGCUCCAUUCAGAUUCGUCCCUAAGGCGGUAUCGGUACAAACGACCACUAUCGAGCGAUUGACUUUCUCACAUUAUAGUGUUCAGACGCAUUUUGUUUUGAUUCCAGAUGUUGAUGGGGUUCAGACUUCUUAUGUUGAUGUUUAUCAGACUCCAUAUGUCGAUGAUGUUCAUACUUUAGAUGUGCAGUAUGUUAUCCACGGAGGUAGGGUAGUACGGCAGCAGCCCCCCGCUGCCGCUAGACCCUUGAAGGGAACGUCAUCCCAAGAGGAGGUCGAGAGGGAGGAUGAUCAGAUUCUGAUGCAGUUACAAAGCACUCAUGCUUGUAUUUCCAUCUAGAGCUUGUUAGCAUCUUCUAGUAAUCACCGAGAUGCUUUGAUUUGAGCCUUGAGCCAGAUCAGAGUUGAAACUACCACCACUCCGGAGGGAUUGAUUCAUAUGGUGAUGGCUGGCAGAGCCGCAUGCAUAGUAUUCUCUGAUGACGGCUUGCAACCAGAGAGUGCGAACCAUACAUGUCCAUUUUAUAUAUCAGUUGGUUGUUUAGGCUAUCGAGUCUCAUUUGUCAUUUUGGAUAACGACUCGGCCCUGAACGUUUGCCCUCUGGCCACUGCCAUCGCCCUUGGUUAUGCGUCCUCUGACUUUGGUCCCUUCACUCAGAUAGUUCGAGCAUACGAUAACACUCAAAGGGAGGUCAUGGGCACUCUAGAGAUUGAGUUGCUGAUAAGUCCGAUCACAUUUGUUACUUUGUUCCAGGUUUUGAAGAUUCCUACAUCAUUUAACCUGCUAUUGGGUCGACCUUGGAUUCACAAAGUCGGGGUCAUUCCUUCUUCCCUUUAUCAAAAGGUGAAGUUCAUUUGCGAUGGUCAGGUCAUCACAGUGCGGUCUAUAGGAGAUAUGUUUAUUUCUACUCAGCCGGUGCUUCAGAUUAGUCACAAUGAUGAUGACUUACUUCUGAGUGGAUUCACAUUCGACGAGGUGCAAACCCUAAAGAUGGAGAAUUUUUUCCGAGACUUCGUAGCUAUGUCGUUUGACUAGCAUGGUAGCACGGUGGUGCUCGAUAUGAUGAGGAGUAUGUCUUAUCUUCCCGGUAUGGGAUUGGGGCGACGUCAGCACGGGCCUAGUGAGUUCAUGGCUAUCCCCGAUCACGAUGUACCGUUCGAACUCGGGUUCAUCCCCACUGAGGCUAAUUAUCGAUAUAUGGCGCAACUGCGCAAGGAGAUGGGUGAGAGCCCAACUGACUCACACGCCUUUUGAUUAUCCUGUUCGCUCAUACACCAUGAGCUUAACAGAAUACUUUGUGAAGGCGUCAGUGCCGCAGAUGCCUUCAAAUGGGAUAAUUGGGGGACUCGAAACUACUCAAGAGGCCAAGCUUCAGCGCCUCGUCUAUCAGCUACAGUUGAGUGAUGGAGUUCCUGGCACUUCGAUAUCUGUGUUGGCUGCCCUAUCAUCUCCAGAUCGUAUGAGCCUUAUGACGCUUUAUUUCCCGGAUGAGAUCAACGAGCAUGAGACAUUUGCUCGAGAUUGGAAACAUAGUGGACAGAGCCAUUCCACAUAAAGAGUACGUCGAUGAGAUGCUCGCGAUGAGCUUAAGCCAGAUCAAGGAGAUAGUUCAGCCUGGGCUCCCUUCACCAUUUGAUCUUUUCGGGGUGUCCGUCAUCCAGAUUGCUGAGGAGAUCCCGACUGCUUCUACUCCGGAGUUUACUGAGGGUGCCAUAGCUGUUAAUGACUUGUUUGAUGGCCCUGUUGGCCUAGUUGAGGGAGCGUCCGACUUUGUGGACCCACUUAUUUCAUUUGAUGUUUUAUCGGGAUUUGUUUCCCUUCAUGAUGAUGUUCUUGGCUCUUCAUUUAUGGAUUUGAGUAUUUUUGAGUAUUUGCCUGCCUCUUGUGAUAUUGCUUUAUCUACACCAUCUUCACCCACAUCACAGAUAUUUGACAUUGAUGAUGAGAUUGUACAACAUGAUUCAAAUGAUGACUCAUCAUCCGCUUCUGAUUCGAACCCCAUUGAUUAGAGAGUUUCACCUACUAUAGGGGAUGCUGAGAUUGUUGAUUUCAGCACAACAGAUCAACUUAGGGAGUUGAGGAUCAGAUCGGAUUUAUCUACUGAUAAGAGGGAUAACCUCAUCCAAUUGCUCAAAUCAUACUUGGACAUUUUCGCAUGGUCUUAUGAGGACAUGCCGAGUCUUGAUCCAUCUAUCGUCCAACAUCAUUUGCCACUUCUACCCUAUGCCAGACCGGUUAAGUAGAAAUUGAGACAGUUGCACCCUCGUUGGAGUUUGCAAGUGAAGGAGGAGAUCCAAAAGCAGCUCAGUGUGAGAUUUUUUUCAAUGGUCGAGUACCCGGAAUGACUCACCAAUGUCGUCAUUGUUCUAAAAAAGGACGACAAGGUGAGAGUCUGUGUUGAUUUUCGAGAUCUCAACAAGGCCAGUUCUAAGGAUGAUUUUCCUCUCCCACACAUCGACAUGCUAGUUGACAAUACAACAGGUCAUUCGAUGUUGUUCUUCAUGGAAGGAUUUUCCGGGUAUAGUUAGAUCUUGAUGGCUCUAGAGAACAUGAAGAAGACGUCAUUCAUUAUCGAGUAGGGUACUUAUUGCUAUAGAGUCAUGCCAUUCGAGUUGAAGAAUGCAGGAGCCACUUAUCAGAGAACAACAACCACACUCUUCCAUAACAUGAUGCAUUGAGAUGUCGAGGUUUAUGUAGACGACAUGAUAGUGAAAUCCCGAGAUAGAUCAGAUCACCUAACAACUCUGGAGAGGUUCUUUGAGAGGAUCAAGCGGUUUAGAUUGAGAUUGAAUCCUAGGAAGUGCAUUUUUGAAGUGACUUCUGGGAAGCUCCUAGGAUAUAUGGUCAGUGAGAGAGGCAUAGAGGUAGAUCUGGAUAAGAUUAGAGCCAUCUUUGACAUGCCUGCACCGAGAACAAAGAGAGAGGUCAAAGGCUUCUUGGGUAGACUUCAGUACAUCAGCAGAUUCAUCGCCAGAUUGAUAAACAUCUGUGAGCAGCCCAAUUUUCUACUCUUGAGGAAGAGUCAACCUACUGUUUGAGAUGAUUAGUGUCAGCAUGCAUUUGAGAGGAUCAGAGAGUACUUGUUGUCACCUCUAGUAUUGGCGCCUCCUACACCAGGCCAUCUUUUACUCCUAUACCUAUCAGUCUCAGACGUAGCAUUGGGAUGCAUGUUGGCUCAAGUCGAUGAUUCAAGCAAGGACCGAGCCAUUUAUUAUCUAAGUAAAAGAAUGUUAGAUUACGAGACGAGAUAUGUCAUGAUUGAGCGCUAUUAUUUGGCAUUGGUUUAGGCCACUCGUCGACUGAGACAUUAUGUGACCGAGUAUUCAGUGCACUUGAUAUCCCAUCUAGAUCCUCUUAGAUACUUGUUUGACAUACCUGCCUUGGUUGGUCGCCUCAUGAGAUGGUUGGUACUUCUGACUGAGUUUGACAUCCAUUAUGUCACUUAGAAGUCCAUCAGAGGGAGCAUUAUCGCAGAUCACCUAGCCUCAUUACCAGUUUCUGAUGGUAGGACUAUUGAUGAUGAUUUUCCAGAUGAGGAUGUUGCUACUGUGCUUAGUCUGUCAGGUUGGCGCAUGUACUUUGAUGGUGCAGCCAACCAUUCCAAAUAUGGGAUAGGAGUUUUGUUAAUAUUCUCUCAUGGUGACCACAUUCCUAGAUCUAUUCGUUUGGCAUUCUCGAAUUGACACCCAGCCACGAACAACAUUGUUGAGUAUGAGGCUUGUAUCUUGGGAUUAGAGAUGAUCCUUAAGUUUGGGAUUAGAUAGAUGGAGGUGUUUGGUGACUCCAAUAUGGUAUUAAGAUAGAUUCAAGGUGAGUGUAAGACUAGAGAUGUGAAGCUUAGGUCUUACCACGCAUAUUUGGAGCUACUGGUUGGGAGAUUUGAUGAUUUAAGAUACACACAUCUACCUAGAGCGCAGAACCAGUUUGUUGAUGCCUUAGCUACUUUGGUUUCCAUGAUUGAUAUUCUUGUCGAUGCCAUUGUUUGCCCUUUACUGAUCAAGUCGAGAUCUGCUCAUGCCUACUAUUACCUAAUUGAUGAUGUAGAGCCAGAUGAUGGUUUGCCCUGGUACCAUGACAUAUAUCACUUUCUGAGACUUGGCGUAUAUCCUAAGGCCGCCAUGACCAAGGCUAAGAAGGCAUUUGAGAUAGUUGGCUGCCCGAUUUGUGAUUUGUGGCAAGACACUAUACAGACGAUCAGUUGAUGGGAUGUUGCUAUUAUGCUUAGACCACGCCUUUACUGAUCUAGUGAUGAGAGAGGUUCAUGCAGGAAUCUGCAGACCACAUAUGGAAGGGCAUAUGCUAGCUCGUAAGAUCAUGAGGACUGGCUAUUUCUGGUUGACCAUGGAAACAGACUGUUGCCAGUUUGUUCAGAGAUGUCCUGAGUGCCAGAUACACGGUGACCUCAUUCACGUGCUUCUUCAGAAUUACAUGCGUUGACUUCGCCGUGGCCAUUUUUAGUAUGGGGUAUAGACAUUAUUGGGAAGAUUUUACCGAAGUCUUUCAGUGGGCAUGAGUUCAUCUUGGUCGCCAUCUAUUACUUCACCAAGUGGGUGGAGGUUGCUUCGUAUGCAAGAUUGACGUCAUUUGAAGUUGCUAGUUUCAUCAGAUCACACAUUAUUUGUCGCUAUGGAGUCUCUCAUGAGUUGAUUUCCGAUAAAGAGGUACAUUUCACAGCAGAGGUUGACACCUUAGUGCAGCGAUAUGGCAUCCGACAUCUUAGGUCAUUUGCGUACAGGCCGUAGACGAAUGGAGCAGUAGAGGUCGCCAAUAAGAAUAUUAAGAGGAUCUUACGAAGAAUGGUUGGGACUUCUCGGGAUUGGUCAGAGAAAUUCCCUUUCGCAUUGUGGGCUUAUCGAAUUUCUUUUCGCACCUCCAUAGGAGCCACACCCUACUCUUUGCUGUAUGGUAUGGAGAUAGUGCUACCAGUUGAGAUUGAGAUGGGUUCAUUGAGGAUAGCAUUAGAGCGGCAGAUUCCAGAGGCAGAUUGGGCUCAGGCCCGAUUAGAUCAACUCAAUCUCCUAGAUGAUAGGAGAUUGAGGGCAGCAGACCAUGUUCGCUCAUAUCAUUAGAGGAAGAUGACCCGUGCUUUCAAAAAGCGGGUCAAGGCUUAACCACUAUGGAUAGGUGACUUGGUUCUGAAUGUCAUCAAGGGAUUGAUAAGAGAUCCUAGAGGGAAGUUCAAACCCAAUUGGAGCGGACCUUACUUCAUCAAGGAGUUAACCCUAGAGAACGCUACAUGGUUGAUGGAUCUAGAUGGAAACCGAUUCUCGGAGCCGAUCAACGUAGAUUAGCUAACGAGGUACUAUGUUUGAGACCAUGGUCAUAGGAUGGGUGGUCAUCAUUUCAGUUAGCCAUAUACCUUGUUAUUCCCCUUUGAUACAUAGACUGUUGCUAGCCCAUUGAGCCUCGUGUGUGCAUUAUAGCAUUUCUAUCUUAUUACCUUGCUCACAUUGUUACACCAGGAUUGGGGCCCUUUAGUGUGUGCAUGCGUUGUUUGGGAGCCUGAUAAGUCUUGGACCUACAAGUGCGUCUUUCUCUCAUUAUUUUUUCCUACCAUCACUCUAAUGCAUAUCAUCACAUCUCGUUGGCCAGGUUCUUCAUUCAUUCUCCUUUAUUAUAUCUACUGCUUGUUUUGCUUCAUAUUCUCUUCACCCUGAGUGGUAAUCCUCCUCAGUUCAUUGCAUGAAGGAUAGUCACAUCAUUUCCACCAUCUAUCCCACGGACACUGAUUCUGAGAUCCUUAGUUUGAGAAGGUUAUCUCGUCAGAGAUAGUUUUUGAGAGUGUGUCUAUCCAUUGUAGAUGUCAUAUUUGGGGAUCAUUUGUUUAUGAUUCAGGGUAUAUGCAUUUGUAUAUAUGUAAAAAAAAAAAAAAAAUGAAAAUGUAAAACAAAAGAAAAAAAUGAAAAUGAAAAGAAAAGAAAAAUAAGCAUGUGUGUAUGUGCAUAGUAUUCUCCAUCAUUGGGCAUGUAUAUUGAUGUUUGAGGGUUACUUCAUUAAGUAUGUUUGUUGAUGAGAGCUCGUAUGUGAGCUUUCCGAGACCGUUCAUUAUUUGUAUUCAGGUUUCAUGUAUUUUGAGAGUGAGAUGAGUGACUUUCUCUUAGGAGCUUUGUAUCAUUGUCCUUUCCAUCAUUACAUUCAUUGUUGAUGUGACUUCACCUCAUGUUGGAUUUGAGCGGAUCAUCAUUCCUCUUUGUGUUCUUCGCUUCACCAUCAUCCUCGUUUUUGCUUUUGAUUCAUCAUCAUCAUCUCACCCCUUGUCAUUUUCUUACAACGACUCUUUUAUUCCCAGUUUGACACUUCCUCCACAUCAUCCUUACACAUCUCAUUAUCAGAUCAAUUUUUUUUCAUUGCCUCGUUAUUGACAUCAUAUUCACAUUAGGCACCCUCAGGUCCGUGACUCACGAGAUUUUCUAUACAUGUGGCAUUUCAUACAUGAGGGCAUGGGUUUCUGUUCAUUUGGUAUUUUGGCCUAGUUUCCCUUCAUUUUUAUCACCCUAUCAUCCCAGUCUACGUUACGUCCCGUGUCUUAAGACCACCCUAAGGCCAUGAGAUCAGAUGUCAUCUUUGACAACCUAUAAUUGGACUGGUGUUUGAGAUCUGAUUGACAUUUAGAUAUUGUCAUGCUUCCUCUUCUGGGAGAUGUCUUUCUGAUGAUUAGAUUUGUUUCAAUUAUGUUUGGAUUACCAGGAUUACAUGUUCGAUGAUAGAUGAUUCCAUGUCACCUAAUUUUAUGAUCUAUCACAUAUUUGGUGUCAUACUAGGGCAUAUUCCGUUUCGGGCGAGAUUUACAAAUCUUCACGGAGUUGCAUGCUUAUCCCCACUUGCGAGAUAUACGCCGAAAUGAUUGACUGGUUCGCUAUUUUAUGAUGAUCCAUUAGUGGAGCCUCUGUGGAGCCGUUCAGCCAGCCCCAUAUUUCUCGGUAUUUGGUUAUUAUCAUGCUUCUUAUUCCGAGAGGCGUUCCCUAGAUGUUUGGAUUUGAUUUGGAUCACGGAGAUCACAUGCUCGAUGAUAUAUGAUUCCAUGUCACUUGAUUUUCUGAUUUAUCACAUAUUCGAUGUCAUACUGGGGCAUAUUCCGUUUCGGGAGAGAUUUAUAGAUCUUCAUGGAGUUGCAUGCUUAUCCCCACUUGCGAGAUGUACGUCGAGAUGAUUGACUGGUUCGCUAUUUUAUGAUGAUCCCUCAGUGGAGCCUCUGUGGAGCCCUUCGGUCAGGUCCACAUUUCUCGGUAUUUGGUUACUAUCAUGCUUCUUAUUCCGAGAGAUGUUCCUUAGAUGUUUGGAUUUGAUUUGGAUCACGAAGAUCACAUGCUCGAUGAUAGAUGAUUCCAUGUCACCUGAUUUUUUGAUCUAUCACAUAUUCGGUGUCAUACUGGGGCAUAUUCCAUUUCGGGCGAGAUGUACGCCGAGAUGAUUGACUGGUUCGCUAUUUUAUGAUGAUCCCUCAGUGGAGCCUCUAUGGAGUUGUUAAGCCAGACCCAUAUUUCCCGGCAUUUGGUUACUGUCAUGCUUCUUAUUCCGAGAUACGCUCCCUAGAUGUUUGGAUUUGAUUUGGAUCAUGAAGAUCACAUGCUUGAUGAUAGAUGAUUCCAUGUCACCUAAUUUUCUGAUCUAUCACAUAUUCGGUGUCAUACUAGGGCAUAUUCCAUUUUGGGUGAGAUUUGCAGAUCUUCAUGAAGUUGCAUACUUAUCCCCACUUGCGAGAUGUACAUUGAGAUGAUUGACUGGUUCGCUGUUUUAUGAUGAUCCCUCAGUGGAGCCUUUGUGGAGCCGUUCAGCCAAACCCACAUUUCUCAGUAUUUGGUUACUAUCAUGCUUCUUAUUCCGAGAGACGUUCCCUAGAUGUUUGGAUUUGAAUUGGAUCACGGAGAUCACAUGCUCGAUGAUAGAUGAUUCCAUGUCACCUGAUUUUUUGAUCUAUCACAUAUUUGGUGUCAUACUGAGGCAUAUUCCCUUUCGGGAGAGAUUUAUAGAUUUUCAUGGAGUUGCAUGCUUAUCCCCACUUGCGAGAUGUACGCCGAGAUGAUUGACUGGUUCGCUAUUUUAUGAUGAUCCCUCAAUGGAGCCUCUGUGGAUCCGUUCAGCCAGGCCCACAUUUCUCGGCAUUUGGUUACUAUCAUGCUUCUUAUUCCGAGAGACUUUCCCUAGAUGUUUGGAUUUGAUUUGGAUCACGGAGAUCACAUGCUCGAUGAUAGAUGAUUCCAUGUCACCUAAUUUUCUAAUCUAUCACAUAUUUGGUGUCAUACUGGGGCAUAUUCCAUUUCGGGCGAGAUUUACAGAUCUUCACGGAGUUGCAUGCUUAUCCCCAUUUGUGAGAUGUACGCCGAGAUGAAUGACUGGUUCGCUAUUUUAUGAUGAUCCCUUAGUGGAACCUCUGUGGAGCCGUUUAGCCAGGCCCACAUUUCUCGGUAUUUGGUUACUGUCAUGCUUUUUAUUCCGAGAGACGUUCCCUAGAUGUUUAGAUUUGAUUUGGAUCAUGGAGAUCACAUGCUCGAUGAUAGAUGAUUCCAUGUCACCUGAUUUUCUUAUCUAUCACAUAUUCGAUGUCAUACUGGAGCAUAUUUCCAUUUCAGAUGAGGUUUACCAAUCUUCAUGGAGUUACAUGAUCAUCUCCACUUACGAAGUAUGAGCUGAGACGAUGACGUGUUCGUUACCUUAUCAUGAUCUCUCAGUAGAGCCUCUUUGGAGCCAUUCAGCUCGACCCACAUUUUUGGCAUUUGGUUGUCGCCAAGCUUAUUAUUCCGGAGACGUUUCAUAGAUGUUUGGGGUUUGAUUUGGGUCAUGGAGAUCGCACAUUUGAUGAUGGAUGAUUUCAUGUCACCCAAUUUUCGACUUAUCGUACAUCUAACGACAUACUGGGGCAUAUUUCCGUUUUGAUCGAGAUUUACAAAUCUCCAUGGAGUUGCAUGCUUAUCUCCACUUACGAGGUACACACCGAGAUGAUGACCUAUUUGUUAUCUUAUCAUGAUCCCUUAGUGGAGCCUCUCUGGAGCCAUCCAAUCAGAUUCAUAUUUUUUCGGCGUUUGGGUUGUUGUCAUGUUUCUCCUUCUGGGUUAUGGAUUUGGAUGACGAGGUUCGUGCUCCUGAUGAUAGAUGACUUGAGGCCAUUUGAUUUUUCCAACCUAUCACACAUUUGAUUCCAUACUGGGGCAUUUUUCCCCUUUCGAUCAAGAUUUGUAGAUCCCCACGAGUUUGCAUGAUCAUCCCCAUUUAUGAGAUACACAUCAGGUUGAUGAUUCGAUUUCAUUUUGUCUUGAUUCUUUCGUGGAGCAUUUUUCUUGAGUCAUUUCGUCAGGCUCACACUUUCUGAUUUUGUUGUGAUUUUUGGAUAGAGUCAUCUCAGGUGCAUAGGAUCCCAUAUCAUCAUUUCAGUGGGACACAUGUCAGAUCUUUUAUAUAUUCCCAUGGAGUUAUUCUCGGGUUAUCAUGAUAGACCGAGUACAUCUGACGCCAUAUUGGGGCAUAUUUCCUUCCUCCAGCUGUAGAGUUUCGAUGAUUUUUGCUAAGAUGAGCCACCAGAGGAACACGACUUCCGGGUUUUGACUGCCCUACUAUCCAUGACUUUUCAGUGGAUUGAGAUCGUAGUAGUUACCCUAGCAGACUAUUCUUUUGUGACCCCCUAGUGGAUCAUUUUUUCGGUAUGAUGAUGGAUUCUUCCAAUAAAACAUUUUGAGUUAGAGAAGUUCUACUUAUUGCGACACUUCAUCAGAUCUCGCGAUUUAGUCAGAUGGGUUGUGAGACUAAGUUCACAGUCGAUUUAAUCAUUUCGACUCGCUAGCAGAGCAUCCUUCAAGACUCAUGAAGUCUUUUUUGUCAUUUCCAUGGACUGAAAUCUGUAGUAGCAUGCUACAUUGGGGCAUAUUCCCCCCUCAUCAUCUCUAUUCAUCUUCAGUCUCGGCGUUCAGAGCCACCGUUUCUUCACAAUUUGGCGUUCAGAGCUAUAUCUUCAGUUUGGUGUUCCAGGUCACGCAUUCUUUUUAGCGUUCAGAGCCAUCAUCAUGUUCACAGUUUGGCGUUUAGAGUCACUAUCUCUUCUUAGUUUUGGUGUUCAGAGUCGCAUCUUCAUUUUGGCAUUUAGAGCCGUUAUUUCUGUUCAGCAUUCAUAGUUACUAUUUUUAGUUUGGUGUUCAGAGCCACCGUUUCUUCGUAUUUUGGCGUUUAGAGCCAUAUCUUCAGUUUGGCGUUCAAAGUCACACUUUCAUUUUGACGUUCAAAGCCAUCGUCAUCUUCUCAAUUUGGGUGUUCAGAGCCACCAUCUCUUCUUAGUUUGGGUGUUCAGAGCCACCAUCUUUUCUCAGUUUGGGUGUUCAGAGCCACCAUCUUUUCUCAGUUUGGGUGUUCAGAGCCACCAUCUUUUCUCAGUUUGGGUGUUCAGAGCCACCAUCUUUUCUCAAUUUCGGCGUUCAAAGCCACCAUCUUCUCAGUUUUGACAUUCAGAGCCACCAUCUUCUUAGUUUAGGCGUUCAAAGCCAUCAUCUUCUCAGUUUGAGCGUUCAGAGCUACCAUUUUCUCAGUUUUGACGUUCAAAGCCACCAUAUCUUCUCAGUUUCGGAAUUUUAAAGCCACCAUCUUCUCAGUUUCGGCGUUCAAAGCCAUCAUCUUCUCAAUUUGGGCGUUCAGAGCCACCAUUUCUUCUAAGUUUCGGCGUUUAGAGCCACCAUAUUCUCAGUUUCGGCGUUCAGAGCCACCAUCUUCUCAGUUUGGGCAUUCAAAGCCACCAUCUCUUCUCAGUUUGAGCGUUCAGAGCCACCAUCUUCUCAGUUAAAGCAUUCAGAGCCACCAUCUCUUCUCAGUAUGGGCAUUUAGAGCCACCAUUUCUUCUUAGUUUGGGCGUUCAGAGCCACUAUCUCUUCUCAGUUUCGGCAUUUAGAGCCACCAUCUCUUCUCAAUUUGGGUGUUUAGAGCCACUAUCUAUUCUCAAUUUGGGCGUUCAUAGCCACCAUCUCUUCUCAGUCUUGGUGUUUAAAGCCACCAUCUUCUUACGACUCAGCCUUCAAAGUCAUCAUUGCUUAUCGGUUACGACGUUCAGAGUCAUCUUCCUCGGUUUUGACGUUCAGAGCCACCAUUUCCUUAUAGCUUGACGAUUAGAGUCAUCAUCGCUUCUCAAUUACGACGUUCAGAGUCGUAUUUCUCAGUUAUGGCGCUCAGAGCCUUCAUCUUCUUCAGUUUGACGUUCAGAGUCGCACCUCUAGCUUGGCAUUUAGAGUUACUAUCUCUUUACAAUUUUGCUUUCAGAGCCAUCAUCCUAUUGCGAUCGGGCAUUCGUUGCCACUUUUUCGACAUUCAGAGCCACCAUCUUUUCUCAAUUAUGGCAUUCAAAACCAUCAUCUCUUUACAACUUGGCGUUUAGAGUCAUCGUCCUUCUCAAUCAUGGCAUUUAGAGCCACAUUUCAGGCAUUCGAAGUCAUGAUUUUCUAAAGCUUAUCAUCCUCCCUUGUGCAUGAUAUAGCUCUUUGAGCUUAUAGCUUAUGUUUUGAUUGUAUCAUUGGUGCCCCUCACUUCGCGCUCUUGUAUGGUGCAUGUAUAGUUUCCCUUUUAUAUAUGUUCCUCUCUAUGCUCCUAGAUGGUUUGACUACUACUCAACUUUGACUUCGAUCUUUGAAUCACUUUUGGUGACAUCUUAGAGGGAGUCUAGAUCCUUAGCGCGGCUUCAAAGGCACUUUGAGAGAUCCAUUUUUCUCUUAGGAUUUUAAAGCUCUUUUUACUCCUCUGAUGGUUUGGGUGAGUUUGUGUUUUACUUGUGUACCUUUAGGGAUCUUUCUUUGUCUUCGGUAGAGUUCACUUCAUUUCACUCUCUAUUCACACUUUUUUUUCACUUUAGUGUUUACAUUCAUUACACUCGUGAGCUCUACCGAAGAGGGGCAUAUUUGUAGACCCCUUUGUGGACACCAUCCGAGAGAGUGGUUUUUCUUUCAUUUUUUUGAAAUGGGGGGACCCCUUUCUGCCAAGAACAAGCUGCAUGGACAUGUGGCCAAGAGCAUGGCUCACCAUGGUGGUGGUUGAUGGUGAUGACAUCCUCCCGGGACAAGGAGCAGUAAAGUGGUUGGUGGCUUGCGGGAGAAGACAGAAAUGGGGGCAGGCAAGCAAGCUGCGAGGGGGUAGGUGAUUUUGGGGUUGCUGGUUUUGGGGAGAUACACUGGAAAAUGCUUUCUUUGGCUGGGGAGUCUUUGUUCUAGGGAGGAGGAAUUCUUUGGCCAGGCAAGAACUGUGAAAGAGCUCUCAGGUAAGUUUACUGGGUAUCUCUUGUUCACAUUUACUAUCACCGUUCUUUCAUUUUCCCCCUUCGCUAUUUGGGGUUUUGUUUGUUUGUUUGGUUAUGGAUAACAGGAGUUAUGCAUGAGUUUUGUUAAUUUCCAGUUUGUUCAUAUACCCAUUGAUCGCUUCAUUCACUAUCCUUCUUAAUAUUGGUUUAAACCCAAUGAAGUUCUGUUUCAUUUUGCUCUAUGUGAAGAUAUUGCUUGUUAUUUUCUCGUUUGGACCUGUUGGUACCCUUCCCACCCAUCCAAGCCCGUUGAAAGAGCAUUAGAUAUGGUUUUUCUUAAUUCACACACACACAUAUAUAUAUAUAUAUAUAUAUAUUUGUUUACUUUUCCUGGCUCUCCUUUGUUCUAGUCUAUAUUUUCUUUUUCCCGUUUUUUUUAUGCACUCGAUCCAGAAUGUCGGUUGAUUGAGUGUCGGUCAGAGGAAUUGGUUUUGGGCUUGUUCUAGAGAAAUGCGCUGGUAAAUAUACAUGCACAAUGUGGAAAAGGUGAAGUUGUUAAUACCUUAUCCAUUUGUUUUUCCGGGCACACGAAUGUUGGUCAAGUAGCCGAAAGAUUAAGAUGAGGCUUUCUCCCAUCACCAUUCCAGCUGAUUCAGUUGUGACUGUUGGUAUUGUGCCCUAUUCCGGGGUCCGUUCAAAAGUGUCUUCGGCUAAGGUUGUGCAAGCUAAAUCAGUUGAUGCUUAAUAUGCUUAGGAAUACUACUUGUGCGUUUUUCAAAUUUUAUGCAAAGGUGACAAGCCAAACAUCAGUGGAAAUGAUGCAUGACUCCUCCAAUAGAUCAGUUCAUACAAUUUUCAGGUGUGGGAAUAUAUGCUAGCAACGUUCUUGAAGUCACUAAUUGGUUCCCAUUUCCAACCCUAGAAGAGAAUGGUGAGACUGAAACAUCAUGUGGUCCCGACAUUUCAUCAUAUAUAAUUCCUUCAUACCCAUAUUCCCACUACCUUCCAUCCUCUAAGCCUCAUUCAUACCCAUAUCACUACUUCAUCUACCCGUAUUCUCAUAUUUCCAUCUCGUCACCAUAUUUUCUCUCUUUACACCACGUGCAUGUCCAUUACCACUCAUGCAUAUCACCACCCUCCUAUGCCCACCUUGCCCAUUCUUUCUUACCACCUUUCUCUUUUUACACCACAUGCCUCCCAAACCCACUACUCGUAUUUCACGCUUCAUCCCAUCUCAUCCCAUAUCCCUCCCAUGGAUAUCAUCACUUUCACAUACCCAUCACUACAUUUCUCUCUCUACACCACACCAUGUUCCCACUUUUUUUUUUUAAUAUGUCACUAGAUCCAUUUCUUCCCACUUUGCAUGGUCAUGCAUGGCCACACUAUGUCACUUCCACACUCAUACCCGUUCCAUACCCACAUCUUCCUAUCUGUAUUCCUACCCUUUUUUAAAAAAAAAAAAAAAAAUCCACUCACUCGUUUCUCUCACUACCACUACCCUUCAUUACUCAUCCCUACCCAUGGCAACCCAUACUCUCCUCACUCAUCUAUUACACCCACUGUCAAUAGCUCUCUUCAUCACCAUACCUAUUUUUUCCACUCUUUCUAAAUCCAUUGGACUCUCUCAUCUCACCACCCUCCAUCAUCCGUUCCAUCAAUAACCUCCCCGAAGACCAAGAAGAUUUUGCAACUUCUGCGCUUGAGAUAGAUAUUUAACAGUGUCUUCCUGAAAGUGAACAAGGAAACAACGAAUAUGUUGCACAAGGUUGAGCCUUACGAGACAUGCGGGUAUCCCAAUUCAAAGAGUGUUAAGGAAUUGGUUCACAAGCCAGGGUGCCUACCCGCUACAGUGAAACGCUUGGCUUUCAUAGUCUGCAUCGCGAGACAAUCAUGAAGCAUCAGUAUUGUUUGCAUUAGAGCGGGGUAUACCUUCCAUAGUUGGUACUCUUGGAAGUAUGUCUAUGGGAUGAAGCUGAUAUAUUAUCUGUUUUAUUUGAUAAUGGAUGAAAUCAUGGUGACUUUGUGGUCUAUAUCAUCCAGAAGUUCUCUCAAGAGAUAUAGCCGUCAUGUGAAGAUUCUUUUUCCUCACACGGUUACGCUGCUAAGAAGGAUUUCUCAUGCUUUGAAGGUCAUCAUGAAUCGAAAGACUCAAGAAGAAGGGUUAGCAUUGGUUCGUACUCAUCAGAUGCCUAGAAACAAGUGGGCAGAGUUGACAAAACUCUCGUCGAGAAGAACAGACAAUGCAAUAAAAGACCACUAGGACAGUUAUGUAAAGAAGAAGUUGGACUCUCAUAUAGCAUCAGAUUCACUUGCACAGUCCCAAGGCCAGCCUCUUGUUGGUCACUGAAACUGAUCGAUCCAUUCAUCUUCUUCAAAUAUGUAAUAGAGUAGUGGAGGUGAUGGCGGAGCCAAAGGUGGGAUAGAAGCAGAGGAAAUUUCAGAAUAUAGUCAAGGUUCAAUUGCGGAUUUUCUGGAAGCGUGAGGCACCAGUUUAAUUCAAAUGGGCAACCCACUCCUUCUUUUGAGCUGGGACAAGCAUCAUCAGGUUUAUCAUCGCAUUUUAAAGGUGGCAGAGGAAACCAGGGCACAGUUUCUGUCCCGUUCAUGAACUUCUGUAGGGUUGAGUGAUUCCUCUUCCACGGGAAAUAUAGGUGUGGACUCUGAUAUACCUGAGCAUUUACUGAUAUCUGAAGGCGACUGUUGUGGGUUCAGAUUCCAAGAGGAACUCCAGCUUCACAGUCAUAUUACUCCCUAAGGAUGACAGCGGCAAGCAUCACUAGCACCAAUAGGGUAGUCACAAUCGCACCCAAGGCCCAUGUGUAUUAUGGCCAACCUCCCAGACCCAUUUUCAAGGCCCACGUGCUUCUUUCCUUCACCUUAAAAAAAAAAACAAAAAAUGAUGAUUUUCUGAAAAUCCAAUUUCCAAAUAAUUCAACUCUCUAUUCUUUCAUCUCUAGAAUUUUUGGGUCCUAAAUUCCAUUUCCCAAUUUCCAUAUUUAUUUAUUUAAUAAGUAUUAUUUUUGUUAUUAUUAUUAUUAUUAUUCUAUUUAUUUAUUCAUUUAUUAUAAAAUUCCACCUUUAAAUAAUUUUCCAAAAUUCCGACUUCUGGAUUUAAAGUUCCAAUUUAAAAAAUCUCAAUAUUCACAUUCAUUUAUUUAAUUAUCAUUUUUGUUUUUAUUAUUAUUCUUUUUAUUUAUUUAUUCAUUUAUCAAUUCUUCAAAAUUUCGACUUUCAAAUAUAAUUUCUGAUUUUUCAUAAUUUCACUAUUCACAUUCAUUUAUUUAAUUAUUAUUUUUGUUAAUAUUAUCAUCAUUCCAUUUAUUUAUUUAUUUUAAAAUUUCAUCUAUUAACAAUUCUUCAAAAUUCCAGUUUCCGAAUUUAAUUUCCAAUUUCAAAUUUUCCACUAUUCACGUUCAUUUAUUUAAUUACUAUUUUCGUUACUAUUAUUAUUACUCCGUUUAUUUAUUUAUUUAUUCAUUUUAAAAUUUCAUCUUUUAACAAUUCUUCAAAAUUCCGGUUUCGAAUUUAAUUUCCAAUUUAAAAAAUUCCACUAUUCACAUUAAUUUAUUUAAUUAUUAUUUUCGUUAAUAUUAUUAUCAUUCCAUUUAUUUAUUUUAUUUAUUCAUUUUAAAAUUCCAUCUUUUAACAAAUUCUUCAAAUUCCAAUUUUCAAAUUUAAUUUUCAAUUUCCAAAAUUCAUUUUUUCACAUUUAUUUAUUUAAUCAUUAUUAUUUUCGUUAUUGUUAUUAUUUUAUUUAUUUUAAUUAUUUAUUUUUGAAAAUUCCAUUUUUAAAUAAUUCUUUAGAAUUCCAAUUUUUGAACUUAACUUCCAAAAUUUCAAUUCUUAAAUUUAAUUCCCAAUACUCCAAUUUCCAAAUAAUUUUCAAGACUCCAAUUUUCAAAUAAAUUUCAAAAAUCCAGUUUUCACUCGAACAAUUUUAAUUUCAUUCCGAUUCUCAAAUAAUCUAUUGUUUAUCUUGAUUUUACAUAAGUAUGAAUGCAAUUUUUCAUAAUUCCACAAUAAUGGAAUUUGCGAAACUAAUUCGUGCAAGAUAGAUUGGAUUUUGGUGGGAGGCCCAACAUUGGUGUUUUUUUCCUCUAAAAAUAAAUUUAAUUGAAUUGAAUUGUGAUAUCUAUUGAUUUCUCACUCUGUUUAGUGGCAUAUGUGACAUAGUCUGUUUUUGUUAAUUCUGCACUAAUCUCAUUUCUUGAUAGCACAUUGUGGCUCAUGGCCCAAGUACGCAUCCGCUCCCAUUCUAGUCAUUCUCCAUGCAUAUUCUGAUUCUCAUAUGUGCAUGAUCGAUUUGAGUACCCAUUGAUUUCCUUAUUGAUUGCCACAUCAACUUCCUUUUAUCAGUAGAGACCUGACUUUAGGGACUUAUAUGGGUGCUACGGUCCUUACUAUACAUUCCCGAUAAGUAAUCUGACCUCCGAGUCUGAUCCGGUUUUUCAAAAAUCACUUUUUUCAAAAUAAGGAGUUACACUUAGGGUUUUCUUUCUUAUUUUGUAUACCCUUUUGAUUACUACUCAAAAAGUGCUAUUUGAUAGCUUGUAAUUAACUCUUUUAAACACUUUUGAGUAGUAGUUAUUGCCUUUUAACCCAAUUAACAUGUUAAGGACCCUUGCAAUCAAUUCUAAUCAAAUUGUGUUAAGUUUUGGUGUUUUUGUUAGUAAUUUGAUCACCAAAACAAUCCAAGAUUGAGGAGAGUUAUUUGGAAUCCAUGGCAAAGCUUUUGGAAGCUCAAAUUUAUGAAGAACCAAGCUUUGGAGCUCCAUAGCCCUUUGCCAAAGUCGUUCAAAGUAUGCAAGGAGAGAAGCAAGGAGAAGAGGAAAACAGAGUGAAGAAAACAGAGGACAAGAAGCUGCAGUCUUCAUGCGCACUUUUGGAGCACUUCCCGAAGUCCAUUUUCUACAUUCUAUAUACCAUUUCAAAGCUCAGGAAGUCAAGAAUCCAAUGCUUCAAACGGUGCGUGAUUCGGAGUUGAAACGAAGAAGUUACAGCCAUUGCAAGCAGAUCACUCCAAAGUGUUGCGAAAUCAGCCUUUUGUUGCGAGAAUUUCGCAGCCUUUUUGUACAGUGCUAUGGAAUUCCUCCUGAAGCUACCCGAUACAUGCCGCAAGCUGGAACGCUGAGAACCUCAAGGUGGAAGCCAAUUUCGCAGCCCUGCGAGUUUAACUUGUUGUUGCGAAAAUAUUUCGCAGCCCUCUUGGGUGUCUGCGAAAUCUCGCAGACACCAUUUUCACCUGCGAAAUGGUUCCUGAAGCUUCCCGAUAUUUUCCACCGACUCUUUUGGAUAUUUUUCUUCAGAUAUUUUUGUAUAAAUUUCCAUUUUCUCCUUGUAUUCAGCCACUCAUGUAAUUCCUUAGCUAGGAAGUGUCCAAGGAAGGGUAAAUUACCUUCCUAUAUAAACUCUCUUGCAUCCACUGUAAAAAAAACGCUCGGAGAAGUAUGUAAUAUAGAAACAAUAUAUAGAAUCAACGAACAGAGCACUUGCUCUGUUUUUUCAUAUAUAUUCUUGUCUUCUCCUUCAUUUUCAUUUUCUAGCCAACCAAACUCUGAGGAUUUUUCCACAGAGGAUGAGAGGCUAAGCUUUUUGUCUCUUGGAGUAAGGAAAGCCGGGUAAGUUUCCACAUGCAUAAUUUGGAAGUUUUGUUGUUUUAGUUUUAAUGAAGAGAAAGUGUAACCCGUUAAUGGUUUUUAUCUUUUUAGUUAACUUAAAACACCUUAGAGUCACCUGAGCCAACACUUGGUAAGGCAAGUGAUUUCUAUCCAUGGAAAUGCACUAGUUUACCCCUUGCGAGCCUUUGGGAGGUGACUUGAAGGUAGGAUUUUCUAGAAUAGCCAACACUUGGUAAGCUUUUGGACUCCAAGGAGACAUCCAUUAGUUAUCUCUUGCGAGCUUUUGACGGGUAAUCCAAGGUUAAAGAUCUCCUUGAAUGGCAAGUGCUAGGUGAGAGGUAUGAGCCAUUGCAAGAUGCAUCAGUGAGAGGGAUUUAGUGUUUGAACCCAUUAAUGGGAAGCAUCUGUACAACACCGGUUGGAGAAGGAACUAUAUGUUAAUUCUCUAAUGCGAGGAAAAGAAACAAGUGACCGGAACUCCCUUUUUGUAUGAGGAAUCUGAGCCUAGUGAUCUGAAAUUCCAAGAAACACUUUUCUUUGUAAGUAAAAUCAGUUACUAUUUUUGGUUAGCUUAAAACCAAUCCUUUUUCAUUCAAAAAUCUUUAUGUUUUCUUUUAAAGCUAACCUUGAAAUGAAAAGGCACCAAUUCAGCUUUAAAUUAAUAUCAUUUGCAAAGUGAAAACCCAUCCCAGUGAACGAUCCUAGAGCCACUAUACUAUAGUAGUUUUGUCUUUGCUACCCUAGUAUAUGGUGUAAUAGGUUAUAAAUUUUGUUGAUUACUCCCUCAAUCAAGGAGCACCAGCUGUACACGAAUCAGCUGAGACAUCAAUUGGGCACGAAUCAAAUGGCGCCGCUGCCGGGGAUCGAACCCCGAAUCAAAUGGUGCCAUUGCCACUGCCGCUGCUAGGGACGAAUCAUUAAAAACAAAACAAAAAUAAGUGGCGAUUCCAAGUCAUUUCUAAAAAAAAAAAUCAUAUUUUUCAUUAAAUAAAUAAAAAACGAAUUUGCCAUCGAGUGAGAACGCAUUGAGCAAAAAUGCGAGGUCCACAUAUUGUUAUUUUUAUUUAUAAAGAAUCGAAAUUUACUUUAUCAUUUAUUAAUUGGCAUGAAAUGUUUUGACUUGCCUUGAUUAAUAAGGACUUCCAUGGCUUACCUGAUAGAGUUGGGCCCUUAACGUUAUCCACUCUGCAAUGUAUCAUGCCCUUCCAAAGCUUAAUCAAGUCAACGGCUAAGGUGUAAUUUCAUGCAUUAAAUUAUUUUAAAAAAUGUUUAAUACUGCAGUCAAGCUCGUACUACAUAUACUCUAAAAUCAACAAUGUAAUUUUCUGCACUGAGCAAUUUCAUAAAAAUGGUUUUUGAGUAAAAGAGAUUUGGAUUUUGGCCUAUGGCCUAUGGACUUUCAAAACAGGGGGUUACUCCUUGCAUUAGCUUUGUCAGGAGCACAAACCUGACAAAGAAAGCAAUUGGCAACAUGUUGAAUUUAAGCCACAAGCAUAGAGAAUCUUCAAACUUUGCAGCCUCCCCAGGUUUUGUGGCAACUUGUGGAGUUUUGAACACUCACUGACAUUGAGAACUUCAAGAAAGCAUAAAUUACAAGUGCUUCCUGGAAGAGUCACAAGGUUUUGGCAUCUGUCCAGAUUCAAAAGUUCAAGCCUAUUCAAAUGUUCGAUUGAUGAUGGUAGCUCUUUUAUAGCCGUUCCGUUCAAGUGAAGCUCCCUUAAGUUUUCCAUAUUCUCCAAGAUUUCUGGAAAGUACUGUAAUUGUGAACAGUCAGAGCCAAAGAGAGAUUUUAGGGAUUUGAACUCCCGAAUGCUUGUUGGCAGACUCUCAAGGUUUUUGCACUCUCGCAAACAUAAGGUAUCAAAUUCAGAGGCAUGCUCAAUGGGUAGUAGGUUGAUUGUCUGACCCUUUAAACAAAGCUUUCGGUGUUCCACGUUCCUCUGACAUUCCACGCAGCUAGCAUCCACAUCCUCAGUCUGUACUAUUGGAUCUUGGGAGUAUAUAGGUUGAAGCCCACACUUGAGCACCUUAAAAUGAUUGCGAGAGCCCAUAAAUAGAGCCCCAAGAAACAUGGAUGGAUUGGUGUGACAGCUCUCCAGAAUAGCAGCCUUGGGAUAGAAUAUCACCCACAUUUGUUCUGAUGCACCUCCAUCAUGGUAGCAUUUACAAGUAGUGCGAAAACUGAGAGGUUGCACACACAGGGGAGAAAAUCCAUAUCCAUCAUGCAAUGACAAUUGACAUUCUAACUCAGUGGAGAUUGAAGAUUCAGCUUCAAAUAAAUCGUCAGAUUCAUUCAGGGCUUCGUCACCAGAUUCAUUCUCCGAAAAUGUAUGUGCAAAAUCAUUUUCUGGUAUGUCCUCACAUUCAUCGAGUGGAGCAUAAACACAGCAUAUAGCAAUUCCCAAGAAGUCAUUAUUUUCAUAACAACUCUGAGGAAGGUCCAUUGUGAUCUGAUAUCCCUCUCUCUGUUUCCUUAUCCACUUGGGAAUUCCACUGCUUCCCGGAACAACAAUACAGAUUCCAUGGCCAAUGAAGUCAGAAUCAGGGAGAAAUACUUCAUUUGAACUGCUCUUGUAUUUCAAAUCCUGUACAAAGGGACAAUGUAAAUCCAGUGGGUCUGUGCCAUUAUGUGAGUUUUUAUGAGAGAGUUUGUUAUCGGUUUUUGAUAAAUUGAUUCCCAGUUUUAACUUUCUUUGAUCUAUGCUCCUGAAUCUACUUAAUAUCCCUUUUAGAUGACGGAUAAUCAAUCAACAUGAAAGUGAGUGACAAGAUUAAGUGUGAAAACUGGAAGUGAGGGGAAACUGAAACUGAAAGUGAGUAGAAUAAGCAGAUCUGUUCUUCACUUGCAGUAGCUUCUUCUCCAUUCAGAUUCAGAGAUCUUAGAAUUGUAGCUUCAACUUAACUCUCAGAAUCUUAAAGACAAAGUUCGCUCAAGUUUCAAAAACUCACAGAAAAGUUUCUCCUCAUGUUUCUUUUAAUCCCAUGAGGCGACAGACAUGUAGCACACACUUACUGGCUUUUUGCCAUGCAAGUUUCAAGGUGGAGUGUCCAAUGAACUAAAACAUUCCCUCAAAUCCUAGUGGAAAUUCACACUAUAAAUUUCAGAAUUUGCUAAAGAAAAGUUUAAUUAAUUUUACCCAUGACUAAAAAGGCAUGUGAGGGCAUUUUAACAGCCUAUUAAUUAUUAUAUUAAACUACUAUUCUCAUUACUCAAACUCAUGAUCCUUCACAUCAUCACCACAUUUUGAAGAGACUUUCGUCAACUCUUCUAUGAAUGAAUUGAUGUUUAAGGAGGCAUAAUAAACUUUUAAUUGAAUUUAACAUUAUUUCUAUCCUUAUACUCAUCUUAAAUUAUUAUUUUUUUAUAUUCUUAUCAAAAUAAAUAAAAACUUAACAAAAAAAAUAAAGAUUUCAAAACAAACUUUAUUAGCAACACUUAUUUACAUCAUUCUUUAAAAAAAUAUUCAAAAACAAAUUUUUUUACAAUUAAAAAAAUGUGAUUUAAAAUUUAUAAAGAACAAAAUUUUUAGAAAAAUAUGGUAGUUGUUUGAAAUAAAAUAAAAGGGAAAUCAAAAUUCUUAGUAAAUGAAUAGUCAAAAAAACUGUAACAGAUAUGCAAAUGAGAAAAAAAAUAAUCAAUGUCAAGAAUGAGAAACAAUUUUUUCUUUUUUCUUUUCUUAUUUUAUGCAUUCAUUACCAUUUUUAAAUUAAUAAAUAAAGUUUUUCUCACAAAAUUUUAAAAUGGCAUGUAUGCUUCAAAAUUUAUAUAUUGUUAUUAGAUUUUUAUAAAUUUCAUUUAUAUCCUCAAAAUUAGAAUCAUUAAACUCACAUUUUAAAAUAAGAUAUCAAAUAGUUAUUUUUUCAUCCUUUAGCAAUAUCAAACGUUUUUUGUACUUUAAUAAAAAAAAAAAAAGCUAUUUUUUCUAAUUAAUGACUAUUUUGCAUAAUAUUUGUAUAAAUUAUUUAAUAUAUAAAUAUUACUUAUUUAAUAGUUUUUUUUUAAUUUCUUAUAGAAAGAGUAGUGCAUACAUAAUUCAAACAAAAGGUAAUUUUAUAUUGCAAAAAAGUUUGUGGAAAAAGGAAAUUUGAACAAGGAUUGAAAUUUAUAGAACCAUAUUGGACACCUAGUUCUAGGUUUGUCCCUUUCCAACAAUCAUGACUUGGUAGUAGCCUAAUCUCAAAUCUAACUUUGUCAGGCCCUUCCUUUACUAAGUCGAUCAAACAAGUUGUUAACAAACAGAAUAAGAUAUUUUUUCUUUUCACCUUGUUGAGUCUUCGAUAAUCUAUACACAUUCAGAGGGAUCCAUUAUGUUUCUUUUAGAAUAAUAUUGAUGUGGCAUAUGAAGCUUUAGUUGGUUGGAUGUAUCCCAUGUUAUGCAACUUCUUAAGUUGUUUCCUUUGUUCUUCUAAAUUAGGUAGUAUCAUCCUAUGGGACCUCCAUGGCAAGGGGCUUAGCUCCUGGCUCUAAGUCAAUCUUGUGCUCCCCUUCCCUUAUUUGUGUGAGUUUCUUAUGUAAUUUUAAUGACAUCUAAGGAUGGCAAAGUUUGAUACAAUUUUUCAACCAAACUUGAAGAAGCGUUAUUAGUGGGUUUGGAAAGUUCUAAUCUAUUUUACUUUUUAAAACAAAGUAAAAUAGAGAACAAUUUUUAAAGAACAAUUAGGAGUUGUUUUUACCAAUUUUUAAAAAACAAAAAAUAUAUAAACUCAUUUGACUAUAUUCUUUUAAACUUGUUUUUAAAUUAAAGAAUAAAAAAUAAUUUUUUAAAAUAAGUUUCAAAAAAUAUGACCAAGUCGGGGUUUAUAAUAUUAAAGAGGAAAAAAGUUAAUUUAAGAUUUUGCAUGCAGGUAAACAUCAGGCUGUAAAACUGGUUUACUAAGACACUCAUUUUAUUUAUAUAUUCUUCUAUGUGCAUGCAUUGACCAUGUGGUUAAGAUGUGUUGCACCGAAAUCUAAUGAUUAGCUGUAAAACGUUAAUUAAUCCGAGCAUACAUUUUUCUUUAUUUGUUUUGGUUUCUUUACAAGAAUGCUUCUUUAUGUAUUCUUGUUGAACCUAUAAAAUAUCAUCCAUAGACAUUCUUUUUGAAUAAUUAAGAACCGAGAUUUCUAAUUGGUUGGUUAUUAUUUUUAUCUGUAAGGAAUCGAAAUUUAGCUCAUCAUUUAUCGUAUGAAUAUCAUAUAGAUUUGAAAAGAAUUUCACACUUAGAAAUGUACCUCUCAGAACAUUUGAAGUUAAGAUGUUUUUGUCUUCUUCAAUUUGAUUGCUCAUUACGACUUUGAGAUUCAAAUUCCUUUUGAUGUAAAAAACAAACUUAAAUAAAUAAAAAGAAUUAAAAGAUAAGCAGAGCAAAAAAUUAAAUAGUGUGAGUUGGAAUGAAUAAAGUUUUAAUCAAAAUUGGAAAUUAAGGUGAAACAUCCUAAAUUAUAUACAAAAGCUCAUAUAAUAUUACACCAUAAUUUCUCUAAAUUAAUCUUAACCUUUUAGUGCAGUGUGUACAGUCAUUGCUUGUUUGUGGAUUAGAAUUAGUAUCUUCUGCUGCUGAUCUGGUAUCACAACUUCUCUGCUCAUCAUUGUACUCUAUCAUUGUCUGAUGGUCGCGCCUGGUGGCUUCUGUGUUGUCACAGCUUCUCCGAGCAUCACUACUGGUAUCUUCUGGGAUGUUUCUGUUUAUAACAUCAGGUGUAUAUAUAAGAUGGAACCCACACUCUUUCACUUCGACUGGUGUACCGUCCAAGCUAUGAAAUGAAGCCUUCAAACGUCUCCAUUCGUUCGACCAAUACUGGUUGCCAAUAACAACCUUGGGAUAAUAAGUCACACACAUUUGACUUGAUUCACCGCAAAUUCGGCAGCAAUAAGACCGGACAUCAUCCACGUGACAGCAUUCAGAUUGAUCACCACAGAUAUUGAGUUCGCAAUUCAACCAACCACAAGCCAUAGGAAUAAAAACAGAGUAUAAAGCAAAUCCUAAGAAGCCAUCUUUUCUGUACAAAUCCGUAGAAAGCUCUAUUGUUAUUUGAGAUCCUUUUUUUGGCUGGCUUAUCCACUCUGGAAUUCCAUCAUUUCCCGAAAUAACAACUCUGAUUGCCUUGUUCCAAUAGGAGCCGCAUUCAAAUUCCUGCACAGAAGUACAGUGUUAAUACUCUGUUCAUAAGGAAAAAGGGCUGAAUGUUAUGAAAAUCAUACCUCAAUCAUUGAUUUGAAGCAUUUGAACAGAGAAAAACCAAGUUGACUUGAUGGACUUGAUAAAGUUUCCAAGCAUGUGCAACUGUGGACAUCUAGAACUCGUAAACUUGGUGGAAACUCUGGAACUUGUAGAAGCCCCUGGCAGUGACUCAAUUCAAGGACUCUCAGUUUAGAAAGUUGAAUGAUGCCUGCAAGUAUGCUACUAAAACAGUCCUUGCUUAGAUUUAGACCUGAAGCGUACAAACCCUCUAAACAUUGCAAACUCCUCAGGUUCUCGGGAAAUCUCUCAAGUUUUGUACAGAAACUGACAUUUAGAAUUUUGAGAGUUUUCAAAUUACAAAAGGCCUCUGGAAGACUCACAAGGUAUUGCGAGAUUCAAAUAUUGAAGCCCUCUUAGAUAUUGAAUUGAUGCUGGUAGUUCUUCGAUAGCAGUUCCAUCUAAAUGAAGCUCUCUUAUAUUUUCCACAUCCUCGAGGAUUUCCGGAAAGCUCCUUAAUCGUGAACAGCCUGAGCAGAAGAGAGUUGUAAGGGAUUUCAACUCACAUAUGCUACUGGGAAGAAGCUCAAGGUUUUUGCAUUCUCGCAAACAUAACCUAUUAAGUUUAUGGGGACACUCAACAGUGGGUAGUUCAUUGAUGGCAUUUCACUUUAAACAAAGCUUCCAUAGGGAUUGCACAUCCUCUUGACAUUCCCGGCAAACGGUGGAUAUCAUUGCUUUACCAUGGUUCUGUUCAUGAUCAUGGGCAUAUAUAAGAUGGAUCCCACACUCUUCUACUUUCACUGCUUUACCUCUCAAGUAGCCACAAAAUGAAGCCGUCAACUGCCUCCAUUUAUUUGAGUGGUACUUCUCCUCAAUCUCAUGCUUAGGAUAAUAAAUCAUCCACAUACAAGGUACAACAUAGACGUGAAAUGAGGGAUAAAACUGGAGUUUAUCCACAAACUGAAUUUCAUGACCACGCAAAGUUAAACCAUACUCGAAGUAAGUUGCACCAUUCUCCAGUGUCUCCUCAGAUUCAUUAUCCAGUGGAUAAUAGACACAGUACAAAACAAAACCCAACAAGUCGUCAUUUUUAUACCAAUUUUGAGGAAGCUUUGCUACUACUUCAGCUCCCUUUUUGUGAUGGCUUAUCCAAUCUGGAAUUCCACAACUUUCUGAAAUAAUAAGAUUUACUCGGGCAAAAGGUUUUUCUAAAGGAUAAAUCUUGCAUUCCAAAUCCUGCAGAAAAUUUAAUUAACACUUAAAUCCCCAUGUCUCCACAAAAAAAGUUUUGGUCUAUGAAUAUCAUACCUGAAUCAAUGAUUUGAAGCAGUUGAAUAGAGAAGACCAGAGUAGACCUGAAGAAGUUUCCAGCCGUUUGCACAAAUGUAUAUCUAAGACACGCAAACUGGAUGGAAGUGCUGGAAUUUGUCGAAGCUCUUGACAGUUACCCAAGACAAGGAGUCUCAGCCUAGAAAGUUGAUUGAUCCCAGCAGGUAUGCUCCUAAAAAGAUUCCCGAAUAGAAAUAAUUCUUGCAGAGAUGAUAGCUGGCAAAUUUCAGUGGGGAUUCCUCCUUCAUCUAUACCACACACACGUAGAUCUACAACUUCCAAGGAGUACAAGCAGCAAAUAUCACUCAGGACUACUCCUUGCAUUAGCUUUGAGUAAAUAAGAUCUAACUCCUUUAAGGAGCAUAAACCUGACAAAGAAAGCAAUUGGCAACAUCUUGAAUUUAAGCCCCUAGCACGGAGACACUUCAAGCUUUGCAGCCUCCCCAGGUUUUGUGGCAAUUUGUGGAGUUUUGAACAGUAAUUCACAUUGAGAUCUUCAAGAAAGCGUAAAUUACAAAUGCUUUCUGGAAGAGUCACAAGGUUUUUGCACCUCUCAAGAUUCAAAACUUGAAGCCUAUUCAAAUGUUCGAUUGAAGAUGGUAGCUCUUUUAUGGCCGUUCCGUUCAAGUGAAGCUGCCUUAAGUUUUCCAUAUUCUCCAAGAUUUCUGGGAAGUACUGUAAUUGUGAACAGUCAGAGCAAAAGAGAGAUUUUAGGGAUUUGAACUCCCAAAUGCUUGUUGGUAGACUCUCAAGGUUUUUGCACUCUCGCAAACAUAAGGUAUCAAAUUCAGAGGCACACUCAAUGGGUGGUAGGCUGAUUGUCUGACCCUUUAAACAAAGCUUUCGGUGUUCCACAUUCCUCUGACAUUCAGCGCAGCUAGCAUCCACAUCAUCAGUCUGUACUAUUGGAUCUUGGGCGUAUAUAGGUUCAAGCCCACACUUGAGCACCUUAAAAUGAUUGCGACAGCCCAUAAAUAUAGCCCCAAGAAACAUGGAUGGAUUGGUGUGACAGCUCUCCAGAAUAGCAGCCUUGGGAUAGAAUAUCACCCACAUUUGUUCUGAUCCACCUCCAUCAUGGUAGCAUUUACAAGUAGUGCGAAAACUGAGACGUUGCGCACACAGGGUAGAAAAUCCAUAUCUAUCAUGUAAUGACAAUUUACAUUCUAACCCAGUGGAGAUUGAAGAUUCAGCUUCAAGUAAAUCGUCAUAUUCAUUUAGGGCUUCGUCACCAGAUUCAUUCUCCGAUGUAUGUGCAAAAUCAUUUUCUGGUAUGUCCUCACAUUCAUCGUGUGGAGCAUAAACACAGCAUAUAGCAAUUCCCAAGAAGUCAUUAUUUUCGUAACAAUUCUGAGGAAGGUCCAUUGUGAUAUGAUUUCCCUCUCUCUGAUUCCUUAUCCACUUGGGAAUUCCACAGCUUCCCGGAACAACAAUACAGACUCCAUUGCCAAUGAAGUCAGAAUCACGGAGAAAUACUUCAUUUGAACUGCUCUUGUAUUUCAAAUCCUGUACAAAAGGACAAUGUAAAUCCUGUGGGUCUGUGCCAUUAUGUGAGUUUUUAUGAGAGAGUUUGUUAUCAGUUUUUGAUAAAUUGAUUCCCAGUUUUAACUUUCUUUGAUCUAUGCUCCUGAAUCUACUUAAUAUCCCUUUUAGAUGACGGAUUAUCAAUCAACAUGAAAGUGAGUGACAAGAUUAAGUGUGAAAACUGGAAGUGAGGGGAAACUGAAACUGAAAGUGAGUAGAAUAACCAGAUCUCUUCUUCACUUGCAGUAGCUUCUUCUCCAUUCAGAUACAGAGAUCUUAGAAUUGUAGCUUCAACUUAACUCUCAGAAUCUUAAAGACAAAGUUCGCUCAAGUUUCAAAAACUCACACAAAAAUUUCUCCUCAUGUUUCUCUUAAUCCUAUGAGGCGAGAGACAUGUAGCACACACUUAUUGGCUUUUUUACAUGCAAGUUUCAAGGUGGAGCGUCUAAUGAACUAAAACAUUCCCUCAAAUCCCAGUGGAAAUUCACACUAGAAAUUGCAGAAUUUGCUAAGGAAAAGUUUAAUUCAUUUAAUCCAUGAAUAAAAAAGUAUGUGAGAGCAUUUUAACAUCCUAAUACUUAUUAUAUUAAACUAUAAUUCUCAUUAUUUAAACUCAUGAUCCUUCACUUCAUCACCAAAUUUUGAAGACACUUUUGGCAUCUCUUCCAUGAAUUAAUUGAUGUUUAAGAAGGUAUAAUAAACUUUUAAUUGAAUUUAACAUUAUUUCUAUCCUAAUACUCAUCUUAAACUCUGUUUUUUUUUUUUUUAUACUCUUAUCAAAACAAAUAAAAACUUAACAAAAAAAUAAAGAUUUCAAUUACUCCGUGUUCAAAAGGGAAAAUGGCUAAAUGUCAUGAAAAUCAUACCUCAAUAGUUGAUUUAAAGCAUUUGAACAGAGAAACACCAAGUAGACAUGAUGGACUUGAUAAAACUUCCAAGCAUGUGCAACUGUGGACAUCUAGAACUCGUAAACUUGGUGGAAGCUCUGGAACUUGUAGAAGCCCCUGGCAGUGACUCAAUUCAAGGACUCUCAGUUUAGAAAGUUGAAUGAUGCCUGCAAGUAUGCUACUAAAACAGUCCUUGCUUAGAUUUAGACCUGAAGCGUACAAACCCUCUAAACAUUGCAAACUCCUCAGGUUCUCGGGAAAUCUCUCAAGUUUUGUACAGAAACUGACAUUUAGAAUUUUGAGCGUUUUCAACUUACAAAUGGCCUCUGGAAGACUCACAAGGUUGCUGCAAUCUGCAAGAUUCAAAUGUUGAAGCCCUCUUAGAUAUUGAAUUGAUGCUGGUAGUUCUUCUAUAGCAGUUCCAUCUAAAUGAAGCUCUCUUAUAUUUUCCACAUCCUCGAGGAUUUCCGGAAAGCUCCUUAAUCGUGAACAGCCUGAGCAGAAGAGAGUUGUAAGGGAUUUCAACUCACAUAUGCUACUGGGAAGAAGCUCAAGGUUUUUGCAUUCUCGCAAACAUAACCUAUUAAGUUUAUGGGGACACUCAAUAGUGGGUAGUUCAUUGAUGGCAUUUCCCUUUAAACAAAGCUUCCAUAGGGAUUGCACAUCCUCUUGACAUUCCCGGCAAACGGUGGAUAUCAUUGCUUUACCAUGGUUCUGUUCAUGAUCAUGGGCAUAUAUAAGAUGGAUCCCACACUCUUCUACUUUCACUGCUUUACCUCUCAAGUAGCCACAAAAUGAAGCCGUCAACUGCCUCCAUUUAUUUGAGUGGUACUUCUCCCCAAUCUCAUACUUAGGAUAAUAAAUCAUCCACAUAUAAGGUACAACAUUGCCGUAAAAUGAGGGAUAAAACUGGAGUUUAUCCACAAACUGAAUUUCAUGACCACGCAAAGUCAAACCAUACUCGAAGUAAGUUGCAUCAUUCUCCAGUGUCUCCUCAGAUUCAUUAUCAAGUGGAUAAUAGACAGAGUACAAAACAAAACCCAACAAGUCGUCAUUUUUAUACCAAUUUUGAGGAAGCUUUGCUACUACUUCAGCUCCCUUUUUGUGAUGGCUUAUCCAAUUUGGAAUUCCACAACUUUCUGAAAUAAUAAGAUUUACUCGGGCAAAAGGUUUUUCUAAAGGAUAAAUCUUGCAUUCCAAAUCCUGCAGAAAAUUUAAUUAACACGUAAAUCCCCAUGUCUCCACAAAAAAAGUUUUGGUCUAUGAAUAUCAUACCUGAAUCAAUGAUUUGAAGCAGUUGAAUAGAGAAGACCAGAGUAGACCUGAAGAAGUUUCCAGCCGUUUGCACGAUUGUACAUCUAAGACACGCAAACUGGAUGGAAGCACUGGAAUUUGUCGAAGCUCUUGACAGUUACUCAAGACAAGGAGUCUCAGCCUAGAAAGUUGAUUGAUCCCAGCAGGUAUGCUCCUAAAAAGAUUCCCGAUUAGAAGUAAUUCUUGCAGAGAUGAUAGCUGGCAAAUUUCAGUGGGGAUUCCUCCUUCAUCUAUACCGCAGAAAGAUAGAUCUAACACUUCCACGGAGUACAAGCAGCAAAUAUCACUCAGGACUACUCCUUGCAUUAGCUUUGAGUAAAUAAGAUCCAACUCCUUUAAGGAGCAUAAACCUGACAAAGAAAGCAAUUGGCAACAUCUUGAAUUUAAGCCCCUAGCACGGAGACGCUUCAAGCUUUGCAGCCUCCCCAG